UCCUCCCCCAGUUUACCUGUCUCCACCUCCACCCUAUCAUCACUACUACGGUUCUCCUUCUCCUCACCACUACUAAGCAAGUGCAUAAGUUUUGAGGUAAUAAUACCUAUCCAAAACUUUAUCAACACAAACUGCCAUGUAUAUCAUGCUAAGGACGUACACUUGAUCCAUGAAAAUGACUAGUAGAAGAUUUUUUUUAAGAACCAAAGAAAUACAUUAUUUUUUCGGUCUGUUUUCAAGAAUUUGAGCAGUAUACAGAUUAAAGAGUGUUUUUUUUUUUGUAAACUUGCUUGUCAACUUAAAAAUGCACAUAGCUGAAAGCCAACUGAAUAUUUGCAGGCAAAGGAGAAGGCAAUCGGUGUUUGAGACCUUCAAGAAGAUGUAGAAGAAUAAGAAUAAAAGCCCAAUGCGAGGAUGAUUCCAAGUUUCUACGUUACCAUUUCUACAUCUAAAUUGACUUUAGCUCCUGAGUUCCAUGUUUAUGGGGUUUGUACCGUUUUACGUACCAUGCAGUACAUGCUUGCAAGGUUUUCUGUCCUGUUGGCAAACUGCAGGUCCAUAUAAUAAAUGAAUACUAUUUACAUUACGACACUUUUCUCUUUUUCUCUUAUAUUUUGUCUUUAAUAUUGUUGAUCAUUUUUUUUUUAUCAAAAGCAUCAAAUGCUUAGGUAAUUUGGUCUAAUGCUAAUUGUUUUACUUUUAUUUUUCACCUACACCCCUUUUCAACUCAAAGGAUGCUAUAGUUUGUGAUAAUUGUUUAAGACCGAAGCAUGAUACUAAUAAAUAUCUCAUUGAAAGUCAAGGAAACUAACAUUAGGAAAAGUUUAAAUCUUGAUUUGAUGAAACUAUUUAUUCGUGGAAUUUAGAGAUACAAAACUCAAAUUGUGACGGUGUUGUUGCUAAAUUAUUAAGGACAUUAUCACCAUUAUUUUUCCCUGAUCACUAGUUUCAACUGCAAUGAUCUCAAUCUUUUUGUGACUAAUUCUUUCCUUAAUAAUUUAUAAAGACAAAACUCACAAAGAAUAUGUGACUAAUUCUUUCCUUUCGUCUUCUAAAGAAAAUGCCAACUGUUAGUUUAUCAAGGGGAAAAAGGAUCGACAUCAGUUAUUAUUGAAACUAGUAAGGAAUAAAUAAUGGUGAUAAUGUCCUUAAUAAUUUAACAACAGCACCAUCAGAAUUUGACUUUGAGCUUCGGUCUUAAACAAUGAUCACAAACUACAGCAUCCUUUGAGUUGAAAAAGGAAGUAGGUGAAAAGAAAAGUAAAAAAUACAAUUAGCAUUCCCUCAAAUUGUAGAAAGUUAGGUAGCAUUAUAGACAAGUUGAUAGCGGCAAUUUUACAUUUCAAACUUCACCUAUUCAAUAACUAAUUCGAUGGCUUGCUACAUGGUCAAUCUUUGGACCCCUUCCUGCCUCCAGAUAUCCCUUUCCUCAAUCAGGGGCUUCUACAAUUACCAGUUUCAAUUGUAUGGUAUAGUGUAAAUAUCAACAAAUUAGAUGUAGAUGCUAACAUAAUAAAUGUGAAUGCUAAGACAGCAACAUACAAUCGAACCUGCAAUUGUAUGAACCCCAAUCUCGCUUCCUAGUCCACCAUCUUUCUCUAGGUAAUAAUCUCCCUUCUAAUUUAUUCACAAAAUGCACCUUUCAUCACCUCCAAUAGCGUCGACAUGAUCUUUACCCUAGAAGACUAUUCACCGACUCUCAAUUGACGUCAGAAAAUCUAAGAGUAAUUCUACUUUACCCUAAGAUUGAUAUCAACAAGACAAGGACAAUUUAGAAUUAUUACACGCCUCUUCUUAAUAGGAAAAAGAAAUAGAGAAGAAAGUCAGGCCAGGUCUAAUUUCUUUUCAAAGGCAAUACAACAUUACGAAAUCAAGCAUUCAUUCAUACAAAUAUUUCAUAGUCACCGGUUUGCUGAGUAGAAAAAUUUAGACAAAAACUUAAUAUUAUAUUGUUUAAGAGUUAACAAUUUAGAGCUUAAUCUCCUUGUACUUUGGAGUUAACAAUUUAGAGCUUAAUCUCCUUGUACUUUGGACUAAACUUGAACGUGAAAGGAAAUCCCAAAACCAUAUUGGGCAUGAAUUCACACUUAAUAUACCCAAUAAAAGAUGGCGACUGGUGAAAGGCAGUGGAGACUGGUGGAGAGAUUUGAGGAAUAGAAGCAGACGGAAAAGCAACAAAUUUUUGCCGAAAAACGGUCACUUUCAUGGUUAAUUUUGCUACUCUCCAAUUGUACUUGACCAAUUACAACAAUUUCAUGGAGUUUGAUACGUGAAAAGAAUUUUUUAUAAAUUUUAUUUUGAUCCAUAAUGUUAUCUUUACAUAUAUAAAACAUUUUACAAUUUUGAUUUUGGCGCAGCUAACUUUUGGUUAACAAAAAUGCUCAUGUUUAAAAAACCAGAAAUAAAACAAAACAAGAAACAAAAGAAAUAAGAGGGUAGCAUAGACAUUUUGGAUUUUUCCGUUAAUUUGGAUGAUUUCCACCCACGUUCUAAUUUAAUCCAAAACACAAAGGAAUUACGUAGAGGUUUUAAAUAAUCAGGGAGCUUCAUGAUCGAACCCCAAACCACGUGAUAGCAUACAAGAGUUCUAUUUCACUAUCGGUAGACAAAGACUUUCUAUGGUUGAUGUACCGUAGGAAAAAAUCUGCCUAUACAACGUGAUAGCAUUUUUUCAAAAACACAAGAUGGAAAAUUGCCCCCUUAAACGUGGAAAUUCAUGAUCUUUCCUCGAACAAAGAAUACUCACGCCUAUUCAAGAUGGAAAAUUGCCCCCUUAAACGUCUAUUUGUCAAUUCUUGAAAAAAGAAUACUCACGCCUAAAACACGGCCUCUUCAUCUGCAGAAUUCUAAAAAGUUACGUAAACUCUAUAAACAAGUUGAUAGGUACAAUCGUACCCAAGAUCAAGUACAGAUAGUUGUACAUUCACUGCUGCAAUAACUAAUCUGAUGACUUACAAACAUAUCAUGGUCAAUCGUUGAAUGGUAAUGAGUCUUUUGUUAUGCAUUAGUAUUAGUGUGUACACUCUAAUAGAUUGAUACUUAUACUCUUUAAAUUAUCAUAAUAAUACCCUUAAUUAACUUUAACUCUUAAAAAGAAUACGUGUUAAUACACGAGAGUGUGUAACCUGAAUUGUUACUUAUACAUUAGUGUGUAAUAGAUAGGGAUGGCAGUGAGGGCGAGUGCCCGCGGGGGGCUCUCGGGGCGGGGGCGGGGGAGAAUUUUUUCCCCCCGUUUAGAAACGGGGCAGGGGACGGGGGAGUAUACCCCCGCCCCAUCCCCCGCCCCGCCACCCGCAAAAAAAAUUAUAUAUAUAUAAUUAUAUAUAAUAUGUAAUUUAAUUAGUUAUAAACUUAUGAUAAUGAUAUUAUUAGUUAGAUGUAUUAUAUAAUGUAUAUUAGUGUAUGUAAUAUAAUUAAUAUUAUCAAUUAUACGAAUAAUUAGACAUGUCCACUAAUAGAGUUUAUUAAUUAGUUAUACUAAAUUUACUAAUACAUUUGUACUAAAUUUCUAAUUACACUUAAUAGAAUAACACUUUUUUCUAAAAAAAAAAGCACAAACACAAUAAUGAAUUAGUGAUUGUAUUUGUACCAAAAGUGAAAACUUAACUAUUUUAGUUGUAUUUAUUUCAUCAUGUUGGAUUGUAUUCAAAUAAUUUUUGUUUGAUUGUUUUUAUGAGUUUCAAUUGUAAAAUUAAAAUGAAUAAUAACUUGAUGAUGUGUUGAUAUUUUAGUACUUGAUUAUUUAUUGAUUUAACUAUAAUAAAAUUUUAUUUUAUUAAAAUUUAACUAUAAUAAAAUUUUAUUAACCAAACGAGUUAUUAAUCCCGCGGGGGCACCCACGGGGGAAGCGGGGCGGGGCGGGGGAGUGGGAGGCGGGGGACGGGGCGGGGGUGGGGGGAGUUGUAGGUAGCGGGGCGGGGGAUGGGGGAGGGGUCCCCCGCCCCAACCCCGCCAUCCCCCGCCCCGUUGCCAUCCCUAGUAAUAGACUGGCAAGCAUUGUGGUGGUCAUUGAGAACUUACUGGAGAAAUAGUCCUAUAAGCUGUUCAAUGAGCAAUCACAACUUGCUAAUUGGAUGACUAAUAUAGCUCUAGCUGUAAUGUUUUAAUUAAAUUACAUCACUAACGUUGGGAUGACUUUUUAACCAAAAAAAAAUGCCUUAGUUCAAGCUUUUCCCUUUAUUGUGCAUUUUUUAAAGCAUUUGAUAGGCACUGCAAAUCUGUCAUUUUGGACAUUUUAUUAUUGACUAACAAUGAAAGCCGUGACGUCUACCCAUAACCAACACAAGAUUAAAUUAAUAUUAGAAAAAAUAAUUGAGUAAUUGGAAAAAAAAAAAGAGACUCAUUUUCAUUGAAACCCACCGACAAACUAAACGUGUCCAUGGCUUUUGAAUAGUGCAUUCAACGUUUAAUUGUAUAGUCCAGUUCAUUGCAGAUUACAUGGAGUAAAGAUUGUGCUCUUUCCUUUUUCACCCCUUUUGGAAUCGAUACUGUGGAGAAUUGGGUUUUUCCCUUCUUUUUUUCUUUUCUUUCCUUCUGUGCUUUGCAAAACAUAGGUAAAAAUAUGAAAUCCGAAGCAUUCUUUAAUUGGGAUUAAGUAUUGUUGUUGAAAUUAAAAAGAAAAAAGAAAGAACAACAAAAUUCCCAAUCUGGGUUGAUUGUUGAGCUCUAGAUUGGUUGCAUCGUGCUUCCAUAGAAGCUCUCUUAGUGUGAUACACUGCUUUCAAUCAGUUUAACACGGGAAAAAAAAAAAAAGAGAUGAAAAGCAAAUUUGGUGGGGAUAAUUUCAGAAACCUCCCCUGAAGAUUUUGACUAUUCUACUGGUCUCCCUUCAGAUUUUAAAAAUUACACUAAUCUUCCUUGAAGUUAAUUAUCUUGUAACAUUUAAAUUCAAUCAAUAAUUUAAAAAAUGAUAUUAUGAGAGAGAAAAUAAUGAUUUUAUCAUUGCCCCCCAUCUUACUACAUUAUUUAAUUAAUUUAAUAGCAACCCACACAUUAAAGAAAAAUAUUAAAAUUUGUUGUUUAUCAUUAAAGAUCAAAUCGCUUAUAACAUCAAAUAAUAGUAUAUUAUUUAUAUUUUUCACUCAAUAUAAUAUCCAAAUUACUCUUUUCAAUUACAUACCCAUUGUUAGACAAUCAACAACAAAUAACCAAAAAAUUUGCAACCAAAAUAUUACAAAAAAAUAAACUUUAACAUAUAAAUAUUCUUAUCAACAUAUUAAAGUUAGUUACUGAAAUUUUUAUGCUGUUAAACUUCACUCUUUUUGGUUACAGAUUUUUUUGAUUAUUUGUUAUUAAUUAUGUUUGAUGAUGGAUUUAUAAUUGAAAAGAACAAUUUGAAACUUACAUUAAGUAAAAUAUAUAGAGUGAUAUACUAUUUUUUAUAACAUAUGUGAUUCAAUCCUUCUUGAUAGGAUUGGUAAUAGAGGUAGAGGGGGGAGCCGGCUGCAUCCGGUCUACUUUUCAUAGAUAGUACAAUAUUGCGAAAUCGAUCGCAUUCACGCAAUAUUAUUUCCAAGUCAUUGCAUGGCUAAGCUGCAAAAAAAGUACGAACACAUGUUAUUAUAUAGCUUACGAUUCAAAACUUUAGAGCAUAACCCUCCACCUAACACAAUUGAAUAAUGAACAUUCACGUUUGUCAAAUCUGUCAAAGCACAGUUUGAGGACAACCCAUUCCAACCUGCAAAAGAUUUUUUACUUUUCUAAAGUUGUUGAGAGCUGUAAAAAGACUUACCAUGCUUGCAUCCUCCGAGCCUUGGGAGUUAAAAAUGAAGGCACUGAGUGCUAUAAAAAGGGGAAUAGAGGCUGCCUAGAAGCAUAUCAGCCUAAAACAAGAAUUUGUAGUUAAGAUGGGAAGCAAAGCAAAAGCAAUGGGGUCUGGGCUGACUCCUCUUCUUGCCACUGUUUUAGUGGUGUUUGUUGCUCUUGGCUUGCCCUCACAAACUGCAGCUGAUGAUCACUACAAGUAUUCAUCUCCUCCUCCUCCUUACCACUAUCCCUCACCACCACCACCAGUGCAUAUACCUCCACCUCAUCCUGUUUACAAGUACAAAUCUCCACCACACCCCCAGUACAAGUAUAAGUCACCACCACCACCUCCUCAUCCGGUAUACAGUCUCCUCCGCCACCACACACCCAGUUUACAAGUACAAGUCACCACCACCACCUCCUCAUCCGGUACCACACCCAGUUUACAAGUAUAAGUCUCCUCCGCCACCAGUUUACAAAUACAAGUCUCCUCCACCACCACCUCCAGUGUACAAAUACAAGUCUCCACCACCACCAGUUUACCACUACAAGUCUCCACCACAGUUUACAAAUACAAGUCUCCACCACCACCCCCAGUUUACAAAUACAAGUCUCCACCACCACCAGUUUACCACUACAAGUCACCACCACCUCCUCCCCCAGUUUACAAAUACAAGUCUCCACCACCUCCUCACCACUACUAAGCAAUUGCUUCUGAGGUAAUAACACUUGUUCAAUAUACCCACUUCUGCAUGAUAAAGCAUAUCUCUAUCAACACAAACUGUCAUGUCUAUCAUGCUAAGUGCCUUCACUUCAUCCACCAAAAUGACUGCUAGAAAAUUUUUUUUAUGUUACCAAAGAAAGGCAUCAUUUUUUCCCUCUGUUAUCAAGAACUUGUACAGUAUAUAGAUUAAAGAGUAUUUUUUUAACUAGCUUAUCAACUGAGAAAUGCAUAUAGCUGAUAGCCAGCUGAAUAUUUGCAGGCAAAGGAGAAGGAAACCAGUGUUUGAGACCUUCUUGAAGAUGUAGAAGCAUAAGAAUUAAAGCCCAAUGUGAAGAUGAUGAUUUCAAGUUUUUCUACGUUACCAUUUCUUUAUCUAAAUUGGUUGUAGCGCCUUAGUUCCUUUGUUUAUGGGAUUUGUAUCGUUUUACGUACCAUGCAGUACAUGUCAUGUUUGUAAGGUUUUCUAUCCUGCCGGCAAACCGCAGGUUCCAUGUAAUAAAUCAAUACUAUUUAUAUUACGACACUUUUCUCUGUUUCUCUUAUAUUUUGUCGUCUUUAAUAUUCUUAAUCAUAUUUUUAACAAAAAUAUUCAAACACUUAGGCAAUCUGGUCUAAUGCUAAUUGUAUGUUUUACUUUUCUUUUUCACCUGCUCCCCUUUUCAACUCAAAAGGAUGCAAUAGUUUGUGAUCACUGUUUAAGACGGAAGCAUGAUACUAAUGAAUAUCUCAUUGAAACUCAAGGAAACUAACAUUGCGAAAAGUGUAAAUCUUGAUUUGAUGCAACUAUUUAUUCGUGGAAUCUAUAGUUACAAAACUCAAAUUCUGACUGCGCCAUUGAUAAAUUAUUAAUGACGCUAUCAUCAUUAUUUAUCCCUAACUAGUUUCGACUACAACUGAACCCAAUAUUUUCCCCAUGAUAAAAGUUUUUGACUAUUUUACUGGCCUCUCUUCAAAUUUUAAAAAUUACACUAAUCUUCAUUGAGAUUAAUUAUCUUGUAACAUUUAAGUCCAAUUAAUAAUUAAAAAAUGAUAUUAUGAGAGAGAAAAUAAUAUAAUUUUAUCAUUGCCCCCCAUCUUGCUAUAUUAUUUAAUUAAUUUAAUAGCAACCCACACAUUAAAGAAAAAUACUAAAAUUUGCUGCUUUUCAUUAAAGAUCAAAUUGCAUAUGCCAUAAAACAUAGUAUAUCAUUCUAUAUGUUUCACUUAAUGUAAGAUCCCAAUUGUUCUUUUCAAUUACAAACCCAUUGUCAAUAACAAAUAACCAAAAAAUUUGCAACCAAAAUAUUACAAAAAAAAACUUCAACAUCAUAAAUAUUCUUACCACCUCUAGUGCAUUCACCCUCAUAAAAUAAUUCAAGACCCUACUGUCAUAAAAUGACUGAUCAACUCCCGUAAACCUAAUUUGACAACAUUUAAAUGGAGAACUUUAGCUAAAAGAAUUAUGGUCAAGCUAAAGAAAAAACCAGUUAUUUUCCAACAUAUGCAAUCAUUGAUCAGGGAAAAAAAAAAGAGCAAAAAGACAUCUUCAAUCAUUUAAUAGCUUACAGGGCAAAUUAACCCCUAAGCGAAAACUGGUUGCUCUAGAAUCAAAAUUUUACUUUAGUUACCCAGGCAACUUUUUUGUUGCUUUUUUUUUUUUUUUCCUUUAGUUUUGCCCCCUCUGUCAAGCUUAUAAAAUUAUUAAGAUAAUAAAAGUGCCUUGAAUAGUAUUAAUAUAUCCAUUGACUUGAGCUGUCGUCAGUUUGCGAUUCCAUGAGGCCUUUUCAAAGUACUCAGAAAAUGGGGAGUCAUGAAAUCCAUUUGUUCUAUUCAUUGCUAAGAUGCUUUUCUCUAUAAAGAGACUUCCUAACGAAAAUACUUUGUAGAUUUCUUUACUCCAAGUGGUGCAUGGAAAAUUAAUAUUUUCAAUUAUCAAAUAAAAUUCCCUUUUUUCGGCGUAGAUUUCAUCCAUCCAGCUGUUAACACAUUCUAUAAAUCCGAAUUGACUAAUCUUUUCGUUUCCAUUUUCCAACUUGCGAAUACGGCAUAUAGUGUCUGCUAAACACUAUAUAUUCUCUGCCAAAUAUGAAUACAUAUCACUUUUCUGAGCAAGUGCAGAGUCAUUAUCAUUUUUAUUCCCACCUAACAAAUUAGGGAUAAAAAAGUUAAUAAUCUUUACAUGCUAUCAGGUCACAAGUUAAUAAUCUUUUAAAGAACAUGUUAAAUUAAUUUAUUGGUAUGAAUAGUAGUCAAAGAAGUAUGUUAAAGUUAGUAAUCUUUAAAAUAAUAUGUUAAAAUCAUUCGUACAAAUUAGUCAGAGAAGUAGCAUAAACACCGCGAUGCAAUUAAUACUUUCAAUCUCAAGGUCUCUAUUAUGGAAAUUUGCAUCGGUCAAUAUACACUUGGCAUAAUAUAAUCUCCCAACUCAUUUCUUUACAAAUGCACCUUUAAUCACCACCAAAAGGUGUGGACAUGAUCUUUACCCUAGAAAACUAUUCACCGACAGGCAAAUUGACGUCAGAAAUACUGAGGAAUUCUAGUUUCCUUCGGGUUCAUGCCAUGUUGUAUCCUUCAACUGUAACUCGAUUUCUAAGCUGUAAUUUGUGACAUAAUAGUCCUUAAACUAUGAAACCCUUCUUACUUAAUUACAAUGGUUAAUACAAUGCCCGUGACUAGACAAGUAUGAAGCAACCAUAACAGAAAAAAAAUCCAAAAUUAGAGAAAAGAAAGAAGUUUCGCGACCACCACCAGUUUACAAGUCACCUCCACCACCUCCUCCAGUUUACAAGUCACCUCCACCACCUUACCAUUAUUCCUCACCACCACCUCCAGUGCAUUCACCCCCACCACCACCAGUUUACAAGUCUCCGCCACCACCUUACCAUUAUUCCUCACCACCACCUCCUGUGCAUGCACCUCCACCACCAAUUUACAAGUCACCUCCUCCAGUUUACAAGUCUCCACCACCACCUUACGAUUAUUCCUCACCACCACCUCCAGUGCAUUCACCCCCACCACCACCAAUUUAUAAGUCUCCCCCACCGCCUCCCCCAGUAUAUAAGUCACCACCACCACCUCCUCCAGUAUACAAAUCACCUCCACCACCUCCUCCAGUUGACAAAUCUCCACCACCACCAAUUUAUAAAUACAAGUCUCCUCCACUACCUCCUCCAGUGUACAAGUCAUCACCACCACCUGCUUACAAGUCUCCACCUCCUCCAGUUUACAGUUCCCCACCACCACCAAUCUACAAGUCUCCACCUCCACCCUACCAUUACUACUACAAUUCUCCUCCUCCUCCUCGUCACUACUAAGCAAUUGUAUCCAAGUUUUUGAGGUAAUAACGCUUAACCAAUAAAUUAACUUUCGCAUGAUAAACCUUAUCUCUAUCAAGACAAACUGCCAUGUGUAUCAUGCCAAAUACGUACACCUAGAUCCAUGAAAAUGAAUGGUGAGGAGGGCCAUUUAGGCUCGGAGCGCCCUAGGCCUAGUUCCCCACCAUUUCCUGAAGUGCCGCCUCGGGUAUUAUCCUGGAAGGCGAUCGCGGCCCAUUUACCACCUCGGCUACAAUGUCAGGUCGUAACACCGAGGUGGACAUUGAAUGACAACUACGAAAAGGGGAGAUGUGAUCUCUGACACCUGAGCAAAGGCUGCUCUGACCCGCCGCCUGAAUCUGACAGAAUGUCCCAUCACGUCUCUUCAUGGAGACCGGUCAAGUCCACCUGAUCCACUGACUAUCUCAGAUCUUUUGGGACCCGUGCAAACAUCUCCUCUCUCCUAUCAGUCCCCUAUAAAUACACGAUACUUCUACUGAAAAAGGAGAUGACCAAUUUCUGGUAAAACACACUCCACUCAUUAUUUACUUCUCUAUAUCCGAACUGACUUAAGCUUCGGAGUUAUACCGGGGGAUCCAGCCCCUUUCUUAUCCAAGCAGGUGACUUCGUCCAAGAGAGUUGCCCAAGGUAAAGAUAUUCUUCCAAUUGAGGUGACUCACUCCUGCGGGUCGAAAAUCACCUCUUCAAUUGGCGCCGUCUGUGGGAACCGCAAAGAUAUUAGAAGAUGAAGCCUGCGCGUUCUAGAAGCAGAAAAGCUCUCACUAUCGAGGCUGGGCAAAGCAAUGCAGCUCAACAAGAAAAUAUUUCUGAAGGGCAGGAGUCCCCAAGGACUCAGCCCGCAAACGAAAAAGCCAUAACCCGUAUGGCCGAGUUUGUGACCGAGAACCCCAACAUCUUUGAAGAGUUGGGAAGAUACCUGAAGAGGCAAGGCAAACAAAAGGCCGAGUCCUCUAAAAGGAUGUCAGAUGGGUCUCUUGAGGACUCAUCUGAGGAGGAGUCGGAUGGAAGGCACUUAAGCCGAAGUGCCUCAAAGCGAGCAUUUUCUAAGGCCACUUCUAAGGUAGCCUCCCUGACCAAGGCGUUUUCCCGAGGGCUCUUGGGCCGACGACCCGAGGAAGAACCUCGGCCCUUGGGAAUACCCGGGGUGGACUGCAUGAGGGCUCCACCGUUCACGGAUGAUAUAAACGAGGAAAGGCUUCCUCCCAAUUUUAAGCUCCCCGCAGUACAAUCUUACGAUGGCCGAGGUGAUCCCGAGAAUCACAUCCAUACCUUCAUCUCGGCCUUCCAAAUAUACUGCAUCCCAGACCCUGUCAUAUGUCGGGCCUUUCCAGUAUUCCUCAGAGGAACUGCUCGAAAAUGGUUCUGAGCUCUAGAACCUAGGAGCAUUUCGACCCUGGGUGAAUUAGUGGAGAAGUUUCUCCACCGAUUUGUCUCCUCCCGACCUACGACUAGGACCUCGGCUUACCUGCUCACCGUGCAGCAGAACCCGGGAGAGUCACUCCGGUCGUACGUCCGGAGGUUCCAUGAGGAAAGCGUUCAGAUACCUGACCCCAAUGAGCAGGUAACCCUCGCUGCCUUUACCCAUGGACUCGUUGCCGGGGAGUUCAAUACGGGGAUCCAUAAAAAAUACCCCCGCACACUGCAUGAAUUGUGGUUGAAGGUUGAAAAGGGCAUACAGGCCGAAGACCUCCAUCGCAUGAAGAAAGAGGUCCAAGCCACCCGUCCAAGGGCUGAGCCCAGAAAGGGAAAAGACGCUGGCCGAACUGAAGUAGGGUCGGGAAGUGGCUUCCGAAGUCCUGGCCGAGACCGCCGCAGCGUGUUCGACAGGAUAUCCAAGGGGAAGUCACCUAUUCCCGAGUCCGAGUUGACUCCUUUAAAUACUACCCGAUCUCACGUGUUGUCCGUGAUGGAACAAAACAACCUCGGCAAGGGCCCGCCGAGGAUGUUUGGAAGCAGAGACAAGAGGAACUCGAACCUCUACUGCUUGUAUCAUCGUGACAUUGGUCACGAAACUGAGGAUUGCAACGAUCUCAAGAAGGAGAUCGAGAACCUCAUUAGACGGGGACACUUGAAACAGUUCAUCCGCAGAGGUGGAGGUCACCAACGUGACGAAAACCGGCAUGACAAAUGAGGUGACCAACGCCGAGAUGAGCGGCGGAGCUCCAGAAGCAGUUGCCGACCUCCUGAGGAUCCCAGGGAGACGAAAAGGCCUCCCCCAGACGGAUCUUCGGGACAUGGGCCAACCAUUGCCCGGGUCAUUAACACCAUUGCCGGAGGUCCGACGGGAGGGGACAGUCAGAACUCCCGGAAGAGAACCUAUAAGCAGGCUAACCCGGAUCAGGCCGAGUCGAGUUCUCGCCUGUCCGAGGUGAUCACCUACGGGCUCAGUGAUCCCAUCCCAGCUGCAUCCAGCAGUCAUGAAACCUUGGUGAUUGAAGUCCUCACCAAUAACUACAUUGUGAAAAGGUCUACAUAGACCCGGGAAGUUCAGUUGACGUCAUGUACCUCCGUACCUUUGAGAGCCUUAAAAUGGCUAAGGGGUGCAUGACCCCGCUGAGAACCCCUCUUGUAGGGUUCGGGGGACACGUGGUGCACCCCGAAGGGAUGGUGACUCUGACAGUGACCAUAGGGCAUCACUCUCGCUGUAGAACCGUCCCUGUCAAUUUUGUGGUGGUUAAGGCUGACUCCCCAUACAACCUACUUUUAGGUCGGCCUACGCUCAAUGCCUUGCGGGCGGUCUACUCCACCUACCACCUGAGCUUCAAGUUUCCUACCCCAGCAGGGGUGGCCGAGGUCAGCAGCGACGUCUGUGCUGUCCGGGAGUGCUACCUCGCCACCCUACAAGCAGCCUCCCCGUCUACCUCCGGUGCGAGGUCCGAGAAGAGGUCAAAUAUCCUCUCAAUAGAUAGCAUCGAUCCUCAGUGAGCUGAGAAGGUCCCGAGGCUGGAGACUGGGGAUGAGGUGGAAGAGAUUCCCCUGGACCCCACGAAACCUGAUCAGACAGUUCGCGUUGGUACCCGAUUGCCCGGUCCUAUCCGAAGAGGUAUGAUGGACCUCCUCAGGGAAUACCGGGACGUCUUUGCUUGGGCCGCCGAAGAGGUCCAAGGAGUCCCGCACCAUCUCAUGAUGCAUGACUGAACGUCGACCCCCAAGUCCGUCCGGUCAAACAGAAGAGAAGGCACAUCGGCCCUGAGCGCAGCCAAGCUGUUGGUGAGGAAGUGGACAAGCUUUUACCCGCUAAAAUAAUCCGAAAAGUCCAAUACCCGAUCUGGUUGUCUAACUCGGUCAUGGUCAAGAAGGAUACGGGGGCUUGGAGAAUGUGCGUCGAUUUUACCGACCUCAACAAAGCCUGCUCCAAGGAUUGCUACCCCUUGCCCAAAGUCGAUACUUUGGUAGACUCAGCAAUGGGCUACGAGAUCCUCUGUUUCUGGGAUGCAUUCAAAGGCUAUCACCAAAUUGGGAUGAGUCAAGAAAACCAGGAGAAAACGGCCUUCUACACCGACCGCGGCACGUACUGUUAUACUACCAUGCCAUUCGGGUUGAAGAAUGCCGGAGCCACUUAUCAACGCUUGGUCAACCAAGCAUUCAAGUCUCAAAUCGGCCGGAAUGUUGAGGCCUAUGUAGAUGACAUCCUCCUCAAAAGCCAGACGAACUCCACCUUCCUGGCCGACUUGAAGGAGGUCCUUGACAUCCUGCGGAAGGUGAAAAUGAUGCUGAACCCCAAGAAAUGUGUUUUUGGGGUCACCUCGGGGAAAUUUCUAGGUUACCUCGUCUCAAGGCGAGGUAUCGAAGCAAAUCCGGAUAAGGUGCGAGCCAUCCAGGAGAUGUCUCCACCCCGGUGCGUCCGCGAUGUCCAAAGGCUGACAGGGCGAUUAGCCGCCCUGAAUCGGUUCUUAUCGCAGUCGGCAGCUAAAGCACUGCCCUUUUUCAAAGUGUUGAAGAAAGCUGACCAUUUCUCCUGGACGGAAGAGUGUCAACAGGCGUUUGAGCAGUUGAAGGAUUACCUUCACUACCUUCCAACGCUCACCUCACCUCGUCCGGGGGACAAAUUAAUCUUAUACCUUUCUGCUGCGGCCGAAGCGGUGAGUGCCGUGCUGAUAAGGAAGGAAGGGGUCCAAAUGCCCGUCUACUACGUUAGCCGAGUCCUCCGAGGUCCAGAGACCAGGUACACACAAGCAGAGAAACUUGUGCUAGCCCUGAUCCACGCCGCCCGCAGACUCAAGCCCUACUUCCUAGCUCACCACGUCUGCUUGAGGACUGAUCAACCACUUCGGCAGAUUUUGACACGACCAGAGGUUUCGGGACGUCUUACCAAAUGGGCCAUUGAGCUGGGGGAGUACGACCUAACUUAUGAGCCUCGCACAGCGAUCAAGGCCCAGGCUCUCGCAGACUUCGUAGCCGAGCUCACCUUUGACGAGGUGCAAGGAUCCGUCCCGGCUGCCACAUCGGCCACAGUUGAUGUGGCCACCACUGGGCUCCAGCGGUGGAUCCUACACGUGGACGGUUCGUCAACAGUGAGGGUAGUGGAGCAGGCUUGCUCCUCGAAGACCCCCAAGGAGAAAUAUGCUAAUAUGCCUUAAGAUUUGACUUCGCUGCUUCAAACAAUGAAGCUGAAUACGAAGCCGUCAUUGCUGGACUGCAGCUAGCUCGCAAGCUCGGGGCCGCACACAUCUUGGUUUAUAGUGAUUCCCAACUCGUCGUGUGCCAGAUAUUAGGUGAGUACGAAGCCAGGGACGAGGUGAUGCAUCGUUACCUCUCCAAGGUCCUCCAGUUGGCGACUCACUUCGAGUCUUUUGAAAUUCAAAGAAUACCGCUAUCGAAAAACAGAAGGGCUGACGCCCUCUCCCGGCUUGCCUCAACCUCUUUCUCUGACCUGAACAAGACGGUUCUCGUUGAAGUUCUAGCCGAACCAGGAUAUGUAGCCGAGGUAGUAUACCCCGUCUACCCUGGGGACACCUGGAUGGGUCCCCUGACUCGAUUUUUCAGCCAGGGUGAGCUCCCCGAAGACCGAGCUGAGUCACGGAAGCUCCAACGAAAAGCAGCACGGUACAUUCUCCGACAAGGCCUUUUAUACAAAAGGUCUUACCUCGGCCCUUAGUUGCGAUGUAUCACGCCCGAGGAAGGCCAGAGAAUCCUCCAAGACAUACAUGAGGGGCUCUGUGGUGCUCACGUCGGCUACAGAAUGCUGGUAAAAAAGGCUUUGUUACUUGGGUAUUUUUGGCCCACUAUGAGGAUAGAUGCCCAGGUCAUGGUCCUUUGCUGCCCCUCCUGCCAGCAUCACGCUCCUGAGCACCACCAGCCGACCAAUUUAAUGAUCCCUAUCACCUCGUCAUGGCCAUUUGAGCAAUGGGGAACGGACAUAAUUGGCCCCUUUCCCAGAGCUCCAGGCAAUUAUACCUACGUGGUGGUAGCAGUGGACUACUUCACCAAAUGGGUCGAAGCUGAACCCCUAAAAAAUAUCACUGGUGCGGCAGUCCAGAAAUUCUUCUGGAAGAAUGUGGUUUGCCGCUUCGGCCUACCCCGGGUGAUCAUCUCGGAUAAUGGCCGACAGUUCGCCGAUAAUCCUUUCAAGGCCUGGUGUGAGAACCUCGGGGUCAAACAGCAUUUCACUUCGGUGGGACACCCCCAAGCCAACGGACAAGCCGAAAACUUCAAUCGCACGCUCCUCCAUGGCCUCAAGACCAGGCUCCACCAGGCUGGAUCGUUUUGGAUGGAAGAGCUCCCCAGUGUGCUGUGGUCCUACCGAACUACGCCGAGAUCAGCAACCCAGGAAACCCCGUUUUCCUUAACCUACGGGUCAGAAGCUGUUGUUCCAGCCGAAUUCAUCACCCCGAGUCCACGAAUGGCCGCAUAUGCUGCCGAAGUCAAUGAAGAAGAACGGCGAGUUGACCUCGACCUCGUCGAAGAGAAGCGUGAUAUGGCCGCGGCCAAAGUUGCUGUUUACAAAAAUAUCGUAGCUGGCUACUACAACGCUCGGGUUAAACAUUUGCGGUUCAGUCCGGGAGACCUGGUGCUCAGGAAGAACUCAGUCAGCCGGGCUGAACCUCAGGGUAAACUAACCCCCAAGUGGGAGGGACCAUACCGUGUUGUUGAGUCCAGCCAAAAUGGAUAUUGUAAAUUGGCAUACCGAGAUGGGUCUCUGAGUGCCCCGAACUUGGCAUGCUGAAAAUCUUAAGUUGUACUACCCUUGAGGGUAUGUGCUUUUAAUCUUGAGUUAUUUCACACUUAUUUUCAUUUCAUUAUAAGUGAAAAAUAAGGGGACAAAGUAGCAGUAAAGAGGAAAACCGAAUUUAAUUAAAAAGAAAGCAAGAAUAUGAACUCAAUUCCAUUGAAUUACAUAAAAGUAGAAAGCCGAGGUCACCUUUAAUUAGGAAGAAAGCAAGAAUAUAAACUCAAUUCCAUUGAAUUACAUAAAAGUAGAAAGCCGAGGUCACCUUUGACCUCGGCCUACAAUGACAAAAAAAAAAACAAGUGCCUCUAGGCACUCCCUACCCUGACAUCCUGGCCCCCCGUGGUCGCGCCACCCGUUUCGGCACCCUGUCCACCCUCAGCUCCUCCACCGGCCUGGUCGUCUUCAGUACCAUCUAGUUCAAACUCCUGGAGCCAUUUGUUGAAUUCGGCUCGGACUUCGGUUAGGUCUUUCUCAGUCCGGAUGCCCUCAGCCAUGCUGUCGCAUAGCUCCUUGGCAUCCUCGUUAUAGUGCGAAGUGCUCUGAAGGGACUCCAGUUGUUCAGAGGGAAGAAAGGAUGCCGCGUCAUUAAUAGCCGACGUGUACCCGAACAUGAAGCUUGGCCGGGUGAGCUCGCCGAGGUCACGGAUGAAGGACUCUGACGUCCGGAAGGCUUCCACAGCAGUGACCCCGGCCUUGUCCAUGGCCUCCCUGUUUGACUGUUCUUCUUGGGCCCUCCUUUUUUUCUCCUCAUCAAGAGCAGUCACCAGGGAAUUGUUCGCGACCUCGGCCCUUUUGUUAGCCGCCUUGGCCUUGUCACGCUCCAACUCGGUUGCCUUCAGUUUUUCUUCCAACUCGGCAAUUCUCUUCUGGAGCUCGGCAGGAGGCUCAUAGUUUUCCAUGAACUUUCCAUACCGUUGAAUCAUCUCGACAAAAAAAGCCGUGGUAGAGGCCCAUGACACCGAGGCGCUCUGCAUCAACUCCCCUGCGGAGAGCUUCCUAGCAUAAGUGCUAUCUCGUGGCAGCACUGAAUGCACCAAGAGCUCCUGAGCGACCAAAGGGUUCUUGCAGCGAUCGUUGAAAUUAAUCUCCCACUCUGGACACCAGUGUGAUCCGGGGUGUCUCUUGUCCUCCUCAGCUGCCUUGAAAGGCACAUGAUGGAGUUUGAACAAAGAUGACCCCGUGACGGGGUUCUCCGGAAAUAUGGUCACACCCUGACCCCGGGGGGGAGUGGCAAUCGUGACCCAGCGAGAAGGGAUUCCCACCGGAAUUGCCGAGGCUCGGGAACCUCCCGGAGUGGCCGAGGUGUGCGAGCCCUCGCCCACGAUCACCACGGCAGGCUCGCGGUCGCCCGACGCCGCGGUGGUUUUCUUAGCCGGCCUGGAAGAGGACCCUGCAGUGUCCUUGCGCUUUUUGGGAGCUCUUUUGACCACCUCGACAUCUCCCGAGGUUAUCAGGUCGAAAAUCUUCGUCACUGCAAAGUAGGAGACGAAGUCAGUUAGAAUUCAAGAGGGAUAAACUAAAAGGGAAGAAAUGGAAAAAUACAAAGUCUGUGAAGCCUAGUCGAGAGUAAGACAGGCUGGUCAGAGCUCGUCAAGGCUCAACUGAUCCCGCCUUCCACGAGCACCACUUCGGGAAAAUCCCAGCAGUUUAUCCUGAGGCCCGACCCCGUUAACUUCUGGAAGUUACGCUCUUCUAACUUCCCUGGAGAUAUCUCCUUGAUCGAGGUGGGAGGCCUCCACCAGAAUCCGCGAGGGAAGUCAUCGGCCGAGACGAAGAAGAAGUUUUGCUUCCACUCCUUUAUUGAGUUCGGAGCAUCAACCACCAACUUCGGAACUUUGUUUCCGAAGUAGAACCAUCCUUUUUCACUUCUGCUGUUCUUGAGUGAGUAACAGCGGCGAAAGAGGUUGACCUAAGGUUGUAUCUCCUGAUGUCGGCAAAGUAGCUGGAAGCCAACGAGAAUGCGAAUAGCGUUAGGGGUGAGUUGAGUGAUUCUCACCCCCCAGUACCUCAGGCAGUCCCGAAGAAACCUCGUCGUGGGCACUCUGAGUCCGGCCUCCAGCUGUUCCUGAUAGAUAGUCACCUUGCCCUUUGGUGGCAGUGCGGCUGACUGAUGCGGUUGGGGUAUGUAAAUACUAUAAUCCCUUCUCCAGGGAUACCUGCGGACCACCUCGGCUAUUGAGGCUUGUCCCAUACCACUACUGAAGAACGGCAUCUGGCCGUAGUCGAGAGUUGCCACGUUUGGAGGAGUGGAAGGUUCUUGUACUCCCUCGUCUCUAGGGAUCUCAAUCCCGAGGUCAUCGUUGUAUAGGACCUCGGGCUGGACCUCGAUCUCCUCGGGCUGCACCUCAACCGCCUCAGCUCGGCGUGAUGCCUCGGCACCUCCACCCUCAGCUUGGUGAGAUGCCUCAGCACCUCCGCCCUCGGACGCGGUCCUUUCCUGGGAGGGGUCAGGCCUCUCUGCCUCAGUGAGGUCAGGUCUCACUGUCUCUUUGUGCGUACGAGCUGUUCUAGCCAUUGUAUCAGAAGGGGAAGAAGUGAACUUACUUAGAAUCUGCGACUGGAAGAAGAUGCCGAAGUAGACGUGGUUUAGAAAGGUUGCCGAAGUGAAAAGAGAAAGAAACAGAGUUCUGGGGUGAUUCUUGAUUUUUGGUGAAGAGUAAAACGGUGAAAAAAGACCACUAUUUAUAGGCCACCAGGGUGAAACCCAAGAGACGGCACCCUCUCUCUUCAUUAAUGGGAGGACUGUUCGUCUGCCAACACAGCUGACAGCCGUCCCUUCAGUUAUCACUCAGUCCCAUCUAUGCGGUCAUGACGUGUCCGUGUUCCGUGUUUUAUACGCUUCUCAGCUUCGGGAAGUAACGACCACGGCGGAUGCCCAUCUCGCCCUUCUCAAAGCUUGGGGGGCUUAGUGAGGAGGGCCAUUUAGGCUCGGAGCGCCCGAGGCCUAGUUCCCCAUCAUUUCCUGAAGUGCCGCCUCGGGUAUUAUCCUGGAAGGCGAUCGCGGCCCAUUUACCACCUCGGCUACAAUGUCAAGUCGUAACACCGAGGUGGACAUUGAAUGACAACUACGAAAAGGGGAGAUGUGAUCUCUGACACCUGAGCAAAGGCUGCUCUGACCCGCCGCCUGAAUCUGACAGAAUGUCCCAUCACGUCUCUUCAUGGAGACCGGUCAAGUCCACCUGAUCCACUGACUAUCUCAGAUCUUUUGGGACCCGUGCAAACAUCUCCUCUCUCCUAUCGGUCCCCUAUAAAUACACAAUAUUUCUACUGAAAAAGGGGAUGACCAAUUUCUGGUAAAACACACUCCACUCAUUACUUACUUCUCUAUAUCCGAACUGACUUAAGUUUCGGAGUUAUACCGGGGGAUCCAGCCCCUUUUCUUAUUCAAGCAGGUGACUUCGUCCAAGAGAGUUGCCCAAGGUAAAGAUAUUCUUCGAAUUGAGGUGACUCACUCCUGCGGGUCGAAAAUCACCUCUUCAAAUGGUAGAAAGUUUUCUUAAGAACCAAGAACAGCAUUAGUAUUCCCUCUGCUUCCAAAAACUUGUGUAUUAAAUAGAUUAAUGAAUUGUUUAACAUGCUCAUCUACUUGAAAAUGCACAAUACCCAUAACCCACUGAAAUUUUUGCAGGAAAAGGGAAAGAGAAUCUGUGUUUGAGAGCUUCAUGAAGAUGUUGAAGAAUAAGAAUAAAAGCCCAAUGCGAGGAUGUUUUCAAGUUUUUCUAUGUCCACUUUAAUUUGUAAAUUGAAUUUUACAACUCAAUUAAUUCCUUGUUUGUGAGGUACGUAUUGUUUUACGUACCAUGCCGUACAUGUUUGUAAGGAUUUCUAUCCUAUUGGCAAAAGUCGGUUCCAUACAAUUAAUCAAUUCAUUUCACUUCUAUUGGCUCUACUAUUUAUGCAUGUUACGACACUCUUUCCCUUAUAUUUUGCCUUUAAUAUUAUGAGUCAAUAGUAAUAAUGGGCCUUUUUCUUAAAAUUAUACUAUUAUACAUAGGUAGUUUGGUCUAACGCUAAAUUCAUGUUUGUCUUUCUUUUAUUCCCUUUACAUCUCAAAGUAUACUAUAGUUUGUAAUCAUUGUGGUGAUGAUAUUACCAGCUGGUACUUAUAGUUUAAGGCAGAGACAUGAUAUUAACAACUAUCUCAUUGAAACAUAAGUCAAAAUCAUGACAAGUGUGAGUCUUGGUUAAUGCACAAUUUGUUAGUGGAAUUUAUAUUUAUAAAACUCAAAAAAAAUUUUUGACAAUGCUAUUACUAAUUAAUUAAGGACUUCAUUGCUAUAAUUUAUCGCUUACUAGUUUAAACUAUAAAUGAUCUCAAUACUUUUCUCCAUGAUGUCGAUUUCUUUAGACUACGAAAGGGAAAAAUUAGUGACAUAUCCCUUACUGAUUACAACAUCAGCAAAAAUUAGUUAUAAACUUUUCCGGUGGUUUUAAAUCCCUCGGGCACUAAGGUUUUUUGCACAUCGAGUGAAUUAAGGAACAUAGGCAAUUCGUUCUGCAUACCAAGUCCUUGUUUAAGAUGCACGUACUAAAAUGCAUCCACUUCAUUAAUUUGGAAAAUUGCCAUAGUUUUUUUUAAGCAUUUUGAUUUUUUACAUGAUUCAAAAUUUUCUUAUUGGAUACAAUCACUUUGUGUCAAGAACACAUUUUCAAUCAUCUUUUUUAUCUUCUCAAUAAGAAAAUAAAAAUUUAUUCAUGCUUUUCUAACAUAUCCAAUCAUUGAUCUGAAAAAUAAAGAAUUAAAAAAAAAAGACAUUUUCAAUCAUUGCUUACAGGGCAACUUCCCCAUGUGAACCUCUUCAAACAAAGCCAAUAAUAUGAAGGAACAUCUAAAUACACUUUUGCCCUAAAGGCUGGUUGCCUUGGGGUCAAAAUUUAACCUUCGGGAGUAUAAUUACCCGCCAAAUUUAUUAUUUUUUAUGGGUAUAUAGUUCCAAUUUUGCCUCCUGUUAAGCUUAUAAAUAUAUUACGACCCAGAAAAUAAAGGAAUCUUGAAUAGUAACAUGUCCAUUGACUUGAGUUGUCAUCAAUUUGGCUACUUCGAUUCCAUGAGGCCAAUCCAAUUCACACUAGCUAGAGAAAAUGGUGAUAAAGGCACUUAGAAAUUUAUAUGUAAUAUUGAUUGGUAGUAACUGAUAAGUAUAUAUUUUACGUGUUUUAAAUAUGUUUUAUUAGUUAGUUUUGGUGUGUUUUAACUACUUUUAUAACUAAUUAACUAGGAAUCUAGUGAAAAUAUGCAUUUUGUGGUUUGAAGUGUGAAAAUUGUAUUUCUAUGGAUUUUAAUGGUGAAAACUUCAUGUUUUUGUAGGUUUAAUGAUUCAAUCAUCAAAUGACAUGAUUUGAGAAGAUAAUUAGAUGAUUGAUGAUGUUUUGAAGUGAUAAAAAGAGAAUACAAAGUGCAAGAGAGGAAAUGCAAUCAAGAAUAAAAGAAGAAAAUUUUUGUAGCUUUGACAUAUUGUGGUAUUUUGGCAAUAUAUUGAGCUACAAUGAUUGGAUUAAGGUGAUUCUUAAACCAUUUGAAGCUAAGAUAUAGAUCUACAUUUGGUAUGAAGGCAUCGAAACCCAUGUCAGUCAUUUUCCUUGUCAAAAUGUUGAAAUACAGAAGUGCAACUCUGUUCUCGAAAGCUAAAACAGAGCUCUGGCUAGUCGAGGGUAUUUUCAUCAUUUCUUAGUCCACAGAGCUCCAAAUGAGAUGAUUCUUAAGGCAUUAGAACCCUAACUCAAAGAGCUACAACUUUCAUAUUUUGUACAAGAGUUAGUUCGGCCUCCAUCAUUCAGAAAAUAGUAGUUGAAGUGGUGCCAAAUGCAUAGAAGUGAAAACGCGAGCUAUCAAUACUCGACCUGAAGUCGCGUAUUCCUGAGGUCAUGCAUUCUCUUCUAUUUUCUGCAACUUGCCCUGCUUUCACAUAAUUUUUUCAUCUCAAUUCCAACUAUCAAUUUCGGCUAUAUCUGAUCAAGAAAAGUGUGGAAAGUUUGAAAGACAACUCAUAGGAGUUUCAAGAGUCAAAAAUUACAAUUAGAAACAACUCAUUUGGCUCUUGAAUCCUCUAUAAAUAGAGGCCUUUGAAGAACAUUUUCACAACUUUGGAAGGUUAGAGAAACUCCACAAAAACAUAGUCUUCACUAGAAUUUCCUUAGUUCAUUAGUUAGGGUAGUAUAGUAUAGUUAGUGUAGCUUUUCCUUCUUGUAUUUAUAGUUAGGUUUGAAUGAAGAUUCAGGAGCAAAGAUAGAGAGGUUGAUCUCAUGUGACAAGGGUGAUAUCUCUUCUACUACUUUCUCUUUUGUAUUUGAUUUCAUAUUUAACUAUACUACAAAUUUGGCUUUGUUUUUUUUUUUUAUCAUGUUUAGUUAAAGUUUAUGCCUAGAGUAUGGAUGACCUUUCUAUAUCUUGUUUGUGAUAUUUAACUGGUUAUUUGAUGAUGUUAUUUUUGAGCAAGUUAUUUAUCACUUUUGCUUUUCUAAUCGUGAUUAACUGGCCAUUAGUUGUGAUUAUCUAAAAGUGUUAAGUUUGUAAUGAGAAUUGGAGUUUAACACUAGUUCAAGGAAGUGAUAAAUUUAGGGAGUUCACUCAUGAGAGUAGAGGAACACCUUUGUGACCUAAGUGACUUGUUUCAUAUAAUUUCAUAGAAAAAAUGAACUUGUAAUUAAUUUCAUAACCACGAGAGUAAGUAUGGUUUAGCUAUAUGUAUAGUUGAUUCACUACGAGAGUAGGUUUCACAUACAUUAGAAAAUUACAUCAUAACUAGUCAAGAUAAUAUCAUUCAUUUAAUCAGUAAUCUCAUUUGCAUGAGUAGUAAGGCAUUCCAUAUCUCUAGGAGGUUUUUAGUAUUAUUUUCAUUACUUUUAUGUUUAUGGUAGUCUAGAUAAUAAUGGAGUUCAAAAACUACUAGUAAUUGAAAAUUUUCCCUGUGGGAUCGACCUUUAAUACCCUAUACUCGCUCUCGACUCGUAUACUUGCGAAAAAUCACGUGUGCGGUAUUUAGAAUUUAUAAAUGUAAAACUUGACUGUAGAUGAACUAAUUGAUAUAUGUAUACCCCGCACUCGUCAGUAACCAGCUUGUAUUGAUCCCAUUAUUGUGGAUAAUUGUGCUCUUAUGAAAAAAAAUUAUAAAAAAAUUAGCAAAAUUUAUGAUAACAAAUUAAAUUUAUUCAUACAAAUCAGUGAAAGAAGUAGAAUUUUAAAGACCAUGAUGAAAUUAAUACUUUCAAGGGCUCUAUUAGGAAGACUUCACUUGUUGGUGAAACUACACUAGCACAGUUAUAUGCACAUUUACUGUUUUGGUAUCUAAUUUCCUUGCCUUAAGUUGGGUGCAGAUGUUUAUAUUACAAAUAGAUGGUAUCAUAAAAUUGUUGUAUUCACGUUUGUUCUUUUUUUUUCUUCCUUAAGUUUUUUUCUUUAUUCUCGUGACUUCAAAAAUACGAACUCAAGAAAUUGGCUGCUUAAUCAAUAUGUCAUACAGGCUUCGCUAGUGAGGUAUAACUUCACAACUAGAGUCAAUAGAAAUUAUCAAAUGAUUUUUUAACAUCCAAAUUAAGCAAUAAAUUUUGUUUUCAUUUUAUGACAUAUAAUAGUACUACUUCAUGAGAGAUUUUAUAGUUUCUUUUAGGUAUCAUACCUACAAGUGAUAUUUGUCAUUGGAUAGUGACAGAAGUGUUAAUGAUUGUAAGAUUAAAUAUUGUUAAAUAUUGAAAUUUAAACUAUUUAUCUUUAUUGAAAGAUACAAGUUAAAGAAUCGUUCAAGGGGGCAAUUUUCCAUCUUGUCUUUUUGAAAAAACGCUAUCACAUUGUAUAGGCAUGAUAGGUUCAAAUUUGUCAUUAAAUUUAUGAUUGAUUUCCCUUUUAUUCAAGCCAAAUAUUGUUUUAAUUAUCAAAUUCUACUUAUAUUUGGUUAAUUGUACUAAUUGUAGGGCGGUAGAGCAAAAGUUGCUAAAAAUAGGUGAUUUUCUGCAAAUUGGUUGUCAAGGCUGAAGGAUUUGGGAUUCGCAUGUUCAAGGCCUGUUUCCAAGUUUGAUUCAAACUCUGGACAGUUUUAGAGGAAGAUUUGGAAGAUUUGAAAUUUCAUUAUUAGUUUUAUGGUUGAAUUAGGAAUCUUGGAAUAAUUUCUUUUGUGAUUUAUUUUUCUAUUUAGGAGACUAGUUGUUAUUUAGUAGUAGACUUCAAUUAGAAAACAAAGAGAAAAAGAAGGCCGGAAUCCCGCUUGAUUAAUACCUUGGCCAGGGAACAAUCUCGGUGGGGAGGACGGCCACUUAGCCUCUCAAUUCAUCUUGCUUUUCGUUAGUUUGAGAGGAAAACCAAUUGCAACUAGAUUCAAUGGAGUCUGGCAGAAUUUCUUCUAGGAUGCGUAGCUAAAUCCUCAAUUUUUAGUCGAAGGUCAAUUUGAAAAUUCGGUUCCAAAUAUCUGUGAAAUCGAAUUAUUUUACUUAUUUCUUUUAUUUAUUGGUAUUCGCACGUUUUCUGAUUUAACUUUUUAUGAUUGUUUUGUUAUUUGAAUGUCAAGGGUCCGAUAUUCGAAUUAACUUAAUAAUCUACUGCCAAAUUAACCGGUUAAAUCCGUAAUUGUUUGAUUGAUUAAUAUCAGUGGCGACUAGCGUGAUUGGUCCCAUGUUAGGAAAACGUCUGAUCUAAUUUAAACAAACCGUCGUAGCGUGUUUGUUGAUUAGGGUUGGACUUUUCUAAUUCUUAAUUCAAUUGAGAAAUUAAAUCUCCCGGUCGUACCUAAGAUUAUUUUUUUGUUAGCGAAAUAGUUAAUGGUCGUACCUUGACUAUCGAAAAAGUAAGGAAGAGUUGAUUGUUUAUCGCGUGUACGACAACUAUAAUCAAUCUAUUAAUGAGUAAUUGAAUUAUCUUUGCAUCAGUAAUCAGUUGAAUGGACCGUGUCUGAAAAGUUGUACCUUUGGCUAGAGUCUUAUCUGUUGUUGAUUCAUUCAUAUCUAUCUUCAUGCGUUGUUUUAAUUUAGUUAAUUAGUUAUUUUUAUAAAAACCCCUCAUCUCUGGACUCUAAAAGAAAUAAAUUAUUUCUAGUUCCUGUGGAUUCGAUCCUACUCACCGCUAUAUACAAAAUUUGUAUUUUUUUGAAUAAAUAAUUAUUAUUACACAGGCUUGACACCUGUCAAGGCAAAAUUUCCUUAACUUCAUCAUCUGUAGACGUAAACUUUCUACGGGUGAUAUAAUAUAAGGAAAUUUUGCCUAUACGAUGUGAUAGCAUUUUUUCAAAAAAGACAAGAUGGAAAAUUGCUCCCUUGAACGGAAAAAAUCAUGAUCUUUCCUCAAACUAGUCUACUAGUCAAUUCUUUACAAAAGAAUACUCGCUCCUAAACAUAGCCUGUUCAUCUACACUGUCCCGCAGAAUUCUAGAAAGUUAGGCAAAACUAGACAAGUUGACAGGUAUAAUCAUACCCAAGAUCAGGAACAAGCAGUUGCACAUUUCAAAAUUCGCUGCUGCAACAGCUAAUUUGAUGACUUACAACACUACACGGUCAAACUUUGAAUGGCAAUGGAUCUUUUGUUGUACGUCAUGAUGUAAUUUUCAUGUUACAUACAUUAAUAGGUUGAUAUCUAUAUUCUUUAAAUUAUCAUGAUAAUACCCUUAAUUAGAUUUAACUGAUAAAAAGAACACGUGUUAAUAUACAAAAGUGUGUAACGUGAAUGUUACAUUACUGUAUUGCAGAAGACCUAUAGUCUCUUCAUAUCUCUUCCUGCACGUAUCAAUUCGUUUCCUCUAGAUAAUAAUCUCCCAACUCGUUUCUUUACAAAUGCACCUUUUAUGUUUUAUUACCUCCAAAAGCCUUUACAGGGUCUUUACCCUAAAAAUCAAUUCACCGACUCGCAUUUGAUGUCAGAAAUUCUUAAGACGAAUUCUACUUUACUCAAAGAUUGACUGUUAAUAAUGAGACAGCGACCAUUUUGUAUUAUUAGACCGUCCUUCUUGAUAGGUAAAAGAAAUAGAGAGGAAAGUGGGUCCGUAUAUGGUCUUUUAUUCAUAGAUAAUACAACAUUACGCCAUCGAGCAUUCACACAAUAUUUCAAAGUCAUAGCAUGCCUAAGGCCCUGUUUGAUAGCUCAAUUUCGUAAUUAAAUUUAAUAGAUUCAAAUUUUAACACAUUUAAAUCAUUUGAUAACAAAAAAUUGAAUAUUUAAAUUAAUUAAGUAACACUGAACUUUCUAAACAAAACUUGCUUUCAAAAUUAAGUGAUAAGUUAUUCACUUAUCUUUGAAUGUGAUAUGCACUCAAAUAUAUUAAAUUUAAUAAUUUAAUGGAUUCAGAUUUCAGAUUUCAGUUUUAUUACACACCCUAAGUUGCAAAAUAAUACCAAAACUUGUUAUUAUAUAGCUUGAGAUUCAAAAAUUUAGAGCAUAAUUCUCAACCUAACACAAUCGAAUAAUGAAUAUUCACGAUUGUUUCAAAGUACAAUUUGAGGACAACCCAUUCCAACGCGUACACGAUUUUUAACUUUUCUAAAGUUGUUGAGAGCUGUUAAAAGAGAUUUACCAUGUUUACAUCUUCCAAGUCUUGGAAGUGAAAAAUGAAGCCACUGAGUGCUAUAAAAAGGGGGCUAGAGGCUGCCUAGAAGCAUAUCAGCCUAAAACAAGAAUUUGUAGUAACAAUGGGGAGCAAAGCAAAAGCAACGGGGUCUAGGCUGACUCCUCUUCUUACCACUGUUUUAGUGGUAUUUGUCGCCCUUGGCUUGCCCUUGGAAACUGCAGCUGAUUAUUACAAGUAUUCAUCUCCUCCUCCUCCUCCUUACCACUAUUCUUCACCACCACCUCCAGUGUAUUCACCUCCACCAACCCCUGCUUAUAAGUUACCCCCACCAUCUCCUCCAGUUUACAAGUCCUCACCACCACCUUACCACUACUCACCACCUCCGGUGUAUUUACCUCCACCAUCUCCAGUUUACAAGUCACCACCACUACCCCCUCCGGUAUACAACUCCCCGCCUCCACCAGUGUACAAAUACAAGUCCCCACCACCACCUCCUCCAGUUUACAAAUCUCCAUCGCCACCAGUUUACAAAUACAAGUCACUCCCACCACCUCCUCCGGUAUACAAGUCUCCUCCGCCACCUGUUUACGAGUACAAGUCUCCUCCACCACCUCCUCCAGUGUACAAGUCCCCACCACCUCCAGUUUACAAGUACAACUCACCUCCACCUCCUCCCCCAGUUUACCUGUCUCCACCUCCACCCUAUCAUCACUACUACGGUUCUCCUUCUCCUCACCACUACUAAGCAAGUGCAUAAGUUUUGAGGUAAUAAUACCUAUCCAAAACUUUAUCAACACAAACUGCCAUGUAUAUUAUCAUGCUAAGGACGUACACUUGAUCCAUGAAAAUGACUAGUAGAAGAUUUUUUUUAAGAACCAAAGAAAUACAUUAUUUUUUCGGUCUGUUUUCAAGAAUUUGAGCAGUAUACAGAUUAAAGAGUGUUUUUUUUUUUGUAAACUUGCUUGUCAACUUAAAAAUGCACAUAGCUGAAAGCCAACUGAAUAUUUGCAGGCAAAGGAGAAGGCAAUCGGUGUUUGAGACCUUCAAGAAGAUGUAGAAGAAUAAGAAUAAAAGCCCAAUGCGAGGAUGAUUCCAAGUUUCUACGUUACCAUUUCUACAUCUAAAUUGACUUUAGCUCCUGAGUUCCAUGUUUAUGGGGUUUGUACCGUUUUACGUACCAUGCAGUACAUGCUUGCAAGGUUUUCUGUCCUGUUGGCAAACUGCAGGUCCAUAUAAUAAAUGAAUACUAUUUACAUUACGACACUUUUCUCUUUUUCUCUUAUAUUUUGUCUUUAAUAUUGUUGAUCAUUUUUUUUUUAUCAAAAGCAUCAAAUGCUUAGGUAAUUUGGUCUAAUGCUAAUUGUUUUACUUUUAUUUUUCACCUACACCCCUUUUCAACUCAAAGGAUGCUAUAGUUUGUGAUAAUUGUUUAAGACCGAAGCAUGAUACUAAUAAAUAUCUCAUUGAAAGUCAAGGAAACUAACAUUAGGAAAAGUUUAAAUCUUGAUUUGAUGAAACUAUUUAUUCGUGGAAUUUAGAGAUACAAAACUCAAAUUGUGACGGUGUUGUUGCUAAAUUAUUAAGGACAUUAUCACCAUUAUUUUUCCCUGAUCACUAGUUUCAACUGCAAUGAUCUCAAUCUUUUUGUGACUAAUUCUUUCCUUAAUAAUUUAUAAAGACAAAACUCACAAAGAAUAUGUGACUAAUUCUUUCCUUUCGUCUUCUAAAGAAAAUGCCAACUGUUAGUUUAUCAAGGGGAAAAAGGAUCGACAUCAGUUAUUAUUGAAACUAGUAAGGAAUAAAUAAUGGUGAUAAUGUCCUUAAUAAUUUAACAACAGCACCAUCAGAAUUUGACUUUGAGCUUCGGUCUUAAACAAUGAUCACAAACUACAGCAUCCUUUGAGUUGAAAAAGGAAGUAGGUGAAAAGAAAAGUAAAAAAUACAAUUAGCAUUCCCUCAAAUUGUAGAAAGUUAGGUAGCAUUAUAGACAAGUUGAUAGCGGCAAUUUUACAUUUCAAACUUCACCUAUUCAAUAACUAAUUCGAUGGCUUGCUACAUGGUCAAUCUUUGGACCCCUUCCUGCCUCCAGAUAUCCCUUUCCUCAAUCAGGGGCUUCUACAAUUACCAGUUUCAAUUGUAUGGUAUAGUGUAAAUAUCAACAAAUUAGAUGUAGAUGCUAACAUAAUAAAUGUGAAUGCUAAGACAGCAACAUACAAUCGAACCUGCAAUUGUAUGAACCCCAAUCUCGCUUCCUAGUCCACCAUCUUUCUCUAGGUAAUAAUCUCCCUUCUAAUUUAUUCACAAAAUGCACCUUUCAUCACCUCCAAUAGCGUCGACAUGAUCUUUACCCUAGAAGACUAUUCACCGACUCUCAAUUGACGUCAGAAAAUCUAAGAGUAAUUCUACUUUACCCUAAGAUUGAUAUCAACAAGACAAGGACAAUUUAGAAUUAUUACACGCCUCUUCUUAAUAGGAAAAAGAAAUAGAGAAGAAAGUCAGGCCAGGUCUAAUUUCUUUUCAAAGGCAAUACAACAUUACGAAAUCAAGCAUUCAUUCAUACAAAUAUUUCAUAGUCACCGGUUUGCUGAGUAGAAAAAUUUAGACAAAAACUUAAUAUUAUAUUGUUUAAGAGUUAACAAUUUAGAGCUUAAUCUCCUUGUACUUUGGAGUUAACAAUUUAGAGCUUAAUCUCCUUGUACUUUGGACUAAACUUGAACGUGAAAGGAAAUCCCAAAACCAUAUUGGGCAUGAAUUCACACUUAAUAUACCCAAUAAAAGAUGGCGACUGGUGAAAGGCAGUGGAGACUGGUGGAGAGAUUUGAGGAAUAGAAGCAGACGGAAAAGCAACAAAUUUUUGCCGAAAAACGGUCACUUUCAUGGUUAAUUUUGCUACUCUCCAAUUGUACUUGACCAAUUACAACAAUUUCAUGGAGUUUGAUACGUGAAAAGAAUUUUUUAUAAAUUUUAUUUUGAUCCAUAAUGUUAUCUUUACAUAUAUAAAACAUUUUACAAUUUUGAUUUUGGCGCAGCUAACUUUUGGUUAACAAAAAUGCUCAUGUUUAAAAAACCAGAAAUAAAACAAAACAAGAAACAAAAGAAAUAAGAGGGUAGCAUAGACAUUUUGGAUUUUUCCGUUAAUUUGGAUGAUUUCCACCCACGUUCUAAUUUAAUCCAAAACACAAAGGAAUUACGUAGAGGUUUUAAAUAAUGAGGGAGCUUCAUGAUCGAACCCCAAACCACAAGGCGAUUUACUAUAUUUUACUCUUAAAUUUUGGUUUCAUCUCAUAGCAUACAAGAGUUCUAUUUCACUAUCUGUAGACAAAGACUUUCUAUGGUUGAUGUACCAUAGGAAAAAAUCUGCCUAUACAACGUGAUAGCAUUUUUUCAAAAACACAAGAUGGAAAAUUGCCCCUUAAACGGGGAAAUUCAUGAUCUUUCGUCGAACAAAGAAUACUCACGCCUAUUCAAGAUGGAAAAUUGCCCCCUUAAACGUCUAUUUGUCAAUUCUUGAAAAAAGAAUACUCACGCCUAAAACACGGCCUCUUCAUCUGCAGAAUUCUAAAAAGUUAGGUAAACUCUAUAAACAAGUUGAUAGGUACAAUCGUACCCAAGAUCAAGUACAGAUAGUUGUACAUUAACUGCUGCAAUAACUAAUCUGAUGACUUAUAAACAUAUCAUGGUCAAUCGUUGAAUGGUAAUGAGUCUUUUGUUAUGCAUUAGUAUUAGUGUGUACACUCUAAUAGAUUGAUACUUAUACUCUUUAAAUUAUCAUAAUAAUACCCUUAAUUAACUUUAACUCUUAAAAAGAAUACAUGUUAAUACACGAGUGUGUGUAACCUGAAUUGUUACUUAUAAAUUAGUGUGUAAUAGAUAGGGAUGGCAAUGGGGGCGGGUGCCCGCGGGGGGCUCUCGGGGCGGGGGUUGGGGCGGGGGGGAAUUUUUUCCCCCCGUUUAGAAAUGGGGCAGGGGACGGGGGAGUAUACCCCCGCCCCAUCCCCCGCAAAAAAAAAAUUAUAUAUAAUAUGUAAUUUAAUUAGUUAUAAACUUAUGAUAAUGAUAUUAUUAGUUAGAUGUAUUAUAUAAUGUAUAUUAGUGUAUGUAAUAUAAUUAAUAUUAUCAAUUAUAUGAAUAAUUAGACAUGUCUACUAAUAGAAUUUAUGAAUUAGUUAUACUAAAUUUACUAAUACAUUUAUACUAAAUUUCUAAUUACACUUAAUAGAAUAACACUUUUUUCUAAAACAAAAAAGCACAAACACAAUAAUGAAUUAGUGAUUGUAUGAUAGGGUGUAAUUUUACUAUUUAUUUUAUUAUUAAUUUCCCCUAUCACCUGACCUGAUGUGGAUUAAUUGCUGGAUUCUGCUCACUUUUAGUACUUUGUAUUUAUUUCAGGGAGUAGAACGGAAAUUUGAUAACAGGUGCUAAUUUGGCAGAAAAAGAGUCCAGAUGAUAGAGCUUGCCCCAAGGGCAUUUUUGGAAAGGAGAACUUGUGCCCAUCUUGGUAAUUUGGGAGAAAAGGGAAACAGACAAAAUGGGUCUAACAUGGAUUGGAAGCGGCCGCACAGUAGCAGGGAAGAGGGCAGACGUAAAAGCAAUUGCAGGGGGGAAAAGGAGUUUUUUUAGUUUUUAGCUUAGCAUCUGAUUUUCCCUGGGAGACUUUUGUUAAAGAUUUCCUUUUGGCUGAUAUUACGCAUGGCAGAUGGCUUUUAACUUAUUCCUCCAUCUUUGACUUUUCUUCUUUAGCUUGUGGCAGUGGAUUGCUACUUACGAAUGUCAGCACUUAGCCAUUCGUGGCUUUUGAUCUUUUCUUCCUUAGAAAUUCUGAGUAACCUCUUUUCCUUUGUGCGCCAGACGAAGUGAAAACUAUAAACUUUUGUAGUUUUUCUAUUCAUUCAAUAUAUUGAGACGAGUUGGAUUCUACCAAAUUUCAACGGACAUGGCCGCUGGUUUCUCUUCAAUUUUAUAUGGGCUUUGUUCAUCCAACAUGAACUAAUUUCACCACUCUAGUCAAGGAGCAACGAAGGCUCUGAUUUGCCUAAAAAUUGUGAGAUCGUUUUAAUUUAAUCUUUUCCUUUUAUUUAUUGGUAUCCGCACAUUUCUUGAUUGCUAUGCUUAUGGUUAUUUAAUUAAUUGAUUGUCUUGGAUCCAGAUAAUUAAUUGAUCUGAUAGCCUAUUGUCAAUUAGGGCAUUUAAAUCCGUAAUUGUUUAAUUGUCCUGAAAUAGUGACAACUGGCACGAUUAGAUUCGUGCCAGGGGGGAUAUGCGGGCUAAUCUAAAAUAACCCUGGUAGUGUGUUAUUUGGUUAGAAUAGGGCUCCUCUAAUACUAAGGCAAUUGGGGAAUUAAAUUCUACGGGCGUACCUAGGAUUAUUUCUUAAUUAGAGCAGUGAUUAACGGGCGUACCUUGAUCACCGACACAGUAAGGAGGGGUUGACCGUCAUCGCUUGUUUGGCAGUUAUAACCUAUUUAUCAGUAAAUAAUUGGGAUUGCCUUGCAUCAAUGAUCAAUUAGGUGAACCAUUGUUGAAGUUACUUCUUGGUUAGAUCUUUAGUUAAUAUUACCUUGAUUUUGGUGAAUUGCCAUUUGAUUUUUAGUUGCCUACUUUAUUUUAUUUUUAAUUGUUUCCUUGCUUUAAUUGAGUUAGGCCUUUAAUUAUUGUUAUUCUAAGUUUAGUGAAUUGUGGUUUAAUUCCUAAUUAGUUAUUUAUUUUUACUUUCUUAUUUGAAUUUAUUUGCUUGUUAUCAUUCCUACGAAAUCACCCCCCUGUGUUACUUUGGAUUUCUUAAGAAACAAAUAUACCCAAUCCCUGUGGAUACGACCCUACUUGCUCUGUUCACGAAUUCAUAAUUAUUUGUGAAAAGAAAUAACCAUUCCACUCGGGUAUAUCGGAUCAAGCAAAUUCUUCGGGAACAGGGUGAAUCAAGUAACCCAAUGCACACCUAGAGUCCCUGCUCCAGUACUUGGAAUUGGGUUUUGGUCAUUUUAACUGGCAAUUAGGUUUAAUUUUAUUAUUGCACAGGCUGACGACCCUGUCAAUUUUUGGCGCCGUUGCCGGGGACUGGCGUUAUUAUUUGUUUCUUUUUAAAUUCAUUCUUUGUCCUAAUUUUCUGGUUUUCUUCUAGUGUAUGCCUCGAUCUUCUCGUACAGGUAAUUUGAUUUUUGACCCUGAGGUAGAGAAGACCGCAUGUAGAACGAGAAAGGAAACCAGACAGCUCAGAGAAGAGCACUCCAGUGCUACAUCUCAGAGACCCGAGUCAGAAGUUGAACUAACAGAUUCGUUUGGUAACACUUCGAGUGACUCUGACCAGGAGGAAGACACCAUGGCUAAUGCACGAACAUUAAGGGAGUUGGCUGCUCCUGAUUUAACUCAGCAGCCUUUAUGCAUUACUUUCCCCACUUUAAAUGAUAACAUUCCAUUUGAACUAAAAUCUGGUCUGAUUCAGCUUUUACCCUCUUUUCAUGGUUUACCAGGUGAAGAGCCGUAUAAGCAUCUGCAGGAGUUUGAUGUCGUGUGUAAUAGUAUGAAACCCUCGGGAAUCACAGAAGAGCAGAUAAAAAUGAGGGCAUUCCUCUUCUCCUUGAAAGAUUCUGCGAAGGACUGGCUGUACUACCUGUCACCAGGUAGCAUCACCACGUGGGACCAAUUGAAGAAAAAAUUUUUGGAUAAAUAUUUUCCUGCGUCCAGGGCUGCAAGUCUAAGGAAAGAAAUUUGUGGGAUCAAGCAGCAUCCAGGGAAGUCACUUUAUGAGUAUUGGGAACGGUAUAAGAACUUGUUGCGCAGGUGCCCCCAACACCAAAUAAGUGAGCAAUUGAUCAUACAGUAUUUUUAUGAGGGGCUCCUUUUUAGAGACAGGAGCAUCAUUGAUGCCAGGGGGGAGGGUUGGGAUGGGUGGUACGGGGGGAGGGAGUGUAAGCAAGAGGUCUCGGGUUCGAGUCCUCCCGCUUACACACAAAAAAAAAGAUGCUGCAAGUGGAGGGGCACUGGUAAACAAAACCCCUCAGGAAGCACGGGAGUUAAUAGAGGGGAUGGCAGAGAAUUCACAACAAUUCAGUACAAGAGAGGAUGUCCCAAUACGUAAGGUGAAUGAGGUAGAGACACCCUCUAUGCAGCAGCAGCUAACUGAGUUGACCGCGUUUGUUAGGCAACUGGCUGUGAGAAAUGCAUCACAAGCCAGGGUGUGCGGGAUUUGCACUGGUAUGGGUCAUUCUGCAGACAUGUGCCCAAUGAUUCAGGAAGAAACUGCAGAACAGGUGAACAUGGCUGACCACGCGCCCGCGCCAAGGAAGCAGUACGACCCUUACUCAAGCACCUACAACCCCGGGUGGAGAGAUCAUCCCAACCUCAGUUAUGGAGAAAAUAGGCAGCCCAACAUUACACCGAACAGGCAGUCUAACUUUGUGCCAAAUAGGCCACCAGGGUACCAGCAGCAAUAUCAACCCCGACCACCUCCGUCCCCAAGCUCUGGCCCAUCUUUGGAGGAGAUGAUGAAACAAAUGAUGACAACUAUGGCUCAAAAUCAGCAAAUGACGGAGGCAACCAUUAUGCAAAAUCAGCAAAGGACGGACUCCGAAAUGAAGGAUAUAAGGAAUCAGAUAAGUCAAAUGGUCACAACAAUCAACCGUUUGGAUUCCCAGAACCAAGGUAAAUUGCCAUUUCAGCCCGAAUUAAAUUCGAAGAACGUGAGCGCAAUGACCCUAAGGAGCGGGAAAGAAAUUCAGGGGUCUGAACCUGUGAUCCCUAAGGAUAAGGAUGAGGAAAAGAUCGAAAAUGAGCUUGAAAGGGAGGACAGCAAUGGUGCAGAUCUAAAGGUACUUCCUGACCCAAUAAUUACAGCUAAAACUAACCCGCCUCCUUUUCCUAGCAGGUUGGAAAAAUCGAAAAAAGAGGAUAAGGAGAAGGAGAUCUUGGAGGUUUUUCGCAAGGUUGAGAUAAAUAUCCCCCUCUUAGACGCAAUCAGACAAGUACCAAAAUAUGCCAAGUUCCUAAGGGACUUGUGUGUCAACCGAAGGCAGUUGAGGGAAGAUGAACGGGUUAUUGUUGGGGAGAAUGUGUCAGCAGUCCUGCAGAGAAAGCUCCCACCAAAGUGCGGGGACCCAGGUAUGUUUACUAUUCCCUGUAGGAUAGGUAAUACUGUGAUAGAAGGGCCAUGUUGGAUCUGGGAGCAUCAAUUAAUCUCAUACCUAAAUCUAUCUAUGCUUCUCUAAAAUUAGGUCCAUUAAAAGAAACUGGAAUAAUCAUUCAAUUAGUUGACCGAACUAAUGCAUAUCCUGAUGGGUUGGUUGAAGAUGUGUUGGUAAAAGUUAAUGAUUUGAUGUUUCCAGCUGAUUUUUAUGUACUUGAUAUGGAUGAUGAUCACUCCCCUGAUCCCUCACCUCUGUUAUUGGGUAGACCCUUUAUGAGCACAGCACAGACGAAAAUUGAUGUUAAUAAGGGUAUCUUGUUCAUGGAGUUUGAUGGGAAAAUUGUGCAUUUCAAUAUCUUUGAUACUAUGAAAUAUCCCUCAAACUCCAACUUUAGCACAGUUUUCUCUGUGAGUGCUAUUGACCCUGUAGUGCAGGAAGUGUUUGAAACUGAUGGCAGGGAUGAGUUGGAGGUGGCUUUGACCAAGCACCUCGAGUUGGAGACAACUCCUGAGGUGGAAUGGAGCGAGGACCUAAAAUGCACAAUAGGUGCAUUACACUCAUUGCAGUCCACCACGAAAAGGUAUGAAGUCUUACCUAUUUUUACUCCCGAACCUCACCAGAGGGUGUUGCCAUCUGUGGUGCAGGCACCUGUACUAGAAUUUAAACCUCUAUCAGAGCACCUGAAAUAUGCAUAUCUGGGUGAUAAUGAGACACUCCCGGUGAUUAUCUCAUCGACACUGUCAAAAAUCCAGGAGGAGAAACUGAUCCGGGUCCUUAGAGAGCAUAAAGAGGCGAUAGGUUGGACAAUCGCAGAUAUUAAGGGGAUCAGCUCGGCCAUCUGUAUGCACCGGAUUAGACUAGAAGAGGAUGCCAAACCUGUUAGGCAGGCUCAAAGGAGGCUCAACCCCCUAAUGAUGGAAGUUGUAAAGAAAGAAAUUUUAAAAUUGCUAGAUGUGGGGAUUAUUUUUGCAAUAUCAGAUAGCCCUUGGGUAAGCCCGAUCCAGGUAGUCCCAAAGAAGGCAGGGGUGACGGUGGAGGCAAACCAAACGGGUGAGCUCGUGCCAGUGCGCAAACCCACUGGAUGGAGGCAGUGUAUAGACUACCGUAGGCUAAACGCCGUCACCAAAAAGGACCAUUUCCCUCUCCCUUUCAUUGACCAAAUGGUUGAACGUUUAGCUUGUAGAGCUUAUUAUUGCUUUUUGGAUGGAUUUUCAGGAUACUUUCAGAUAGCAAUUGCUCCAGAGGAUCAAGAGAAGACAACCUUCACGUGCCCGUUCGGGACCUUUGCUUAUAGACGAAUGCCAUUUGCGUUGUGCAAUGCACCUGCAACAUUCCAGAGGUGUAUGGUAAGUAUUUUUUCUGAAUAUGUGGAGAAAAUUAUUGAAGUUUUCAUGGACGAUUUCAGUGUGUAUGGUGAUAGUUUUGAUACGUGUUUAGAUAAUCUGAAAUUGAUCCUGAUAAGGUGUAUAGAGACUAAUCUUGUGCUUAAUUGGGAAAAAUGUCAUUUUAUGGUUGAGCACGGGAUAGUCCUGGGUCAUAUUGUAUCGUCUAAGGGCAUAGAAGUUGACAAGGCUAAAAUAGAUAUUAUUUUUGCAUUACCUUACCUCGCGAGUGUGCGGAAGGUGCGUUCUUUUCUUGGACAUGCAGGUUUUUAUCGAAUGUUCAUCAAGGAUUUUUCAAAAAUUGGAGCCCCGUUAUUCCAACUCCUACAAAAGGAUGUGACCUUCGAAUUCGAUGAUAAGUGUGAGGAAGCCUUCAACAAGUUGAAAGAAUUGUUGACCUCACCCCCAAUUAUCCAGCCCCCUGAUUGGAGUCUACCAUUUGAGAUCAUGUGCGAUGCCAGUGAUCAUGCCGUAGGGGCUGUAUUGGGGCAAAGAGUAGGGAAGGCAGCUCACGUCAUCUACUAUGCAUCCCGAGCAUUGAAUGGAGCCCAAUUGAAUUACUCCACUACUGAAAAGAAGCUUCUUGCAGUUAUUUUUGCUUUAGAAAAAUUCAGGUCAUAUUUGCUAGGUGCUAAAGUAAUUGUAUUUUCUGACCAUGCAGCAUUAAGGUACCUAAUGACCAAGAAAGAUGCCAAACUGAGGCUCAUUAGGUGGAUAUUGCUACUGCAGGAAUUUGACCUGGAGAUACGGGAUAAAAGGGGCUCAGAGAAUUUAGUAGCUGACCAUCUGAGUCGUAUACCCGUUGGAGAGGAUAAUGAACCAUUGAGGGAUGCGUUCCCUGAAGAGCACUUAUUUUCUUUAAAUUCUCAGUUGCCUUUGUAUGCCGAUCUGGUCAAUUAUUUGGUAACUGGUAAUUUUCCUGCAGGUUGACCAAAAUCGAAGAGGGAUAAAUUGAAGAGCGACGCCAAGUAUUUUAUUUGGGACGACCCGUACCUAUGGAAGAGGUGUGCAGAUCAAGUGAUGCGGAGAUGUGUAAGUGAAAUGGAAUUUCAAUCGAUUUUAGCUUUUUGUCAUACUUUUGCCUGUGGAGGUCAUUUGGACCCAAGAGAACUGCUCAUAAGGUUUUAGAAAGUGGAUUUUAUUGGCCUUCAUUGUUUAAGGAUGCCUAUGUGUUUUGUAAGUCAUGUGAUCGCUGUCAAAGGGUAGGUAAUAUACCCCGUAGAGAUCAAAUGCCCCAAGUCCCGUUGAUUUUUAUUGAAAUUUUUGAUGUCUGGGGUAUAGAUUUCAUGGGGUCUUUUCCUACUUCAUUUGGUUUUUUAUAUAUUUUGCUGGCAGUUGAUUAUGUGUCUAAAUGGGUGGAGGCUAAGGCCACUCGAACUAAUGACUCGAAAGUAGUUGCAAAUUUUGUCAGGUCUAAUAUUUUUGUGCGAUUUGGAAUGCCUAGUGCUAUUGUCAGUGAUAGGGGAACGCACUUUUGCAACAAAAUCAUAGCUGCGUUGUUUCGCAAGUAUGGUGUACUCCAAUGGGUCUCAACGUCGUACCACCCUCAGACCAAUGGUCAAGCGGAGGUGUCGAAUCGAGAGAUCAAGUCUAUCUUGGAGAAAAUGGUGCGCCCCGAUAGGAAAGACUCGAGUCAAAGGCUGGAGGACGCACUUUGGGCCUAUCGGACGGCGUACAAGACUCCUAUAGGGAUGUCACCGUACAGGUUGGUAUUUGGGAAGCCGUGUCACCUUCCAGUGGAGUUUGAGCACAAAGCUUUUUGGGCGAUAAAGUAAUGCAACAUGAAUUUAGAGGAAGCCGGUGCCCAACGAAAGUUGGAUUUGCAAGAAUUAGAAGAGAUCCGGAACGAGGCUUACGAAAAUGCACUAAUUUAUAAGGAGAGAAGCCGGAUAUUUCAUGAUCAACAAAUUUCAAGAAAAUCCUUUGAAGUUGGUCAGAAGGUCCUACUAUACCAAUCCAGGCUCAAGCUAUUCCCAGGUAAACUACGUUCCCGUUGGAUUGGACCUUUUCUUGUUACUCAUGUUUUUCCAUAUGGUGCAGUUGAAAUCCGGAGCGCUAAAACAGACAACAAAUUUGUGGUGAAUGGACACCGUCUCAAGCAUUACUACGAAGGAUUUUCAGGUGAAAAGGUGGAGACAAUAAGUCUAGACGCGCCACCGUGUCCUAAUCAGUGACAUUUUACUAUGUCUAGCCAAAGACAUUAAAGACAGGCGCUCAUUGGGAGGCAACCCAAUUGUCCCUUUUAAUUAUUUGUUUGAUUUCGUGUGAUAGUUUAAAUAUGUUUUCCUUGAAUUCGACUGAUUUUGGGUUUCAGUUUUCGUUUUUGCUGAAUUGUAGGUGACCUUCAGUCUUGACGCGCCCGCGUGAUGACAUGCAGGAAGCUCACGAUCAGAAUCGUCUGAAAGCUCUCUUGCCCUUUUGACGCACCCGCGUGAUGACGUGCAGGAAGCUCACGAUCAGAAUCGUCUGAAAGCUCUCUUGCCCUCUUGACGUGCCCGCGUCACGUUCGCAGGAAAGGUACGGGUUUCAAAAAUUUAAAGAAAAAAUAAUAAUAAUAAUAAUUUAAAAUUUUGAAAUUAACUUCCGUAAAAAAAAAAAAGAAGAAAAAAAAUUUCACCGUGGCUUAAAUAGAGCCUAAAGAAGAGAAAAAAGAAACAAUUUCUUUCUUUUUUUUUUCUUUUUCUUCUUUCUUCCUUCUUUCUUUCUUUCUUCUUUCUCUUUUCCCUCUCUCUUCUCCCCUGUUUCUUCUCCCCUGUCCGUCGCCCGUGCGCCCCAUCGCUGCUCCACCUCCACACGCACGCCGACGCUGCGAGCCACCUGCGACCCCAGCGCCAGAUCUGGACCAUCGCCGAAACCCGCAGCCUCCGCCACCUCCACCUGAGCUCUGCCUCGCGCGCAACCCAGCUGCUCUGCGCCCGAAGCUCCACCGCCGCCACAGCCUCCCCACGCAGCUCCCUGCUCACGCGGCCACAAGCCCAUUGGAAACGGGACAGAGACUGCCGCCGAGCCACUUGCCCGCGUGACCGCCGCUGUUUUCCACCACCUCCCUCACGCGAGCUCUUUCCCUCUCAGCAGCAAUCCACUUCACAGCGCACCCGCUGCGCGCCGUCGCAGCCCUCGCAGCUCCAGCCCGUCUGGUCUAGUCCGCCGCGCGCACCAACCACCCACGGACGCUACCCCCAUCGCUAACCCACGCGGCCUCCACUCCAGUCUGUCCGCCGCCGCUGCUCGUGUCUCCCUUGCGCACCUCACGCCACCCGCUACUGUCCCCUUCCGUUUGGUUAGCAUCCACGGUGGAGGUAAUUGGAGGUUAUUUUCUCAAUUGUGUGACUUCCGCCUGUGAUACUGGUUGCAUUAUUUUUGCUGGGAAUUGCUACUUCUUUUGGGUUGGGUUCAACUGUGCAAUUAAUUGGCCAACUGGAGCCAUUUGUUGGGAUUUUGGGUGAGCUGAAAUACUGCAUUUGUGUGUUACAUUGGGAGGUUUAUUGGGUACAUUCUAACCGCUGUUUUCCAUUGUUACUCUCGCUGGGGUGUCUAUUAAAUUGCGAUUGAAGUAUUUUGGAUAUUGCAUGUUGAGAUUGAGGUUUCAUUGAAUUUGGCCUACGUUCUGCCCCCAGUGGUACUGGUGGGAAUAUUUUCAAUUGAAUUUGUUACCUCUAGUUGGUUGGCUACAUUAUUAUGGUCGAAUUCCUAAGUUGUCGUCAUUGCAUUUGUUGAUCUUGAUUUGGGGCAUUAACCGGCCAACUGGAGCCAUCUGUGCGUUUUUAGGCGCUAUUAUUGGUUUCUUCUCCCUUAACUUUGUCAACUAUAUUUGGUUGGGUAUUUGGUUGACUGCCACGGACUUGUAACUGUGUUUUGCUUCUAAUUGACCAGUUGCACAGCAGUUUUUUUUUAAUUGAUAGGGUGGUUAUACCUCUGGAUAUUUGUAUCCACUGGUUUGAGGACAUGGUGAGACCAAAAUCCUCCUCUAGGUCUAGGACCCCUAGAACCUCGCAAUCCCAACCCCAAGCCUCUACUCUAGUCAAUACCCCUAUAAAUCAACCUACUGCUCCCGGUGUCCGAACCUGGUUAGGUAGGGGUAGAGGUGCCCACGUGGCUUCCGCCACUCACUUGGGAGGGCAUUUGGAAUUCACUAGAGCCGCCGAUCAGCGACGCUAUGCUCAAGCUUGUGAGCGGCGUAUCAUUCCGUGCAAAUGCGCGGACCACAUUACUAUGGUUUUUCUGGGGAUCCAAGGGGAGGUUGAGCGCAUGUACACCGCCAUUGGAUGGCGCCCCUAUCUGGAUAUUUUCCAGCCAGCCUUUGUCGAGUUGACUAGAGAGUUUUACACCACUUUUAAGUUUGAAUUACCGACUAGGUAUACUGUUGCGACUCCCGAUAUCAUUCACUUCCGUCUCAUGGGCCAGGAAUUCAAUUUCUCUAUCACCCAGUUCAAUCUGGCUUUCGGUUUCAUCACUCGGGAGUAUGCAGAGACUAGGGAAUACGGUGAGAGUGCCUGCGAUUUUGUGGAACCUUUCCUUACCGCCUACCGUGAGGUGUGGGAGGACAUGUCUGUGGACAUGCAGCGUUACGAUCCCUCUCGGUCUCGGAGCUCCUUUCUAGAGGACCCGAGUGCUCGGUAUGUUCAGCGGCUUUUAGCAUAUAGCUACUCGGGCAGAAAGAACAGCUUCGGUAUUAUCUCUCGGCCGGAGCUCUUCUUCCUUUGGUGUAUGAAGAAUGGGUUCAAGGUCAAUUUGGGUUGUUGGUUGGCGGCACAGUUCAAGACCGUCAUGGCAAAGAAGAACAAGCCGUUGAUUCUUGGGUCGUAUAUCACGUACUUGGCGGUCCAGCUAGGCGUUCUGAAUCUACAGGAUCACGAUUUGCACUUGGCCUGCGACAUGGAGUAUCUCACUGCUGACCGGCUAGAGAAGAUGGGGGUUCUGGAGCUUGUCGAUGGCCACUACCGAUUUGUGCCCCCGGGACCGCCCCGCGCCCCGCCUCGCUCUUCCUCCACCCAUUCGGCCCCAGUUGGCGGUGAUCCUGGCCCGUCGACAUCCGCUCAGCUCCCUCCACCAGCAGGGGCUGAAGAUUGGCACCAAAUCAGGACGCAGAUUCAGAAUUUGGACGCCCGGAUGAUUAGCAUCGAGAGCAACGUGGCGGCUAUAUCACAGAAUCUGGCGGCAUUCCUGCAGCACUCGGGUUUCCCGCCCCCAAUCCCACCUCACCCUCCACUAUGACCCGGUUUCAGGGAAGUUUGGUUACUUUCUCCCUCACUUUUGUUGUUUUUUGACACAUUGAGGACAAUGUGUCCUAUAGGUGUGGGGGGGUCUAUAGUCUUUCUAGUUUUUAGUAGUUGUUAGUUUUUAGUUUUUUAGUAGUUUUAGUUUUAUUUCUAGUUGCGUAUUUUCUUUCUUUUCUUAGUGCUUAUUCCCCAUGUGAAAAGAAAAAGAAAACAAAAAAAAAGAGAAAAAAAUGUUGGUUUAUUGACUCUAACUCUACUUUUGCCAAGUUUUUUUUAAAUAAAAAUGUAUCGGGUUAAUGUGGUUGGAUCCAGAAUAUCUCCCUGGUGAAUAUCGGAUUGCUUGGCUCUUUUGAUUUCUGUGUUAAUUUCUCUAGGCAUAGGGAAUGACUGUUGGCAUUUUAAUGUGAACUGGUCCAAUAUUGACUCCAGUUCUCUAUGUUUGGCAAUAAUGAGGCGAGCUGUUCCUAUUUUUGGUUCUUAGUGUUGUUAUUAUGUGUUUUUGGCUUUGUUUGGCUGUGAAUAAUCUGGACUGUACUCCGCUAUGAGUUACUACUGAGUAACCGAGGAUCGGCACCUAAAAGUGUCGAUUCUCGCGUCAAAAGGUGGUACUUUAUAUGAGUACGUGGUCGUAUAGCAGUAGGAGCUGAGUAACCGGGCUCCUUCAUCUAAAAAUGUUGGAGUUCGCGUCAAAAGGCCCCGACGGCUAACGACUAAGUCUUUUUGUGUUAAUUAUUAUUGCUUUGAAAAACAAAAAAAAAAAAGAACGAAAAAAGAGAGAAUAAAUAAUAGGAAGGCUUGCCGGUUUAUGGACUUAAUAUGGAGACUUGUGUGAAUAUUUGGACCAUUAGCUAAUAAAUGUUGUGCGCCAUUCCCUUUUCUUAGAGUAGUUAACCUGGAAAUUGAAGGAAUUUGCAGUUUAGGGGCUAACCGGGGGGGAGGCUUCUUGGAUUUUAAUCACCAAUGCUCGAUAUAUGUUUUUCUCUUGAAGAUCUUGGCAAUAUAGGAGAUUGGACAAUGGCCAUCAUCGAAUUUUGGUGUUCGUUUACUAUUCUUAUGCUUGAGGACAAGCAUGGUUUAGGUGUAGGGGGAAUUGAUAGGGUGUAAUUUUACUAUUUAUUUUAUUAUUAAUUUCUCCUAUCACCUGACCUGAUGUGGAUUAAUUGCUGGAUUCUGCUCACUUUUAGUACUUUGUAUUUAUUUCAGGGAGUAGAACGGAAAUUUGAUAACAGGUGCUAAUUUGGCAGAAAAAAGUCCAGAUGAUAGAGCUUGCCCCAAGGGCAUUUUUGGAAAGGAGAACUUGUGCCCAUCUUGGUAAUUUGGGAGAAAAGGGAAACAGACAAAAUGGGUCUAACAUGGAUUGGAAGCGGCCGCACAGUAGCAGGGAAGAGGGCAGACGUAAAAGCAAUUGCAGGGGGGAAAAGGAGUUUUUUUAGUUUUUAGCUUAGCAUCUGAUUUUCCCUGGGAGACUUUUGUUAAAGAUUUCCUUUUGGCUGAUAUUACGCAUGGCAGAUGGCUUUUAACUUAUUCCUCCAUCUUUGACUUUUCUUCUUUAGCUUGUAGUAGUGGAUUGCUACUUACGAAUGUCAGCACUUAGCCAUUCGUGGCUUUUGAUCUUUUCUUCCUUAGAAAUUCUGAGUAGCCUCUUUUCCUUUGUGCGCCAGACGAAGUGAAAACUAUAAACUUUUGUAGUGUUUCUAUUCAUUCAAUAUAUUGAGACGAGUUGGAUUCUACCAAAUUUCAAUGGACAUGGCCGCUGGUUUCUCUUCAAUUUUAUAUGGGCUUUGUUCAUCGAACAUGAACUAAUUUCACCACUCUAGUCAAGGAACAACGAAGACUCUGGUUCGCCUAAAAAUUGUGAGAUCGUUUUAAUUUAAUCUUUUCCUUUUAUUUAUUGGUAUCCGCACAUUUCUUGAUUGCUAUGCUUAUGGUUAUUUAAUUAAUUGAUUGUCUUGGAUCCAGAUAAUUAAUUGAUCUGAUAGCCUAUUGUCAAUUAGGGCAUUUAAAUCCGUAAUUGUUUAAUUGUCCUGAAAUAGUGACAACUGGCACGAUUAGAUUCGUGCCAGGGGGGAUAUGCGGGCUAAUCUAAAAUAACCCUGGUAGUGUGUUAUUUGGUUAGAAUAGGGCUCCUCUAAUAUGUAAGGCAAUUGGGGAAUUAAAUUCUACGGGCGUACCUAGAAUUAUUUCUUAAUUAGAGUAGUGAUUAACGGGCGUACCUUGAUCACCGACACAGUAAGGAGGGGUUGACUGCCAUCGCUUGUUUGGCAGUUAUAACAUAUUUAUCAGUAAAUAAUUGGGAUUGCCUUGCAUCAAUGAUCAAUUAGAUGAACUAUUGCUGAAGUUACUUCUUGGCUAGAUCUUUAGUUAAUAUUACCUUGAUUUUGGUGAAUUGCCAUUUGAUUUUUAGUUGCCUACUUUAUUUUAUUUUUAAUUGUUUCCUUGCUUUAAUUGAGUUAGGCCUUUAAUUAUUGUUAUUCUAAGUUUAGUGAAUUGUGGUUUAAUUCCUAAUUAGUUAUUUAUUUUUACUUUCUUAUUUGAAUUUAUUUGCUUGUUAUCAUUCCUACGAAAUCACCCCCCUGUGUUACUUUGGAUUUCUUAAGAAACAAAUAUACCCAGUCCCUGUGGAUACGACCCUACUUGCCCUGUCCACGAAUUCAUAAUUAUUUGUGAAAAGAAAUAACCAUUCCACUCGGGUAUAUCGGAUCAAGCAAACUCUUCGGGAACAGGGUGAAUCAAGUAACCCAUUGCACACCUAAAAUCCCUGCUCCAGUACUUGGAAUUGGGUUUUGGUCAUUUUAACUGGCAAUUAAGUUUAAUUUUAUUAUUGCACAGGCUGACGACCCUGUCAUUGUAUUUGUACCAAAAGUGAAAACUUAACUAUUUUAGUUGUAUUUAUUUCAUCAUGUUGGAUUGUAUUCAAAUAAUUUUUGUUUGAUUGUUUUUAUAAGUUUCAAUUGUAAAAUUAAAAUGAAUAAUAACUUGAUGAUGUGUUGAUAUUUUAGUACUUGAUUAUUUAUUAAAAUUUAAUUAUAAUAAAAUUUUAUUAACUCAACGAGAAAAAUUUUAUUAAUCCCGUGGGGGCACCCGCGGGGAAAGCGGGGCGGGGCGAGGGGAGUGGGAGGCGGAGGACGGGGCGGGGGCGGGGGAUGGGGGAGGGGUCCCCCGCCCCAACCCCGCCAUCCCCCGUCCCGUUGUCAUCCCUAGUAAUAGACUGGCAAGCAUUGUGGUGGUCAUUGAGCAACUUAUAGGAGAAAUAGUCCUAUAAGCUGUUCAAUGACCAAUCACAACUUGCUAAUUGGAUGACUAAUAUAGCUCUAGCUGUAAUGUUUUAAUUAAAUUACAUCACUAACGUUGGGAUGACUUUUUAACCAAAAAAAAAAAGCCUUAGUUCAAGCUUUUCCCUUUAUUGUGCAUUUUUUAAAGCAUUUGAAAGGCACUGCAAAUCUGUCAUUUUGGACAUUUUAUUAUUGACUAACAAUGAAAGCCGUGGACGUCUACCCAUAACCAACACAAGAUUAAAUUAAUAUUAGAAAAAAUAAUUGAGUAAUUGGAAAAAAAAAAAAAAGAAGAGUCUAAUUUUCAUUGAAACCCACCGACAAACUAUACGUGUCCAUGGCUUUUGAAUAGUGCAUUCAACGUUUAAUUGUAUGGUCCAGUUCAUUGCAGAUUACAUGGAGUAAAGAUUGCGCUCUUUCCUUUUCACCCCUUUUGGAAUCGAUACUGUGGAGAAUUGGGUUUUUCCCUCCUUUUUUUCUUUUCUUUCCUUCUGUGGUUUGCAAAACAUACGUAAAAAUAUGAAAUCCGAAGCAUUCUUUAAUUGGUAUUAAGUAUUGUUGUUGAAAUUAAAAAGAAAAAAGAAAGAACAACAAAAUUCCCAAUCUGGGUUGAUUGUUGAGCUCUAGAUUGGUUGCAUCGUGCUUCCAUAGAAGCAAGAUUUGUAAAAUCGGAAUCCUACAUAGGAUCGAUUUUAGUUUCACAGGAUCGGAUUGUAAAAUCGUAAGAUCCUACCAAAAGCUCUCAAUUGCAAUUAAAGGUUGCAAUUCUUUAAUAAAUUACAAAUAUACCACAAAUAUUUUCAUUUACUUGCAAAAUGGAGCUUCGUAUUUCACAAAUUUACAAAAAAAUUGUAGGAUCGUACGAUCCUACCGAUCCUACGAUCCUACACGAUCCUACCGAUCCUGCUACGAUUCUAUGCGAUCCUACAAAGAUUAAUAUGAUUUGCGACUCUGCAUACGAUCCGGAUCGAUUUUGGUUAUCCGGAUCGUAGGAUCGUAUGAUCCUACGAUCCGGAUCGCGAUUUUGACAACUAUGCAUAGAAGCUCUCUUAGUGUGAUACACUGCUUUCAAUCAGUUUAACACGGGAAAAAAAAAAAGAGAUGAAAAGCAAAUUUGGUGGAGAUAAUUUCAGAAACCUCCCCUGAAGAUUUUGACUAUUCUACUGGUUUCCCUUCAGAUUUUAAAAAUUACACUAAUCUUCCUUGAAGUUAAUUAUCUUGUAACAUUUAAAUUCAAUCAAUAAUUUAAAAAAUGAUAUUAUGAGAGAGAAAAUAAUAUGAUUUUAUCAUUGCCCCCCAUCUUACUACAUUAUUUAAUUAAUUUAAUAGCAACCCACACAUUAAAGAAAAAUAUUAAAAUUUGUUGUUUAUCAUUAAAGAUCAAAUCGCUUAUAACAUCAAAUAAUAGUAUAUUAUUUAUAUUUUUCACUUAAUAUAAUAUCCAAAUUACUCUUUUCAAUUACAUACCCAUUGUUAGAGAAUCAACAACAAAUAACCAAAAAAUUUGCAACCAAAAUAUUACAAAAAAAAUAAACUUUAACAUCAUAAAUAUUCUUAUCAACAUAUUAAAGUUAGUUACUGAAAUUUUUAUGCUGUUAAACUUCACUCUUUUUGAAUACAGAUUUUUUUGAUUAUUUGUUAUUAAUUAUGUUUGAUGAUGGGUUUAUAAUUGAAAAGAACAAUUUGAAACUUACAUUAAGUAAAAUAUAUAGAGUGAUAUACUAUUUUUUAUAACAUAUGUGAUUCAAUCCUUCUUGAUAGGAUUGGUAAUAGAGGUAGAGGGGGGAGUCGGCUGCAUCCGGUCUUCUUUUCAUAGAUAGUACAAUAUUGCGAAAUCAAUCGCAUUCACACAAUAAUAUUUCGAAGUCAAUGCAUGGCUAAGUUGCAUAAAAGUACGAACACUUGUUAUUAUAUAGCUUAAGAUUCAAAACUUUCGAGCAUAACCCUCCACCCAACACAAUUGAAUAAUGAAUAUUCACGAUUGUCAAAUCUGUCAAAGCACAGUUUGAGGACAACCCAUUCCAACCUGCAAAAGAUUUUUUACUUUUCUAAAGUUGUUGAGAGCUGUAAAAAGACUUACCAUGCUUGCAUCCUCCGAGCCUUGGGAGUUAAAAAUGAAGGCACUGAGUGCUAUAAAAAGGGGAAUAGAGGCUGCCUAGAAGCAUAUCAGCCUAAAACAAGAAUUUGUAGUUAAGAUGGGAAGCAAAGCAAAAGCAAUGGGGUCUGGGCUGACUCCUCUUCUUGCCACUGUUUUAGUGGUGUUUGUUGCUCUUGGCUUGCCCUCACAAACUGCAGCUGAUGAUCACUACAAGUAUUCAUCUCCUCCUCCUCCUUACCACUAUCCCUCACCACCACCACCAGUGCAUAUACCUCCACCUCAUCCUGUUUACAAGUACAAAUCUCCACCACCCCCACCACCACACCCAGUUUACAAGUAUAAGUCACCACCACCACCUCCUCAUCCGGUAUACAAGUAUAAGUCUCCUCCGCCACCACCACACCCAGUUUACAAGUACAAGUCACCACCACCACCUCCUCAUCCGGUACCACACCCAGUUUACAAGUAUAAGUCACCUCCACCACCUCCUCAUCCGGUACCCACAGUUUACAAGUAUAAGUCACCACCACCACCUCCUCAUCCGGUAUACAAGUAUAAGUCUCCUCCGCCACCACCACACCCAGUUUACAAGUAUAAGUCACCACCACCACCUCCUCAUCCGGUGCCACACCCAGUUUACCACUACAAGUCACCACCACCACCUCCUCAUCCGGUACCACACCCAGUUUACCACUACAAGUCACCACCACCUCCUCACCCAGUUUACAAAUACGAGUCUCCACCACCACCAGUUUAUAAGUACAAGUCACCACCACCUCCUCCACCAGUUUACAAGUAUAAAUCUCCUCCACCACCACCACCAGUUUACCACUACAAGUCUCCACCACCUCCUCCCCCAGUUUACAAAUACAAGUCUCCACCACCUCCUCACCACUACUAAGCAAUUGCUUCUGAGGUAAUAACACUUGUUCAAUAUACCCACUUCUGCAUGAUAAAGCAUAUCUCUAUCAACACAAACUGUCAUGUCUAUCAUGCUAAGUGCCUUCACUUCAUCCACCAAAAUGACUGCUAGAAAAUUUUUUUUAUGUUACCAAAGAAAGGCAUCAUUUUUUCCCUCUGUUAUCAAGAACUUGUACAGUAUAUAGAUUAAAGAGUAUUUUUUUAACUAGCUUAUCAACUGAGAAAUGCAUAUAGCUGAUAGCCAGCUGAAUAUUUGCAGGCAAAGGAGAAGGAAACCAUGUUUGAGACCUUCUUGAAGAUGUAGAAGCAUAAGAAUAAAAGCCCAAUGUGAAGAUGAUGAUUUCAAGUUUUUCUACGUUACCAUUUCUUUAUCUAAAUUGGUUGUAGCGCCCAAGUUCCUUUGUUUAUGGGAUUUGUAUCGUUUUACGUACCAUGCAGUACAUGUCAUGUUUGUAAGGUUUUCUAUCCUGCCGGCAAACCGCAGGUUCCAUGUGAUAAAUGAAUACUAUUUAUGUUACGACACUUUUCUCUGUUUCUCUUAUAUUUUGUCUUUAAUAUUCUUAAUCAUAUUUUUAACAAAAAUAUUCAAACACUUAGGCAAUCUGGUCUAAUGCUAAUUGUAUGUUUUACUUUUCUUUUUCACCUGCUCCCCUUUUCAACUCAAAAGGAUGCAAUAGUUUGUGAUCACUGUUUAAGACGGAAGCAUGAUACUAAUGAAUAUCUCAUUGAAACUCAAGGAAACUAACAUUGCGAAAAGUGUAAAUCUUGAUUUGAUGCAACUAUUUAUUCGUGGAAUCUAUAGUUACAAAACUCAAAUUCUGACUGCGCCAUUGAUAAAUUAUUAAUGACGCUAUCAUCAUUAUUUAUCCCUAACUAGUUUCGACUACAACUGAACCCAAUAUUUUCCCCAUGAUAAAAGUUUUUGACUAUUUUACUGGCCUCUCUUCAAAUUUUAAAAAUUACACUAAUCUUCAUUGAGAUUAAUUAUCUUGUAACAUUUAAGUCCAAUUAAUAAUUAAAAAAUGAUAUUAUGAGAGAGAAAAUAAUAUAAUUUUAUCAUUGCCCCCCAUCUUGCUAUAUUAUUUAAUUAAUUUAAUAGCAACCCACACAUUAAAGAAAAAUACUAAAAUUUGCUGCUUUUCAUUAAAGAUCAAAUUGCAUAUGCCAUAAAACAUAGUAUAUCAUUCUAUAUGUUUCACUUAAUGUAAGAUCCCAAUUGUUCUUUUCAAUUACAAACCCAUUGUCAAACAUGAUCAAUAACAAAUAAUCAAAAAAUUUGCAACCAAAAUAUUACAAAAAAAAACUUUAACAUCAUAAAUAUUCUUACCACCUCUAGUGCAUUCACCCUCAUAAAAUAAUUCAAGACCCUACUGUCAUAAAAUGACUGAUCAACUCCUGUAAACCUAAUUUGACAACAUUUAAAUGGAGAACUUUAGCUAAAAGAAUUAUGGUCAAGCUAAAGAAAAAACCAGUUAUUUUCCAACAUAUGCAACCAUUGAUCAGGGGAAAAAAAAAAGCAAAAAGACAUCUUCAAUCAUUUAAUAGCUUACAGGGCAAAUUAACCCUUGAGUGAAAACUGGUUGCUCUAGAAUUAAAAUUUUACCUUAGUUACCCAGGCAACUUUUUUGUUGCCUUUUCUUUUUCUUUUUUGGGUAUAUAGCUCCAGUUUUGCCCCCUCUGUCAAGCUUAUAUAAUUAUUAAGAUAAUAAAAGUGCCUUUAAUAGUAUUAAUAUAUCCAUUGACUUGAGCUGUCAUCGAUCGGUUUGGGCUACUUCGAUUCCAUGAGAACAAAUGGUAAUAAAAGUACUCAGAAAAUGGGGAGUCAUGAAACCCUUUUGUUCUAUUCAUUGCUAAGAUGCUUUUCUCUAUAAAGAGACUUCCUAACGAAAAUACUUUGUAGAUUUCUUUACUCCAAGUGGUGCAUGGAAAAUUAAUAUUUUCAAUUAUCAAAUAAAAUUCCCUUUUUUCGGCGUAGAUUUCAUCCAUCCAGCUGUUAACACAUUCUAUAAAUCCGAAUUGACUAAUCUUUUCGUUUCCAUUUUCCAACUUGCGAAUACGGCAUAUAGUGUCUGCUAAACACUAUAUAUUCUCUGCCAAAUAUGAAUACAUAUCACUUUUCUGAGCAAGUGCAGAGUCAUUAUCAUUUUUAUUCCCACCUAACAAAUUAGGGAUAAAAAAGUUAAUAAUCUUUACAUGCUAUCAGGUCACAAGUUAAUAAUCUUUUAAAGAACAUGUUAAAUUAAUUUAUUGGUAUGAAUAGUAGUCAAAGAAGUAUGUUAAAGUUAGUAAUCUUUAAAAUAAUAUGUUAAAAUCAUUCGUACAAAUUAGUCAGAGAAGUAGCAUAAACACCGCGAUGCAAUUAAUACUUUCAAUCUCAAGGUCUCUAUUAUGGAAAUUUGCAUCGGUCAAUAUACACUUGGCAUAAUAUAAUCUCCCAACUCAUUUCUUUACAAAUGCACCUUUAAUCACCACCAAAAGGUGUGGACAUGAUCUUUACCCUAGAAAACUAUUCACCGACAGGCAAAUUGACGUCAGAAAUACUGAGGAAUUCUAGUUUCCUUCGGGUUCAUGCCAUGUUGUAUCCUUCAACUGUAACUCGAUUUCUAAGCUGUAAUUUGUGACAUAAUAGUCCUUAAACUAUGAAACCCUUCUUACUUAAUUACAAUGGUUAAUACAAUGCCCGUGACUAGACAAGUAUGAAGCAACCAUAACAGAAAAAAAAUCCAAAAUUAGAGAAAAGAAAGAAGUUUCGCGACCACCACCAGUUUACAAGUCACCUCCACCACCUCCUCCAGUUUACAAGUCACCUCCACCACCUUACCAUUAUUCCUCACCACCACCUCCAGUGCAUUCACCCCCACCACCACCAGUUUACAAGUCUCCGCCACCACCUUACCAUUAUUCCUCACCACCACCUCCUGUGCAUGCACCUCCACCACCAAUUUACAAGUCACCUCCUCCAGUUUACAAGUCUCCACCACCACCUUACGAUUAUUCCUCACCACCACCUCCAGUGCAUUCACCCCCACCACCACCAAUUUAUAAGUCUCCCCCACCGCCUCCCCCAGUAUAUAAGUCACCACCACCACCUCCUCCAGUAUACAAAUCACCUCCACCACCUCCUCCAGUUGACAAAUCUCCACCACCACCAAUUUAUAAAUACAAGUCUCCUCCACUACCUCCUCCAGUGUACAAGUCAUCACCACCACCUGCUUACAAGUCUCCACCUCCUCCAGUUUACAGUUCCCCACCACCACCAAUCUACAAGUCUCCACCUCCACCCUACCAUUACUACUACAAUUCUCCUCCUCCUCCUCGUCACUACUAAGCAAUUGUAUCCAAGUUUUUGAGGUAAUAACGCUUAACCAAUAAAUUAACUUUCGCAUGAUAAACCUUAUCUCUAUCAAGACAAACUGCCAUGUGUAUCAUGCCAAAUACGUACACCUAGAUCCAUGAAAAUGAAUGGUAGAAAGUUUUCUUAAGAACCAAGAACAGCAUUAGUAUUCCCUCUGCUUCCAAAAACUUGUGUAUUAAAUAGAUUAAUGAAUUGUUUAACAUGCUCAUCUACUUGAAAAUGCACAAUACCCAUAACCCACUGAAAUUUUUGCAGGAAAAGGGAAAGAGAAUCUGUGUUUGAGAGCUUCAUGAAGAUGUUGAAGAAUAAGAAUAAAAGCCCAAUGCAAGGAUGUUUUCAAGUUUUUCUAUGUUUCCACUUUAAUUUGUAAAUUGAAUUUUGCGACUCAAUUAAUUCCCUGUUUGUGAGGUACGUAUUGUUUUACGUACCAUGCCGUACAUUUUUUUUUUCCAACAAACGGUAUCAUGUUAUAGAUAUUAACACUUGACCUUACAAGGAUUAGUUACAAAAAGGGGAUACUACCCUCAACUCUGUCCUAGCUAAAUCAGUCAGCCAUAUUGGGAAAUUAGUUUCCCAUUCAAUAUCAUGUACAAGCUUCACAGCAUAUUGUGCUAAUUGAUGGCUGAUGUGAUUUUCAGUUCUAGGUAUAAACACAAAAGAACAUUUUUCAAAAGCUAGACUAAGUUCCUGCACAUCUUCUAAGAUAGUUGCAGUCGUGUAGUCAUACUCCUUGCGUUUAGUAAUCUGCUCUACCACUGAUUUGCAGUCUGUAUGGACUAUAAUUUGUGUCCAACCUGCUUGGGUAGCCAUCAGCAGAGCAUUUCUCACAGCCCGAGCUUCCACUUCACUUGCCGAUCCCUUUCCCUGUGUGACAAUUCCUUUUGCUUUCAAAAGCUGUCCUUUCCAAUUUCUUGCUAUAAUCCCUUGUCCGGUCCUGACUCGUUUAGCUGAUAUCGCUGCAUCGGUAUACAGCCUUAUCUCUUCCUUCCUUGGCCGCACUCUCCUGGUAGGUAAGGCAUCAUUCAGCUUCCCUGCGAUCUCCUUCUGGUCUGUACUCCCUACCUGUUCAAACUCAAGCCAUUCCUCCUGUGCUUUCCUUACUAUUUUUACUGGAUCCUGGUUGGCUUGUUCAAAAAAUUUUUUGUUCCUGGCUUUCCAAAUUUGCCAAAGGAUAUUGAUAGUAAGACUAACUCUCUCCUGACCUUGGUUCAGUGCCAGCGAUUGUGUGACUUGUUCCCACCAUAACCAAAAGUUAUAUUGCAUACCCAGUAAUCCAUCCCACCUGACCGGUGCUAGCUUCCACGUUUCCACAGCCUUUUCACAGAAGAAAAACAAAUGCUCAAUAGUUUCCAUAUCUUCACCACAGCAACCACAUCUGCCUUCCCCUCUAUGUAGCCUUUUCGACAUCUGUUCAUUGACUGGCAGACAAUUUUGUAAGCACUUCCACAUGAAGUGUUUUAGUUUGGCCUUCACCUUCAAAUGCCAUAGCUGCUUCCACACAUUUCGUUUUCGUAUCUCCCAACUUGUUUCUGCCUCUUGGCCUGUCCUUGUACCUGCUUUUCCUUCCCGUUGCCUUGCUAAAGCAUAACCAGAUUUCACGCUAUAAAUUCCAGCUUUGGAAUGCCCCCAUACCAACCUAUCCUUUCUUCUUCCUAUACUUGUUGGAAUUCCCUUUAUGUGCUCUGCAUCUUUUGCACAAAACCACUUGAGAAGCAAAUCAUUUUUCCAUUUCCCUUCCUCUAUCAGCUCACUUACCCAUUCCAACUUGCAUCCCACAGGUUGUGUGGUUGAUGCAAAGCCGGUAUCUGAACCAACUAUCCAUCUGUCCCGCCACAUGUUGACUGACUUGCCAUCUCCAAUUCUUUUCCAAAGACCAUCAUACAGAAAGGAGGCUGCACUAUGAAUACUCUUCCAACACCAUGAGGCUGAAGAGACUGGCUUCUUGUCCAUCCAUUUUUCAUCACUCAUAUACUUCGCCUUCAUUACCUUACUUACUAACAAAUUUGGAGCCAUUAAGAAUCUCCAAAUUUGUUUUGCCAGUAAUGCUGUGUUGAAGGCCUCCAAAUCUCUAAAGCCUAAACCUCCUCUUCCCUUAACUUCUAAGAGCUUCUUCCAGCUUGCCCAAUGUACACAGGUACCCUUUUCUCCCUUCCCCCACCAGAAACUCGCUAUUUUACCUGUGAUUUGUCUACACAAACCCCUUGGAAGUCUAAAGCAAGCCAUCACAUAUGUUGGCAUAGCCAUAAUCACUGAUUUGACCAGAAUUUCUUUCCCUCCUUGGCUCAACAGUUUUUGUUUCCAACCUUGCAACUUGUUACUAAUUUUGUUCUGGACAAAUGCAAAGACCUGUGUCUUUGAUCUUCCAAUUGCCAUUGGGAGUCCUAGGUAGGUUCCAUUCCUUGCCUCUUUAAUGUUAUCUAAUACCUCCCUCACUCCAUUCUUCCUUUGAUCAGUGGUAUUUUUGCUAUAGAAGAUAGCUGACUUUUCAAAAUUCACCACCUGUCCGGAUGCUUGACCAUAUCUUUCCAAUAUGCUUUUGACCUUCCUCGCCUCCUGCUUGGUUGCUUGGCAGCAUAGUAGAGAAUCAUCUGCAAAAAAUAGGUGAGAAACCAUCGGACUGUCCUUGCAUAUUUUGAUCCCUGUAAUUUCCUUGUUCAUCAUAGCUUUAUGGAUCAAACAUGAAAGACCUUCAGCGCAUAUAAUAAACAAGUACGGGGAUAGGGGGUCUCCUUGUCUAAGCCCUCUACUCGGUUGAACACAGCCUACCUUUUGCCCAUUUAAGUUGAAGGAGUAAGUCACAGUAGAUAGGCAAGACAUGAUCCAUUUAACAAAAAUUGGACAAAACCCCAUUUUCAUCAUAACUCUCCCCACAUAUUUCCAUUCGACUCUAUCGUAAGCUUUGGACAUGUCCAGUUUAAGAGCCAUAAAUCCUACCCUUCCCUUUCUCCUAUUUUUCAAAAAAUGCAGGAUUUCAUGUGCAACUACUACAUUAUCAAGAAUUUGACGGCCUGGGAUAAAAGCGGAUUGAGAGGGACUAAUACAAUGAUGCAAGACACCUUUCAAUCUAUUAGCUAUGAUUUUAGAAAUGAUUUUAUACAGGACAUUGCACAAGCUAAUAGGUCUAAAAUGCACCACAGAUUCAGGAGUAUCAACUUUAGGAAUCAACGAAAUAAUAGUAUCAUUCACAGCUUUGAGCAAAUGCCCAGUAUGAAAGAAACUCUUAAUAGCUGCUACCACAUCAUCCUUGAUAAUAUCCCAAUAGUGUUGAAAAAAUAGAGGAGACAUACCAUCCGUUCCUGGUGCUUUAUUAGGGUGCAUCGAGAACAAAGCUUUCCUGAUCUCACUUUCCUCCACUUGUCGUAUCAGUUGUCCAUUCAUAUGACUCGAAAUAGUGCUUGGAAUUUCAGCUAGAAUGUCCUCAAAGCAGUCCGGGUUAGUAGUGGUAAAAAGGUCUUUAUAGUACUCACAAAGUUCCUCCUCAAUCUCAUGUUCCUCCUUGCACCAUGUCCCAUCUUUUUUCUGCAAUAUAGUGAUCUUAUUUCUCCUCCUCUUUGCCAUGACCGAAGAAUGGAAAAAAGCUGUAUUCUUGUCCCCUUCUUUGAGCCACUUGUUCCUGGAUUUUUGACUCCAAAACAUCUCUUCCUCUGCAUAAGCUUUAUUCAAUUGUGCUUUUAGUUCAGCCACUUGUACUCUUUUCCCUUCAUCCUUUCUUGCUUUCACUUCAGCCAAUUUCUCCUUUAACACUUUAAUUCUAACCUUUGAGUUUCCCUGCACCUUUUUCCUCCAAUCCAGAAUAGCCAUGCGACAUUCCUUUAUUUUUGUAGCCACUCUAAACAUCCUGGACCCUGACUUCACCUUUGUCCAUGCUCCUUGAAUCACCCUUUUUGCUUCUGGAUUUAGCGUCCAUCGUUGAUCAAAGUAAAAUCUCCGUUUUCUCCUUGUGUUUUCCGGGUUUGUAUCCACAAGAAGCAUUAGAUGAUCAGAGGCUUCAGUAUCUAAAUGAGUACACUGUGCCUUUUCAAAUCUUUGCAGCCAUUCGGUGCUGCAUAAACAUCUAUCCAACCUCUCUUUCACUUCCCCAUCCCCCUCCCAACUAUUGCACCAAAUCCACGGGACCCCUUGAUAACCUAAGUCAACCAGGUUAUUGUCUUUGAUAAACCUGUUGAACUCCCUAAAACAUCUUUCAGCUCUAUCCCUUCCUCCCCACUUCUCCUCACUAGACCUCAAAUCAUUAAAAUCUCCUACAAUGAUCCAGCCAUCCCCCCAGUCCCUCAUCCUGUCCUCUAAAUAUUUCCAUUGUGCUUUUCUAAUGUUACUAUCUGUGCUUGCAUAAACACACACUAGCCCCCAGUAUCCUUUAGUAUCCUUGUCCUCAACUCUAGCACUAAUACACCAAUCAGUACUUACAAUCUGGUCUAAAAUCACCUCAUUGUUCCAGAAUAAUGCUAGACCGCCUGCUUUACCUAUUGAAUUCACAAAAAAGCUAUUGUCAUACUGAAUCUUCCUUUGAACCUUGCCCAUAAACCCUUCCUGAUUCUUAGUUUCACAAAGGAACACCACCUUAGGAGAGUGGAAGUUAGUCACUUCCUUUAGUUGGGGACUUGUCAAGGGGCCUCCUACACCUCGACAAUUCCACACCACAACCUUCAUUUACACUUUGGAGGCUUUCCGGGGCUAGCCUCCAUUUCCCCUAUUGUACUAACAUUUAUUAGAUCCAGUUUCAUAACCUUUACCUUCGGUACAUUAUCAUCAUCCUCCUCUAUCGGUUGUGUUCCCUGAAACAUACCAUCAGCCUUCCUUUUAGCACACGAAACCUGCGUUACUUGUCCAUUUGUAUCUGCCUUUAAGGAUGUUUUAGCCGGCCUCCCUCUUCUUUUAAAACUGCUUCUUUUUUCAGCUUUGUUAUCUUCUUCCCCUGGAGUAGCCUCCUUUCUUGGCAUUCUUGCAUUUGUCUCCUCCUGCUUUAUUGACCCUACCCGCAAACUUUCACAUUCCUGUUUUGAGCUGUCCGUUUCCAUAUCCUCAUAAUCUACUGGUGGGAUUACGCUGCUCCCUCCUUUACUCCCUUCCUGUACCCUACCCUCCUUUUCACCAUUUCCCUCCAUUAAGACCACAGCCAAACUUUCCACCCGUUGGUUUGCCUUUCCAUACUGCCUGCUGUCUUUUAGAAUCUCAUCCCACCUCUCUUCAUAUUGUCUCGUCAUCAUUUUCUCCUUAUCCCCCCUUUCCUUUCCCCCCAAGACUCUACCAUUUUUUCCCCCAAGAGUUAAUGUAUCUCCAGCCAUUUGUACUCCAGUUUGAACUUCACUACUAGGAGACCCUGCCCCCACCCUCCUUGCAUCAAUUUCACUUACUCCUUCCAGCCGUCCCUUUAAGGGAGAUACCAUUAUAUUUCCAGCUCUCAUCCAGGCACCAUAUUGUUCCUCUCGCUUCUCCCCCCCACCCUUCCUACCACAGUACAAGUCCUAUCACUAUGCCCAAUGAUACCACACCUAUAACAGAAAUCAGGGCAGCGUUCAUACCUGAACUCAACCCACACUGCCUGGUUCUUACAGUUGAUCUUUGUCCCUCUAACCAGUGGUUUCGUUAUAUCUACCUCAGCCAUAAUCUUCAUGUGGCGACCCUCUUUCCCACCACUUCCUGGGAGAAUCACUCCCCUCACUGAUUUAAAGAUCCCUCCUAUUUUCAAACCCACUGCUCUGCUCAACCAGUGCACCGGUAGGUUCCAUAGUUGAAUCCAAAGAAAGGAAUGCUGGAAAAAGCUGCUGUUUGUAUCAUACCCCUCUACCCACUCCUUCACUAUCAGCAACUGGUUGUCCAUGACCCAAGGCCCUCCAGAUAAGAUCUUUUUCUUUUCCCCUUCAUCUCCCAGAUGGAAAUGGAAUAAGUUAGGACCUAACUCAGUCACUUUCAUCUUUGAGGGGUAUCCCCAUGCAUGAUUUGUAAAGUUCUUUAACCCCGUAAAGUUGGCAAUUUUUUCACCAAUCAGCUUUCCUACCAGGCUUCCUUGACACUCAGAGACGCCUUCUUCCAGGUCCUCACCACUCAGAUCGACACCUCCUAACUCUGUUUCAGACAAGUCAAAAUUUUGAAAGGCUCUUUCUAAAGCAUCCGCCAUUGCUGUGACGAGAGCUCCUUGAGAAACCAAGCACUAUUUCUGAGCUAUGAGUGACCCACUGACAGACCUGUGAAGAAUUGCAAAGACAGACAAAGCUGUGUUAUCCGUACACACUAAAAACCAACCAGAAAAACAGAGAGGAACUCGACAGAAAAAGCACAGGCACAAGAAGAAACGAAAGAAAAAAGAAAAACCAACAAACCACUAUCCCACUCCCGACCACAUAACAGCAUUAAAGAAAGGGACACAAAUACGACACUCCAACUUCCGAUCACAUGCUCUGACUCAAUGGAUCAUAUCUUGCCCAAAGCGUUUACUCCUCCAACCGAUUCCAAACCACUACAGACAUUGUCUCCCAUUUUGAAGCCGGAAGAAAGGUGGCUUCUGGACAGGGAACAUGAAAGCAAAGGUUGAACUAAAGAUUUGAUUUUAGAUCUGAAAAUUACGCUGUAGGAAAAAGUGCUAUGUGUUUGUACCUCACCCACUCUCCCACACCGAGGAGGGGAACCUCUAAAGUUAGAGAGAGAAGCUCUCAAGUUAGAGAGAAGCUUUGGAAGUUAAUUACCAACGUACCAUGCCGUACAUGUUUGUAAGGAUUUCUAUCCUAUUGGCAAAAGUCGGUUCCAUACAAUUAAUCAAUUCAUUUCACUUCUAUUGGCUCUACUAUUUAUGCAUGUUACGACACUCUUUCCCUUAUAUUUUGCCUUUAAUAUUAUGAGUCAAUAGUAAUAAUGGGCCUUUUUCUUAAAAUUAUACUAUUAUACAUAGGUAGUUUGGUCUAACGCUAAAUUCAUGUUUGUCUUUCUUUUAUUCCCUUUACAUCUCAAAGUAUACUAUAGUUUGUAAUCAUUGUGGUGAUGAUAUUACCAGCUGGUACUUAUAGUUUAAGGCAGAGACAUGAUAUUAACAACUAUCUCAUUGAAACAUAAGUCAAAAUCAUGACAAGUGUGAGUCUUGGUUAAUGCACAAUUUGUUAGUGGAAUUUAUAUUUAUAAAACUCAAAAAAAAUUUUUGACAAUGCUAUUACUAAUUAAUUAAGGACUUCAUUGCUAUAAUUUAUCGCUUACUAAUUUAAACUAUAAAUGAUCUCAAUACUUUUCUCCAUGAUGUCGAUUUCUUUAGACUACGAAAGGGAAAAAUUAGUGACAUAUCCCUUACUGAUUACAACAUCAGCAAAAAUUAGUUAUAAACUUUUCCGGUGGUUUUAAAUCCCUCGGGCACUAAGGUUUUUUGCACAUCGAGUGAAUUAAGGAACAUAGGCAAUUCGUUCUGCAUACCAAGUCCUUGUUUAAGAUGCACGUACUAAAAUGCAUCCACUUCAUUAAUUUGGAAAAUUGCCAUAGUUUUUUUUAAGCAUUUUGAUUUUUUACAUGAUUCAAAAUUUUCUUAUUGGAUACAAUCACUUUGUGUCAAGAACACAUUUUCAAUCAUCUUUUUUAUCUUCUCAAUAAGAAAAUAAAAAUUUAUUCAUGCUUUUCUAACAUAUCCAAUCAUUGAUCUGAAAAAUAAAGAAUUAAAAAAAAAAGACAUUUUCAAUCAUUGCUUACGGGGCAACUUCCCCAUGUGAACCUCAUCAAACAAAGCCAAUAAUAUGAAGGAACAUCUAAAUACACUUUUGCCCUAAAGGCUGGUUGCCUUGGGGUCAAAAUUUAACCUUCGGGAGUAUAAUUACCCGCCAAAUUUAUUAUUUUUUUUAUGGGUAUAUAGUUCCAAUUUUGCCUCCUGUUAAGCUUAUAAAUAUAUUACGACCCAGAAAAUAAAGGAAUCUUGAAUAGUAACAUGUCCAUUGACUUGAGUUGUUAUCAAUUUGGCUACUUCGAUUCCAUGAGGCCAAUCCAAUUCACACUAGCUAGAGAAAAUGGUGAUAAAGGCACUUAGAAAUUUAUAUGUAAUAUUGAUUGGUAGUAACUGAUAAGUAUAUAUUUUACGUGUUUUAAAUAUGUUUUAUUAGUUAGUUUUGGUGUGUUUUAACUACUUUUAUAACUAAUUAACUAGGAAUCUAGUGAAAAUAUGCAUUUUGUGGUUUGAAGUGUAAAAAUUGUAUUUCUAUGGAUUUUAAUGGUGAAAACUUCAUGUUUUUGUAGGUUUAAUGAUUCAAUCAUCAAAUGACAUGAUUUGAGAAGAUAAUUAGAUGAUUGAUGAUGUUUUGAAGUGAUAAAAAGAGAAUACAAAGUGCAAGAGAGGAAAUGCAAUCAAGAAUAAAAGAAGAAAAUUUUUGUAGCUUUGACAUAUUGUCGUAUUUCGGCAAUAUAUUGAGCUACAAUGAUCGGAUUAAGGUGAUUCUUAAACCAUUUGAAGCUAAAAUAUAGAUCUACAUUUGGCAUGAAGGCAUCGAAACCCAUGUCAGUCAUUUUCCUUGUCAAAAUGUUGAAAUACAGAAGUGCAACUCUGUUCUCGAAAGCUAAAACAGAGCUCUGGCUAGUCGAGGGUAUUUUCAUCAUUUCUUAGUCCACAGAGCUCCAAAUGAGAUGAUUCUUAAGGCAUUAGAACCCUAACUCAAAGAGCUACAACUUUCAUAUUUUGUACAAGAGUUAGUUCGGCCUCUAUCAUUAAGAAAAUAGUAGUUGAAGUGGUGCCAAAUGCAUAGAAGUGAAAACGCGAGCUAUCAAUACUCGACCUGAAGUCGCGUAUUCCUGAGGUCAUGCAUUCUCUUCUAUUUUCUGCAACUUGCCCUGCUUUCACAUAACUUUUUCAUCUCAAUUCCAACUAUCAAUUUCGGCUAUAUCUGAUCAAGAAAAGUGUGGAAAGUUUGAAAGACAACUCAUAGGAGUUUCAAGAGUCAAAAAUUACAAUUAGAAACAACUCAUUUGGCUCUUGAAUCCUCUAUAAAUAGAGGCCUUUGAAGAACAUUUUCACAACUUUGGAAGGUUAGAGAAACUCCACAAAAACAUAGUCUUCACUAGAAUUUCCUUAGUUCAUUAGUUAGGGUAGUAUAGUAUAGUUAGUGUAGCUUUUCCUUCUUGUAUUUAUAGUUAGGUUUGAAUGAAGAUUCAGGAGCAAAGAUAGAGAGGUUGAUCUCAUGUGACAAGGGUGAUAUCUCUUCUACUACUUUCUCUUUUGUAUUUGAUUUCAUAUUUAACUAUACUACAAAUUUGGCUUUGUUUUUUUUUUUUUAUCAUGUUUAGUUAAAGUUUAUGCCUAGAGUAUGGAUGACCUUUUUAUAUCUUGUUUGUGAUAUUUAACUGGUUAUUUGAUGAUGUUAUUUUUGAGCAAGUUAUUUAUCACUUUUGCUUUUCUAAUCAUGAUUAACUGGCCAUUAGUUGUGAUUAUCUAAAAGUGUUAAGUUUGUAAUGAGAAUUGGAGUUUAACACUAGUUCAAGGAAGUGAUAAAUUUAGGGAGUUCACUCAUGAGAGUAGAGGAACACCUUUGUGACCUAAGUGACUUGUUUCAUAUAAUUUCAUAGAAAAAAUGAACUUGUAAUUAAUUUCAUAACCACGAGAGUAAGUAUGGUUUAGCUAUAUGUAUAGUUGAUUCACUACGAGAGUAGGUUUCACAUACAUUAGAAAAUUACAUCAUAACUAGUCAAGAUAAUAUCAUUCAUUUAAUCAGUAAUCUCAUUUGCAUGAGUAGUAAGGCAUUCCAUAUCUCUAGGAGGUUUUUAGUAUUAUUUUCAUUACUUUUAUGUUUAUGGUAGUCUAGAUAAUAAUGGAGUUCGAAAACUACUAGUAAUUGAAAAUUUUCCCUGUGGGAUCGACCUUUAAUACCCUAUACUCGCUCUCGACUCGUAUACUUGAGAAAAAUCACGUGUGCGGUAUUUAGAAUUUAUAAAUGUAAAACUUGACUGUAGAUGAACUAAUUGAUAUAUGUAUACCCCGCACUCGUCAGUAACCAGCUUGUAUUGAUCCCACUAUUGUGGAUAAUUGUGCUCUUAUGAAAAAAAAUUAUAAAAAAAUUAGCAAAAUUUAUGAUAACAAAUUAAAUUUAUUCAUACAAAUCAGUGAAAGAAGUAGAAUUUUAAAGUCCAUGAUGAAAUUAAUACUUUCAAGGGCUCUAUUAGGAAGACUUCACUUGUUGGUGAAACUACACUAGCACAGUUAUAUGCACAUUUACUGUUUUGGUAUCUAAUUUCCUUGCCUUAAGUUGGGUGCAGAUGUUUAUAUUACAAAUAGAUGGUAUCAUAAAAUUGUUGUAUUCACGUUUGUUCUUUUUUUUCUUCCUUAAGUUUUUUUCUUUAUUCUCGUGACUUCAAAAAUACGAACUCAAGAAAUUGGCUGCUUAAUCAAUAUGUCAUACAGGCUUCGCUAGUGAGGUAUAACUUCACAACUAGAGUCAAUAGAAAUUAUCAAAUGAUUUUUUAACAUCCAAAUUAAGCAAUAAAUUUUGUUUUCAUUUUAUGACAUAUAAUAGUACUACUUCAUGAGAGAUUUUAUAGUUUCUUUUAGGUAUCAUACCUACAAGUGAUAUUUGUCAUUGGAUAGUGACAGAAGUGUUAAUGAUUGUAAGAUUAAAUAUUGUUAAAUAUUGAAAUUUAAACUAUUUAUCUUUAUUGAAAGAUACAAGUUAAAGAAUCGUUCAAGGGGGCAAUUUUCCAUCUUGUCUUUUUGAAAAAACGCUAUCACAUUGUAUAGGCAUGAUAGGUUCAAAUUUGUCAUUAAAUUUAUGAUUGAUUUUCCUUUUAUUCAAGCCAAAUAUUGUUUUAAUUAUCAAAUUCUACUUAUAUUUGGUUAAUUGUACUAAUUGUAGGGCGGUAGAGCAAAAGUUGCUAAAAAUAGGCGAUUUUCUGCAAAUUGGUUGUCAAGGCUGAAGGAUUUGGGAUUCGCAUGUUCAAGGCCUGUUUCCAAGUUUGAUUCAAACUCUGGACAGUUUUAGAGGAAGAUUUGGAAGAUUUGAAAUUUCAUUAUUAGUUUUAUGGUUGAAUUAGGAAUCUUGGAAUAAUUUCUUUUGUGAUUUAUUUUUCUAUUUAGGAGACUAGUUGUUAUUUAGUAGUAGACUUCAAUUAGAAAACAAAGAGAAAAAGAAGGCCGGAAUCCCGCUUGAUUAAUACCUUGGCCAGGGAACAAUCUCGGUGGGGAGGACGGCCACUUAGCCUCUCAAUUCAUCUUGCUUUUCGUUAGUUUGAGAGGAAAACCAAUUGCAACUAGAUUCAAUGGAGUCUGGCAGAAUUUCUUCUAGGAUGCGUAGCUAAAUCCUCAAUUUUUAGUCGAAGGUCAAUUUGAAAAUUCGGUUCCAAAUAUCUGUGAAAUCGAAUUAUUUUACUUAUUUCUUUUAUUUAUUGGUAUUCGCACGUUUUCUGAUUUAACUUUUUAUGAUUGUUUUGUUAUUUGAAUGUCAAGGGUCCGAUAUUCGAAUUAACUUAAUAAUCUACUGCCAAAUUAACCGGUUAAAUCCGUAAUUGUUUGAUUGAUUAAUAUCAGUGGCGACUAGCGUGAUUGGUCCCAUGUUAGGAAAACGUCUGAUCUAAUUUAAACAAACCGUCGUAGCGUGUUUGUUGAUUAGGGUUGGGCUUUUCUAAUUCUUAAUUCAAUUGAGAAAUUAAAUCCCCCGGUCGUACCUAGGAUUAUUUUUUUGUUAGCGAAAUAGUUAAUGGUCGUACCUUGACUAUCGAAAAAGUAAGGAAGAGUUGAUUGUUUAUCGCGUGUACGACAACUAUAAUCAAUCUAUUAAUGAGUAAUUGAAUUAUCUUUGCAUCAGUAAUCAGUUGAAUGGACCGUGUCUGAAAAGUUGUACCUUUGGCUAGAGUCUUAUCUGUUGUUGAUUCAUUCAUAUCUAUCUUCAUGCGUUGUUUUAAUUUAGUUAAUUAGUUAUUUUUAUAAAAACCCCUCAUCUCUGGACUCUAAAAGAAAUAAAUUAUUUCUAGUUCCUGUGGAUUCGAUCCUACUCACCAUACAAUCCAACCUGCAAUUGUAUGAACCCCAAUCUCGCUUCCUAGUCCACCAUUUUUCUCUAGGUAAUAAUCUCCCUUCUAAUUUCUUCACAAAAUGCACCUUUCAUCACCUCCAAUAGCGUCGACAUGAUCUUUACCCCAGAAGACUAUUCACCGACUCUCAAUUGACGUUAGAAAAUCUAAGAGUAAUUCUACUUUACCCUAAGAUUGAUAUCAACAAGACAAGGACAAUUUAGAAUUAUUACACGCCUCUUCUUAAUAGGAAAAAGAAAUAGAGAAGAAAGUCAGGCCAGGUCUAAUUUCUUUUCAAAGGCAAUACAACAUUACGAAAUCAAGCAUUCAUUCAUACAAAUAUUUCAUAGUCACCGGUUUGCUGAGUAGAAAAAUUUAGACAAAAACUUAAUAUUAUAUUGUUUAAGAGUUAACAAUUUAGAGCUUAAUCUCCUUGUACUUUGGAGUUAACAAUUUAGAGCUUAAUCUCCUUGUACUUUGGACUAAACUUGAACGUGAAAGGAAAUCCCAAAACCAUAUUGGGCAUGAAUUCACACUUAAUAUACCCAAUAAAAGAUGGCGACUGGUGAAAGGCAGUGGAGACUGGUGGAGAGAUUUGAGGAAUAGAAGCAGACGGAAAAGCAACAAAUUUUUGCCGAAAAACGGUCACUUUCAUGGUUAAUUUUGCUACUCUCCAAUUGUACUUGACCAAUUACAACAAUUUCAUGGAGUUUGAUACGUGAAAAGAAUUUUUUAUAAAUUUUAUUUUGAUCCAUAAUGUUAUCUUUACAUAUAUAAAACAUUUUACAAUUUUGAUUUUGGCGCAGUUAACUUUUGGUAAACAAAAAUGCUCAUGUUUAAAAAACCGGAAAUAAAACAAAACAAGAAACAAAAGAAAUAAGAGGGUAGCAUAGACAUUUUGGAUUUUUCCGUUAAUUUGGAUGAUUUCCACCCACGUUCUAAUUUAAUCCAAAACACAAAGGAAUUACGUAGAGGUUUUAAAUAAUGAGGGAGCUUCAUGAUCGAACCCCAAACCACAAGGCGAUUUACUAUAUUUUACUCUUAAAUUUUGGUUUCAUCUCAUAGCAUACAAGAGUUCUAUUUCACUAUCUGUAGACAAAGACUUUCUAUGGUUGAUGUACCAUAGGAAAAAAUCUGCCUAUACAACGUGAUAGCAUUUUUUCAAAAACACAAGAUGGAAAAUUGCCCCCUUAAACGGGGAAAUUCAUGAUCUUUCCUCGAACAAAGAAUACUCACGCCUAUUCAAGAUGGAAAAUUGCCCCCUUAAACGUCUAUUUGUCAAUUCUUGAAAAAAGAAUACUCACGCCUAAAACACGGCCUCUUCAUCUGCAGAAUUCUAAAAAGUUAGGUAAACUCUAUAAACAAGUUGAUAGGUACAAUCGUACCCAAGAUCAAGUACAGAUAGUUGUACAUUCACUGCUGCAAUAACUAAUCUGAUGACUUACAAACAUAUCAUGGUCAAUCGUUGAAUGGUAAUGAGUCUUUUGUUAUGCAUUAGUAUUAGUGUGUACACUCUAAUAGAUUGAUACUUAUACUCUUUAAAUUAUCAUAAUAAUACCCUUAAUUAACUUUAACUCUUAAAAAGAAUACGUGUUAAUACACGAGAGUGUGUAACCUGAAUUGUUACUUAUACAUUAGUGUGUAAUAGAUAGGGAUGGCAAUGGGGGCGGGUGCCCGCAGGCAACCGCCCCGCGGGGGGCUCUCGGGGCGGGGAGGGGGGAAUUUUUUCCCCCCGUUUAGAAACGGGGCAGGGGACGGGGGAGUAUACCCCCGCCCCAUCCCCCGCAAAAAAAAUUAUAUAUAUAUAAUUAUAUAUAAUAUGUAAUUUAAUUAGUUAUAAACUUAUGAUAAUGAUAUUAUUAGUUAGAUGUAUUAUAUAAUGUAUAUUAGUGUAUGUAAUAUAAUUAAUAUUAUCAAUUAUACGAAUAAUUAGACAUGUCUACUAAUAGAAUUUAUUAAUUAGUUAUACUAAAUUUACUAAUACAUUUAUACUAAAUUUCUAAUUACAUUUAAUAGAAUAACACUUUUUUCUAAAAAAAAAAGCACAAACACAAUAAUGAAUUAGUGAUUGUAUUUUUACCAAAAAUGAAAACUUAACUAUUUUAGUUGCAUUUAUUUCAUCAUGUUGGAUUGUAUUCAAAUAAUUUUUGUUUGAUUGUUUUUAUGAGUUUCAAUUGUAAAAUUAAAAUGAAUAAUAACUUGAUGAAUAAUAAUGUCAAUCGUUGAAUGGUGUGUACACUCUAAUAUUAUGCAUUAGUAUUAGUGUGUACACUCUAAUAGAUUGAUACUUAUACUCUUUAAAUUAUCAUAAUAAUACCCUUAAUUAACUUUAACUCUUAAAAAGAAUACGUGUUAAUAACUCUUAACCUGAAUUGUUACUUAUACAUUAGUGUGAAAUAGAACGGCAAGCAUUGAGCAACUUAUAGGAGAAAUAGUCCUAUAAGCUGUUGGAUGACUAAUAUAGCUCUAGCUGUAAUGUUUUAAUUAAAUUACAUCACUAACGUUGGGAUGACUAAUGGUUUAAAAAUAAUUGAGUAAUUGGAAAAAAAAAAAGAGACUAAUUUUCAUUGAAACCCACCGACAAACUAAACGUGUCCAUGGCUUUUGAAUAGUGCAUUCAACGUUUAAUUGUAUAGUCCAGUUCAUUGCAGAUUACAUGGAGUAAAGAUUGUGCUCUUUCCUUUUUCACCCCUUUUGGAAUCGAUACUGUGGAGAAUUGGGUUUUUCCCUUCUUUUUUUCUUUUCUUUCUUUCUGUGCUUUGCAAAACAUAGGUAAAAUUAUGAAAUCCGAAGCAUUCUUUAAUUGGGAUUAAGUAUUGUUCUUGAAAUUAAAAAGAAGAAAGAAAGAACAACAAAAUUCCCUGAUUGGUUGCAUCGUGCUUCCAUAGAAGCUCUCUUAGUGUGAUACACUGCUUUCAAUCAGUUUAACAUGGAAAAAAGAAAGAGAUGAAAAGCAAAUUUGGUGGGGAUAAUUUCAGAAACCUCCCCUGAAGAUUUUGACUAUUCUACUGGUCUCCCUUCAGAUUUUAAAAAUUACACUAAUCUUCCUUGAAGUUAUAACAUUUAAAUUCAAUCAAUAAUUUAAAAAAUGAUAUUAUGAAAGAGAAAAUAAUAUGAUUUUAUCAUUGCCCCCCAUCUUACUACAUUAUUUAAUUAAUUUAAUAGCAACCCACACAUUAAAGAAAAAUAUAAAAUUUGUUAUUUAUCAUUAAAGAUCAAAUCGCUUAUAACAUCAAAUAAUAGUAUAUUAUUUAUAUUUUUCACUUAACAUAAUAUCCAAAUUACUCUUUUCAAUUACAUACUCAUUGUUAGACAAUCAACAACAAAUAACCAAAAAAUUUGCAACCAAAAUAUUACAAAAAAAAAUAAACUUUAACAUCAUAAAUAUUCUUAUCAACAUAUUAAAGUUAGUUACUGAAAUUUUUAUGGUGUUAAACUUCACUCUUUGUAAUAUUUUGGUUACAGAUUUUUUUUGAUUAUUUUUUAUUAAUUAUGUUUGAUGAUGGGUUUGUAAUUGAAAAGAAUAAUUUAAAACUUACAUUAAGUGAAAUAUAUAGAGUGAUAUACUAUUUUUUAUAACAUAUGUGAUUCAAUCCUUCUUGAUAGGAUUGGUAAUAGAGGUAGAGGGGGGAGUCGGCUGCAUCCGGUCUUCUUUUCAUAGAUAGUACAAUAUUGCGAAAUCAAUCGCAUUCACACAAUAAUAUUUCGAAGUCAAUGCAUGGCUAAGUUGCAUAAAAGUACGAACACUUGUUAUUAUAUAGCUUAAGAUUCAAAACUUUAGAGCAUAACCCUCCACCUAACACAAUUGAAUAAUGAAUAUUCACGUUUGUCAAAUCUGUCAAAGCACAGUUUGAGGACAACCCAUUCCAACCUGCAAAAGAUUUUUUACUUUUCUAAAGUUGUUGAGAGCUGUAAAAAGACCUACCAUGCUUACAUCCUCCGAGCCUUGGGAGUUAAAAAUGAAGGCACUGAGUGCUAUAAAAAGGGGGCUAGAGGCUGCCUAGAAGCAUAUCAGCCUAAAACAAGAAUUUGUUGUUAUGAUGGGAAGCAAAGCAAAAGCAAUGGGGUCUGGGCUGACUCCUCUUCUUGCCACUGUUUUAGUGGUAUUUGUUGCUCUUGGCUUGCCCUCAGAAACAGCAGCUGAUGAUCACUACAAGUAUUCAUCUCCUCCUCCUCCUUACCACUAUCCCUCACCACCGCCUCCAGUGCAUUUACCUCCACCAGUGUACAAAUACAAGUCCCCACCACCACCUCAUCAUGUUUACAAGUACAAAUCUCCACCACCCCCACCACCACACCCAGUUUACAAGUAUAAGUCACCACCACCACCUCCUCAUCCGGUACCACACCCAGUUUACAAGUAUAAGUCACCACCACCACCUCCUCAUCCGGUAUACAAGUAUAAGUCUCCUCCGCCACCACCACACCCAGUUUACAAGUAUAAGUCACCACCACCACCUCCUCAUCCGGUACCACACCCAGUUUACAAGUAUAAGUCUCCUCCGCCACCAGUUUACAAAUAUAAGUCUCCUCCACCACCACCUCCAGUGUACAAGUACAAGUCUCCACCACCACCAGUUUACAAGUACAAAUCACCACCACCUCCUCCCCCAGUUUACAAAUACAAGUCUCCACCACCACCAGUUUACCACUACAAGUCACCACCACCUCCUCACCCAGUUUACAAGUACAAAUCUCCUCCACCACCAAUUUACCACUACAAGUCACCACCACCUCCUCCCCCAGUUUACAAAUACAAGUCUCCACCUCCUCCUCACCACUACUAAGCAAUUGCUUCUGAGGUAAUAACACUUGUUCAAUAACACUUGAUAGCCAGCUGAAUAUUUGCAGGCAAAGGAGAAGGAAACCAGUGUUUGAGACCUUCUUGAAGAUGUAGAAGCAUAAGAAUUAAAGCCCAAUGUGAAGAUGAUGAUUUCAAGUUUUUCUACGUUACCAUUUCAAUAUCUAAAUUGGUUGUAGCGCCUUAGUUCCUUUGUUUAUGGGAUUUGUAUCGUUUUACGUACCAUGCAGUACAUGUCAUGUUUGUAAGGUUUUCUAUCCUGCCGGCAAACCGCAGGUUCCAUGUAAUAAAUCAAUACUAUUUAUAUUACGACACUUUUCUCUGUUUCUCUUAUAUUUUGUCUUUAAUAUUCUUAAUCAUAUUUUUAACAAAAAUAUUCAAACACUUCAGCAAUGGUUCACCUAGUUGAUCAUCGAAGCAGAGGCAAUUCCAAUUAUUUAUCAAUAAAUAGGAUAUAACUACCAAACAAGCGAUGGCAGUUAACCCCUCCUUACUGUGUCGGUGAUCAAGGUACGCCCGUUAAUCACUGCUCUAAUUGAGAAAUAAUCCUAAGUACGCCCGUAGAAUUUAAUUCCCCAAUUGCCUUACAUAUUAGAGGAGCCCUAUUCUAACCAAAUAACGCACUAUCAGGGUUAUUUUAGAUUAGCCCGCGUAUUCCCCUGACAUAAAUCUAAUCAUGCCAGUUGUCAUUAUUUUGAGGUAAUUAAACAAUUACGGAUUUAACACCUCAAUUGACAAUAGAUUAUUAAAUUAAUUAAUUAUUCGGAUCCAAGACAAUCAAUUAAUUAAACAACCAUAAGCACUACAAUCAGAGAAUAUGCAAAUACCAAUAAAUAAAUAAAAAAUAAAAUUAAAUCGAUCUCACAAUUUUUAGGCGAAUCAGAGCAUCCGUUGUCCCUUGACUAGAGCAAGGAAAUUAGUUCAUAUUUGAUGAACUAAACCCAUACAAAAGGGAAGCGAGAAAUGCAGCCAUUAUCCUUUGAAAUCUGGAAAAUUCAACUUGUCCGAAUAUCGAAUAGAUAGUAAUACUACAAAAGGUAAUUCAUAGCUUCCCUUUCGUCUGACACACAAGAAGAAAAAAAAGGGCUGCUAAUAACUAAAGGAGGAAAAGUCAAAGUCCUAAGCUAUGCUACAAGACGAAAAACUAAAGAAGACAAAAAGGCAGUGCUCAUUCCCUGCAAUCUCAAUUCCUAUUCUAUCUAAGUGCUCUCCAAUGUGCGGCGGCUCCCCUUCCGGAGAGGACGAAGUGGCACCCUUUUUUCCUGCGCAAUUUUCCUAUAUAAAGUAGUGCUCCUUGCAGCGGCUCCUGUGCGAAAAAAUGAAGACUUCGGCCCAAUUUGCCUAACAAGGGCUCACGUUUUGUUGUUCUAAAAAUGUCCCUAGGACAAACUCUAUCAUCUGAACUCUUUUCUUGCCAAAUUAGUACCUGUUAUUAUAUUUUCGUUCUACUCCCUGAAAUAAAUGCAAAAUAUCAAAAGUGAGUAGAAUCUAGCAAUUAAUCCACAUUAGGUCAGGUAAUAGGGAAAAUUAAUAAUAAAAUAAAUGAUAAAAUUGCAAUCUAUCACGGGACCACUGUGGUAAGGUGUGUUUCGCCUAUUAUAAGGAGUUCGGAGAGUUAGACGUGUUGGAGGCGGAGGCGCGGUCACUCCUGCACGCCCUCCAGCUGUGUGCAGAUCGCGAGGUACGGGCGUUGACUGUAGAAUCUGAUUCAAAGGUGCUUGUUCAACUAGUUUGCUCGGAUAUGAGGUCGAAGUGGCCGGUGUGUAUCGUAUUGCGGGAAAUAAGACAUUUGAUCCGGCGGAUGGGUGCAUCCCUUCAUCAUAUAUUCCGUGAGGCCAAUUCGGUGGCGGACGCAUUGGCUUCUCUGCAAUUGGGAGGGCAGCAGUACUACACCUCAGGCGUGGCGCUGCCUUUCAGGCCCAGAGGAGAGGCUCUGCUGGAUCGUCAAGGAGUACCUCGCAUCCGUGAGGCGCUCACUAAGGUUUGAUAGGCUAUGUCCUCCUUUCAAAAAACUUAUUUCAUCUACUCCUUGUAAUCAUUUUUCUUAUCAAUAAAUUGAGGCUUUUUAUUUAAAAAAAAACAUAUAAUUUAAGGCAAAAAUAUGAUCCUAGCGAGUAUCGCACUGAGACAUUAGGAAACAUCAUUAAAAGAGUAUUUCUUGAGUUAGUGCAACUAUUUCUUAGGGGAAUUUAUAGUUACAAAAUUCAAAAAUUUGAGAUUCUAUUACUGAUUAAUUAAGGGCGUUAUCACUAUUUUUCUUAUUAUCACCAUUAUUUACCCCACAUACUAUAAGUUUUUUUAGGGCACAGGAAAAGAGGUGGGCCGAUGUUUAGUUAUGUACAAAAGUUCAAAAUUUGUAGAUAACUUAUCAUGUGCCCUUAGAGCGUAGAAUACAGAAAAAAUAUCUUAAACUAUAACUAAUCCUAAUAUUUUUCUCUAUGAUAAACUAGCUCUUAUCCAUUUCUUUAGAUGAUGAAAGGAAAUAGUUAGUCACCUGUCCUCUAGUGAUUACAACAGCAUCAAAACAAAUUAGCACUCUUUUCCCGUAGUUUAAAAAUCCCUCAGCCACUAAGAUUUUGCAUGUCGAACGAAUUAAGGAACAUAGAAGGUUCGUGCUGCACCACAGUGUCCUUGUUGACGAUGCAAAGACAGAAAUGCAUCCGCGUAUACUUCCUUAAGCAUUUUGAUUACUUUAUGAUUCGAACUUUUCUUGUCUGACAGCUGGACUUAAUUGAAAAACACAAGUAACAAUAUUUCAAAGUUGAUUCGUCAAAGUUUACCCAAUUGGUGAAACUUUCUUCAUAGAGCUGACUUUGUAUUAGGUGACAAUGAUAUGGAAUUGAUGUCCUUCCCUUUUUCCUUUUUUUGUGUUGAAGACGCACAACGUUUUCAAUGGCAAAUUUAUAUGGGCUUUUCACGACAAAAUGUGUUCUGAAAAGUUCAUUCCAGAGGUUAAAAUUUUGUGUGUUAAAAAUUUGCUUCUCAGGACUUUGAUGGGAAAGUCUUGGUGUUUCCAAAAAGUUUAAGCAGGAUGCUUCUGGCUUUCUCUCCAUGUAUUUGUGAGUUAGAUCUAAAAUUAUCAGGGCUCCAGAGAUCUCUUGAAAUCGCAGCAUAUAUUGAAGUCUUUCCAGAAGGAGUCUUUUUUUUUUUUUUUAUGAAUUAUGAUAGAUAAUUAAUCUGACGGUGCAUAUAUAUAUAUAUGUGAUUUGCAGUAGGGUGUUUGACGAAAUGGUUAGGCUUCCUAAGUAAUGAUAGGAAUGCCAUUUGCAAAGAAGGACAGGGGGCUGGUGCUGUCAUAUUUUAUGCGAUUUGAUCCGUUGUUGUAUAAGUUUAAACUUUUGACGUGCAAUUGUGCUAUAAUAUUAUACUAAAUAUAUGUGUGAAAUAUUUUGUCUAUAUACAUCACUUUUAUCAUGAAUACAACAGCUGAGUAUAAUAAUAUAGUAUAAUGUAAUUGUACACCAAAUAAUGUAGCAAAUAUAACAAUUGAUCCGAAUUACACGGAACCAUAACAACAAGAUCACCGCCUCCCAAAUUUUACAAAAUUAGGUUUUUUUUUUUUCUCUUAGAUUAUUGAAAAUUUUCAAAAAUAAUCUACAUAAUUUAAGCUUUUGUCCUACAAAAAUUUGAAGAGAUUUUACAUUACAAGCUUAAGCUUAGAUAUAUUAAACUUUGCCCCCAAGAUUAAUUUUCCGUUUUUAUCUAUGAACCGAUCCAUAUAGCUAGUUAGACUGUAGUCCUCACAUUUGUGGGAUUUAACACCCAAGAUUCUCCUUCUUGGAAUGUAAAAUGUAGAUCUUCUAUGUUAAUAAUUCAAGACCCUACUGUCAUAAACGAAAUGACUGAUCAACUCCUGUAAACCUAAUUUGACAACAUUUAAAUGGAGAACUUUAGCUAAAAGAAUUAUGGUCAAGCUAAAGAAAAAGCCAGUUAUUUUCCAACAUAUGCAAUCAUUGAUCAGGAAAAAAAAAAAAAAGCAAAAAGACAUCUUCAAUCAUUUAAUAGCUCACAGUGCAAAUUAACCCCUAAGCGAAAACUGGUUGCUCUAGAAUCAAAAUUUUACCUUAGUUACCCAGGCAACUUUUUUGUUGCUUUUUUUUUUUUCUUUUCCUUUUUGGGUAUAUAUAUAGCUCCAGUUUUGCCCCCUCUGUCAAGCUUAUAUAAUUAUUAAGAUAAUAAAAGUGCCUUGAAUAGUAUUAAUAUAUCCAUUGACUUGAGCUGUCAUCGAUCGGUUUGGGCUACUUCGAUUCCAUGAGAACAAAUGGUAAUAAAAGUACUCAGAAAAUAGGGAGCCAUGAAACCCUUUUGUUCUAUUCAUUGCUAAGAUGCUUUUCUCUAUAAAGAGACUUCCUAACGAAAGUACUUUGUAGAUUUCUUUACUCCAAGUGGUGCAUGGAAAAUUAAAAUAUUCAAUUAUCAAAUAAAAUUCCCUUUUUUCGGUGUAGAUUUCAUCCAUCCAGCUGUUAACACAUUUUAUGUAUCCGAAUUAUAUAUUCUCUACCAAAUAUUGUAACUUUUCUGAGCAUCUUUACAUUUUUAUUCCCACCUAACAAAUUAGUUGUUGAGCAUCUUUACAUGCUAUCGGAUCACAAGUUAAUAAUCUUUUAAAGAACAUGUUAAAUUAAUUUAUUGGUAUGAAUAGUCAAAGAAGUAUAUUAAAGUUAGUAAUCUUUAAACACCACGAUGCAAUUAAUACUUUCAAGCUCAAGGUCUUUUUUUUUUUUUUUUUUGGUACUGUACUUCCUUGCUUUAUAGUAUGCACGUUUAUUUCUGUGGAUUGCUUAAGCUUAUAUUGUUAAUAAUUGGGCAUUUAACCAUAAAUUAUAAUGAUUAUGAAGUCAUAUAUAUAUAUAUAUAUAUAAGAAAAUUACCACAAUUAUUCAAUUUUUUUUGCAAAUUCAAAUUUUAUUAAUAAGAAAUAGGCAGUAAGCUUUUACAAACGGAAAAAAAAAAUCCUACAACAACUCUAGGACCUUUGAAAGAAAGAAAAAAAAAAGAAAAGAAAAGCUUAAGGACUCUACCUCAUAGAAGCUAAACAAUCCUACAAAUAAACUGCAAAAUAAAUCACAAUAACGCAAAAUUUUUGUCUUUCUUCCGUAUGAAAUGAAACUACGAAGUCAAGAAUUGACUCCUUUAACCGCUAUUGCCAGCGGGCUCCGUCAGCAAGAUACAACUUUGCAAUUUGAUUCAAUAGAAAUCCUCAAAUAGCUAUUUUGACAGGCAAAUUAAGCAUUAAUUUUGGUAUCCCUUCAUAAAAUACAAGAGUACUUUUGAUUAUAUCUAUAGAUCAACUUUCUAGGCUAUUUUGAUGUAUUAUAAGAAAAUCUGCCUCAACAAUUUUGAUAGCAUUUUUCCAAAAGCAGAAGAUGGAAAAUUGCCCAUUUGUACUGGGGAGUUCGUGAUCUUUUCCUCCUUCUAGUCUACUUACAAUUCUUGGAAAAAGGAAUACUCACAUCUCAAACAACUGCCUGUUCAUCUGCAAUGUCCUGCCGAAUUCUAGAAAGUUAGGUGGCAAUGCUAAUUACAUUUCAAAAUUGACUGCUGCGAUGACUAAUUCGAUGGCUUACUACAUGGUCAACGUUUGGAUCCCUUCCUGUCCUUUUUGGAUGCACAUUUUUUUUCUCUAGGCAAUAUAUAAUCUCCCAACUCAUUUCUUUACAAAUGCACCUUUAAUCACCACCAAAAGGUGUGGACAUGAUCUUUACCCUAGAAAACUAAUCACCGACAGGCAAAUUGACGUCAGAAAUACUAAGAGGAAUUCUAGUUUCCUUCGGGUUAAUGCCAUUUUGUACCCUUCAACUGUAACUCGAUUUCUAAACUAUAAUUUGUGACAUUAUAGUCCUUAAACUAUGAAACCCCUCUUACUUAAGUACAAUGGUUAAUACAAUACCCGUGACUAGACAAGCAACCAUAACAAAAAAAAAUCCAAAAUUAGAGAAAAGAAAGAAGUUUCGCGACCAAAGUAUGUAUCAAGGCAUAGUAUAGAAAUAAAAGUGUCCAAAUUAAGAGUUUAGGGAUAAAAGAGAUCAAGAUAUAGUUUAGGGAUUGAUUUGUCUCAAUUAGAGUUUUGAUGUCAACUAAGAAGAGAGAUAUAGUUGAAGGGUAGAAUAUAGAUAUAACAGUUCAAUGAUUGAUAUCAACGAGACAAUGACAACUUUGGAUUAUUACCAACCUCUUCUUGAUGGGAAAAGGAAAUAGAGAAGAAAGUCGGGCCUGGUCUAAGCCUGCUUCGGAGGCAAAACAACAUUAUGAAAUCACCGGCAUUCACACAAAUAUGUCAAAGUCACCGGCAUGCUAAGUUGCAUAAUUUAUACAAACACUGAAUAAUAUAUUGUUCUUAAAAUUUUUGUUUAAGAUUUAACAAUUAGAGCACGGUACACGAAUUAGCAAUAUUAAAUAAUGAAUGUUCACGAUUGAUAAAGUUAUCAAAGUACAGUUUGAGGACAACCCAUUCCAACGUGUACAAGAUGUUUAGCCUUUGAAAAGUUAAUUAGAGAAGGUGACGAGAUUUUACUAGGCUUAAAUCUUCUAGGCCUCGGAAGUAAAAAAUGAAGGCCUUUGAGUGCUAUAAAAAGGGGGCUAGAUGUUGCCUAGAAGCAUAUCAGCCUCAGACCACAUUUUGUAGCAAUGGGGAGCAAAGCAAAAGCAAUGGGGUCUAGGCUGACUCCUCUUCUUACCACCGUUUUAGUGGUAUUUGUUGCUCUUGGCUUGCCUUCAGAAACUGUGGCUGAUUACUACAAGUAUUCAUCUCCUCCUCCUCCUUACCAUUAUUCCUCACCACCACCUCCUGUGCAUUCACCUCCACCACCGCCAAUUUAUAAGUCACCCCCACCACCUUACCACUACUCCUCACCGCCACCUCCAGUGUAUUCAUCUCCACCACCACCUUCGCCAGUUUACAAGUCUCCGCCACCACCUUACCAUUAUUCGUCACCACCGCCUCCGGUGCAUUCACCUCCACCACCACCUGUUUACAAGUCACCUCCACCACCUUCGCCAGUUUACAAGUCUCCGCCACCACCUUACUAUUAUUCGUCACCACCGCCUCCGGUGCAUUCACCUCCACCACCACCGAUUUACGAGUCACCUCCACCACCUCCUCCAGUUUACAAGUCUCCGCCACCACCUUACCAUUAUUCCUCACCACCACCUCCAACGCAUUCACUCCCACCACCAGUUUACAAAUCACCGCCACCACCUCCUCCUAUGUAUAAGUCCCCUCCACCACCUUAUCAUUAUUCCUCACCACCACCUCCAGUGCAUUCACCCCCACUGCCACCAAUUUACAAGUCUCCGCCACCUCCAAUCUACAAGUAUAAGUCACCACCACCUCCUCCCCCAAUUUACAAGUCACCACCACCACCUCCUCCAGUAUAUAAGUCCCUACCCCCACCAGUGUAUAAGUACAAGUCUCCACCACCACCUCCUCCAGUAUACAAAUCACCUCCACCACCUCCUCCAGUUUACAAAUCUCUACCACCACCAAUUUAUAAAUACAAGUCUCCUCCACCACCUCCUCCGGUUUACAAUUCCCCACCACCACCAAUCUACAAGUCUCCACCUCCACCCUCCCAUUACUACUACAAUUCUCCUCCUCCUCCUCCUCAUCACUACUAAGCAAUUGUAUCCAAGUUUUUGAGGUAAUAAUGCUAAACCAAUAUAUUAACUUUCGCAUGAUAAACUUUAUCUCUAUCAAGACAAACUGCCAUGUGCAUCAAGCCAAAUACGUACACUUCGAUCCAUGAAAAUGACAAGUAGAAGGUUUUCUUAAGAACCAAGGAACAGCAUUAGUAUUCCCUCUGUUUCCAAAACUUGUGUAUUAAAUAGAUUAAUGAAUUGUUUAACAUGCUUAUCUACUUGAAAAUGCACAAUACCCAUAACCCACUGAAAUUUUUGCAGGUAAAGGGGAAGAGAAUCUGUGUUUGAGAGCUUCAUGAAGAUGUUGAAGAAUAAGAAUAAAAGCCCAAUGCGAGGAUGUUUUCAAGUUUUUCUAUGUUUCCACUUUAAUUUGUAAAUUGAAUUUUUCGACUUAAUUAAUUCCCUGUUUGUGGGGUACGUAUUGUUUUACGUACCAUGCCGUACAUGUUUGUAAGGAUUUCUAUCCUAUUGGCAAAAGUCGGUUCCAUACAAUUAAUCAAUUCAUUUCACUUCUAUUGGCUCUACUAUUUAUGCACGUUACGACAUUUUUUCUCUCUUUCCCUUAUAUUUUGUCUUUAAUAUUAUUGAGUCAAUAGUAAUACUGGGCCAUUUUUUUUAAAACUUAUACUAGUAUACAUAGGUAGUUUGGUCUAACGCCAAAUUCAUGUUUGUCUUUCUUUUAUUCCCUUUACAUUUCAAAGUAUACUAUAGUUUGUGAUCAUUGUGGUGAUGAUAUUACCAGCUGGUACUUAUAGUUUAAGGCAGAGACAUGAUAUUAACAACUAUCUCAUUGAAACAUAAGGAAAAAUCAUGACAAGUGUGAGUCUUGGUUAAUGCACAAUUUGUUAGUGGAAUUUAUAUUUAUAAAACUCAAAAAAAAAAUUUUGACAAUGCUAUUACUAAUUAAUUAAGGACUUUAUUGCUAUAAUUUAUCGCUUGCUAGUUUAAACUAUAAAUGAUCUCAAUACUUUUCUCCAUGAUGUCGAUUUCUUUAGAUACGAAAGGGAAAAAUUAGUGACAUAUCCCUUACUGAUUACAACAUCAGCAAAAAUUAGUUAUAAACUUUUCCGGUGGUUUUAAAUCCCCGGGCCCUAAGAUUUUUUGCUCAUCGAGUGAAUUAAGGAACAUAGGCAAUUCAUUUUGCAUACCAAGUCCUUGUUUAAGAUGCAAGUACUAAAAUGCAUCCACUUCAUUAAUUUGGGAAAUUGCCAUAGUUUUUUUAAGCAUUUUGAUUUUUUACAUGAUUUAAAAUUUUCUUAUUGGAUACAAUCACUUUGUAUCAAGAACACAUUUUCAAUCACCUUUUUUUAUCUUCUCAAUGAGAAAAUAAAAAUUUAUUCAUGCUUUUCUAACAUAUUCAAUCAUUGAUCUGAAAAUUAAAACAUUAAGAAAAGGACAUUUUCAAACAUUAAGAAGUAGUAUUUUAAAGACCAUGAUGAAAUUAAUACUUUCAAGGUCUCUAUUAGGAAGACUUCCUUUAUUAAUACUCUACUAGGCAGAGUUAUAUGCACGUUUACUGUUUUGGCCUUAAGUUGGGUGCAGAUGCUUAUAUUACAAAUAGAUGGUAUCAAAAAAUUGUUGUAUUCACGUCUGUUCUUUUUUUCUUCCUUAAGUUUUUUUCUUUAUUCUCGUGACUUCGCUAGUGAGGUAUAACUUCACAACUAGAGUCAAUAGAAAUCGUCAAAUGAUUUUUUGACAUCCAAAUUAAGCAAUAAAUUUUGUUUUCAUUUCAUAACAUAUAAUAGUACUACUUCAUGGGAGAUUUUAUAGUUUCUUUAGGGUAUCAUACCUACAAUUGAUAUUUAUCAUUGGAUAGUGAAAGAAGUGUUAAUGUCUCUAAGAUUAAAUAUUGUUAAAUAUUGAAAAUUUGAACUAUUUAUCUCUAUUGAGAGAUACAACUUAAAGAAUCCUACCCAAAAGAGACUAGAAUUUUCUCUGUUUUUCAUCAUCUGUAGACAUAAACUUUCCACGGUUGAUAGCAUUUUUCAUCAUCUAUAAGGAAAUUUUGCCUAUACAAUGUGAUAGCAUUUUUCAAAAAGACAAGAUGGAAAAUUGCCCCCCUUGAACGGAAAAUUGCCCCCUUGUCAAUUCUUUAAAAAAGAAUACCGUCCCGCAGAAUUCUAGAAAGUUAGGCAAAACUAGACAAGUUGACAGGUAUAAUCAGACCCAAGAUCAGGAACAAGCAGUUGCACAUUUCAAAAUUCGCUGCUGCAACAACUAAUUUGAUGACUUACAACACUAAAUGGUCAAACUUUGAAUGGCAAUGAAUCUUUUGUUGUACAUCAUGAUGUAAUUUUCAUGUUACAUAAUAGAUUGAUAUCUAUGUUCUUUAAAUUAUCAUAAUAAUUAAAUUUAACUGAAAAAAAGAACACAUAUCAAUACACAAAAGUGUGCAACGUGAAUGUUAUUUUAGUGUAUUGCAGAAGACCUAUAGUCUCUUCAUAUCUCUUCCUGCACGUAUCAAUUCGUUUCCUCUAGAUAAUAAUCUCCCAACUCAUUUAUUUACAAAUGCACCUUUUAUGUUUUAUUACCUCCAAAAGCCUAAAAAUCAAUUCACCGACUCGCAUUUGGUAUCAGAAAUUCUUAUUACGAAUUCUACUUUACUCAAAGAUUGACUGUUAAUAAUGAGACAACGACCAUUUUGUAUUAUUACACCGUCCUUCUUGAUAGGCAAAAGAAAUAGAGAGGAAAGCGGGUCCGUAUAUGGUCUUUUAUUCAUAGAUAAUACAACAUUACGCCAUCGAGCAUUCACACAAUAUUUCAAAGUCAUUGCAUGCCUAAGGCCUGCUUGAUAAUCUAAUUCCGUACUUAAAUUUAAUAAAUUCAAAUCUUAACACAUUCAAAUCGUUUGAUAACAAAAAAUUGAACAUCUAAAUUAAUUAAGUAACACUGAAUUUUCUAGGCAAAACUUGCUCCCAAAAUUAAGUGAUAAGUUAUUCACUUAUCACUGAAUAUGAUAUGUAUUCAAAUGUAUUAGAUUUAAUACUUAAUAAUUUAAUGAAUUCAAAUUUCAUAUUUCAUAUUUCAGUUUUAUCAAACACACCUUAAGUUGCAAAAUAAUACCAAAACUUGUUAUUACAUAGCUUGAGAUUCAAAAAUUUAGAGCAUAAUUCUCAACCAAACACAAUUGAAUAAUGAAUAUUCACGAGUGUCAAAUCUAUCAAAGUACAAUUUGAGGACAACCCAUUCAAACGCGUACACGAUUUUUAACUUUUCUAAAGUUGUUGAGAGCUGUUGAAAGAGAUUUACCAUGUUUACAUCUUCCAAGUCUUGGGAGUAAAAAAUGAAGCCACUGAGUGCUAUAAAAAGGGGGGUAGAGGCCACUUGAGAUCCUCGGUGACAUGUUUUCUAUGCCAAUCCAAUGCCACCAAUAGUGUUGCGCCAAGUGUCAUGUUAUUAUUUACACUUGUGUUAAACUAAGCCAAGUUGAAUUAUUAGAAAAUUAAAGUGUAAAUAAUAACAUGACACUUGGCGCAAUACUAUUGGUGACAUUGGGUUGGCAUAGAAAAUAUGUCACCGAGGAUCCCAAGUGGAUAGAUGCUGCCUAGAAGCAUAUCAGCCUAAAACAAGAAUUUGUAGUAACAAUGGGGAGCAAAGCAAAAGCAACGGGGUCUAGGCUGACUCCUCUUCUUACCACUGUUUUAGUGGUAUUUGUUGCCCUUGGCUUGCCCUUGGAAACUGCAGCUGAUUAUUACAAGUAUUCAUCUCCUCCUCCUCCUCCUUACCAGUAUUCCUCACCACCACCUCCAGUGUAUUCACCUCCACCAACCCCUGUUUAUAAGUUACCCCCACCAUCUCCUCUAGUUUACAAGUCCUCACCACCACCUUACCACUACUCACCACCUCCUGUGUAUUCACCUCCACCAUCACCAAUUUACAAGUCACUGCCACCACCCCCUCCAGUAUACAACUCCCCGCCUCCACCAGUGUACAAAUACAAGUCCCCACCACCACCUUCUCCAAUUUACAAAUCUCCACCGCCACCAGUUUACAAGUACAAGUCACCCCCACCACCUCCUCCGGUAUACAAGUCUCCUCCGCCACCUGUUUACGAGUACAAGUCUCCUCCACCACCUCCUCCAGUGUACAAGUCCCCACCACCUCCAGUUUACAAGUACAAGUCACCACCACCUCCUCCCCCGGUUUACCAAUCUCCUCCACCACCAGUUUACAAAUACAAGUCACCACCACCUCCUCCCCCAGUUUACCAGUCUCCACCUCCACCCUAUCAUCACUACUACGGUUCUCCUCCUCCUCACCACUACUAAGCAAGUGCAUCUAAGUUUUGAGGUAAUAAUACCGAUCCAAAACUUUAUCAACGCAAACUGCCAUGUAUAUCAUGCUAAGGACGUACACUUGAUCCAUGAAAAUGGCUAGUAGAAGAUUUUUUUUAAGAACCAGAGAAAUACAUUAUUUUUUCGCUCUGUUUUCAAGAAUUUGAGCAGUAUACAGAUUAAAGAGUGUUUUUUUUAAACUUGCUUAUCAACUUAGAAAUGCACAUAGCUGAAAGCCAACUGAAUAUUUGCAGGCAAAGGAGAAGGCAAUCGGUGUUUGAGACCUUCAUGAAGAUGUAGAAGAAUAAGAAUAAAAGCCCAAUGCGAGGAUGAUUUCAAGUUUCUACGUUACCAUUUCUACAUCUAAAUUGACUUUAGCUCCUGAGUUCCAUGUCUAUGGGGUUUGUACUGUUUUACGUACCAUGCAGUACAUGCUUGUAAGGUUUUCUGUCCUGUUGGCAAGCCGCAGGUCCAUAUAAUAAAUGAAUACUAUUUAUAUUACGACACUUUUCUCUCUUUCUCUUAUAUUUUGUCUUUAAUAUUGUUGAUCAUUUUUUUUUUUUAUCAAAAGUAUCAAAUGCUUAGGCAAUUUGGUCUAAUGCUAAUUGUUUUACAUUUAUUUUUCACCUACAUCCCUUUUCAACUCAAAGGAUGCUACAGUUUGUGAUCAUUGUUUAAGACCGAAGCAUGGUACUAAUAAAUAUCUCAUUGAAAGUCAAGGAAACUAACAUUAUGAAAAGUGUAAAUCUUGAUUUGUGAAACUAUUUAUUCGUGGAAUUUAGAGAUACAAAACUCAAAUUGUGACGGUGUUGUUGCUAAAUUAUUUUUUUUUUAUAAUAAAACACAGUUCAUUCAAGGAUUACUGGAAAUCGUCCAGCACAAUUGAGAUACAUUGUUGCCCAGGUGGCAGAUAAAUAUGCACUAAAAUUAUAGAUAUGCAAUUUAACAAAUACAUAAGAUUUGAGAAAUUAAGGACAAAUCUAAAAAGGACCAUAAAUUUGAAAAACAUUUCAUCCUAGAAUAAGUCGCUGCAACUCUCUUUGUGCAUGCUGUAAUCGUCAGAUCUACUAAUCAACAGUUGUAAGGUCCAGUAAAGAUGGUGAGAUCUGCCGAGAUUGAUCCAAAUCUGAAAUAUUCCCUCAGAUCUGCUAUCCAAUUGGUUCAAACUCAAUACUGAAAGUGAAAUCUGAUGAGAAGACUGAAAAAAUUGUAGAUCUAACAUAUAGAUCUAAAAAAACUCCAAGAUUUGAAAAAGUAAAGAAACAAAACUAAAUAAAACUCUCAUUAAGAUAGUUUAGGAGAGACUAAAACUCUCAAUAGGACACCCUAGGAGAGAAGAAAACUCUCACUAGGAUAACCUAUGAGAGACUUUAUUGAAUGAAAGGAAAAGCAAAGGACAAAGGAAGAAGAAGGGAGACCUUGGCUUAAGGCCAAGGUCUCCCUCCUAUGGAGGAGGAAGGGUAGAGGAGGAAGCCUAGAGAGAAGGAAGAGAAUCCCUCCGCUAGAGGGAAGGAAGAGCCUCUGAGAGGGUACCCGUGUUGUUGCUAAAUUAUUAAGGACAUUAUCACCAUUACUUUUCCCUUACUAGUUUCAACUGCAAUGAUCUCAAUCUUUUUGUGACUAAUUCUUUUCUUAAUAAUUUAUAAAUACAAAACUCACAAAGAAUAUGUGACUUAUUCUUUCCUUUCGUCUUCUAAAGAAAAUGCCAACUGUUAGUUUAUCAAGGGAAAAAGGAUCGACAUCAGUUGUUAUUGAAACUAGUAAGGAAUAAAUAAUGGUGAUAAUGUCCUUAAUAAUUUAACAACAGCACCAUCAGAAUUUGAGCUUUGUAUCUAUAAAUUCCACGAAUAAAUAGUUUCAUCAAAUCAAGAUUUACACUUUUCAUAAUGUUAAGUUUCCUUGACUUUCAAUGAGAUAUUUAUUAGUAUCAUGCUUCGGUCGUAAACAACGAUCACAAACGAUAGCAUCCUUUGAGUUGAAAAGGGUAGUGAAAAAGAGAAGUAAAAAAUACAAUUAGCAUUCCCUCAAAUUGUAGAAAGUUAGGUAGCAUUAUAGACAAGUUGAUAGCCGUAAUUAUACUAAAAAUCAGGCAAAAGCCAGCAAUUUUACAUUUCAAAAUUCACCUAUUCAAUAACUAAUUCGAUGGCUUGCUACAUGGUCAAAAUUCACCACAUAUCCCUUUCCUCAAUCAGGGGCUUCUACAAUUACCAGUUCCAAUUGUAUGGUAUAGUGUAAAUAUCAACAAAUUAGAUGUAGACACUAAUAUAAUAAAUAUGGAUGCUAAGGCAACAACAUACAAAAACAUAAUAAAUUUUGGCAUUCCUUAAAAAAUUACGUCCCCAAAUCAAUCUCAUACACCCAAUUUCUAAUUUAUUUAACUCAUUCCGUCUAUUAACUGCACCAUACAAUCCAACCUGCAAUUGCAUGAACCCCAAUCUCGCUUCCUAGUCCACCAUUUUUCUCUAGGUAAUAAUCUCCCUUCUAAUUUCUUCACAAAAUGCACCUUUCAUCACCUCCAAUAGCGUCGACAUGAUCUUUACCCUAGAAGACUAUUCACCGACUCCCAAUUGACGUCAGAAAAUCUAAGAGUAAUUCUACUUUACCCUAAGAUUGAUAUCAACUAGACAAUGACAAUUUAGAAUUAUUACACGCCUCUUCUUAAUAGGAAAAAGAAAUAGAGAAGAAAGUCAGGCCAGGUCUAAUUUCUUUUCGAAGGCAAUACAACAUUACGAAAUCAAGCAUUCAUUCAUACAAAUAUUUCAUAGUCACCGGUUUGCUGAGUAGAAAAGUUUAUACAAAAACUUAAUAUUAUAUUGUUUAAGAGUUAACAAUUUAGAGCUUAAUCUCCUUGUACUUUGGACUAAACUCGAACGUGAAAGGAAAUCCCAAAACCAUAUUGGGCAUGAAUUCACACUUAAAUAGACCCAAAAAAAGAUGGCGACUGGUGAAAGGCAGUGGAGACUGGUGGUGAGAUUUGAGGAAUAGAAGCAGACGGAAAAGCCACAAAUUUUUGCCGAAAGAGGGUCACUUUCAUGGUUAAUUUUGCUACUCUCUACUUGUACUUGACCAAUGACAGGUUGUCAGUCUGUGCAAUAAUAAAAACCUGUUCAAACUAAAAGUAAUUUCUGUAGAUAGUGGUAAGCAGGGUCGAAUCCACAGGGAUUAGGUGUAACUGUUUCUUUUCAAAUUCACAAUAACAAAGGGGGUGUUUUUAUGCAGAAUGUGACAAUCAAAGAAAUUCAAUUAAAAGUAAAAUAAUAAAAAUAAAAUAGCCAACUAGAAAUUAAAUAACAAUUUACUAAAAUCAAAUGAGUGAUAAUUAAGGAUCUAGCCAAGGAAUAACUUCAGCAGUGGUUCACCUAAUUGAUCAUUGGAACAAAGGCAAUUCCAAUUAUUUACUAAUAAAUAGGUUAUAACUGCCAAACAAGCGAUGACAGUCAAUCACUCCUUACUGUGUCGGUGAUUAAGGUACGCCCGUUAAUCACUGCCCUAAUUGAGAAAUAAUCUUAGGUACGCCCGUAAGAUUUAAUUUUCCAAUUGCCUUACAUAUUAGAGGAGUGUCAGGAACAAGGAAAUAGAAUGGGACGUCGUUUAAUGCAAAGGGUUGUGCGUUUAAGGCCUUAGAAGCAAUACUACGUCGUUCUAAUAACAUAGGCGGUGCUGGUGUGAUAGGCCAAGUUAGUUGAGGGUCAAUUACAUAAAUAGCCUUCUGUAACAGAUUUUUGGUUAUGUUUUUGAAUGAAAAGUAUCUCGCUGCUUUCUCUCUCUUGUCUGUUAUUUCCCUCCCUUUUCUUCUUUCUCUCUUCCCUCUUCUUAAUCUUGUUUCUUUCUUCUGAUUCUUCCCCCAAAUUCAAUACAAUUCCAGAAAUUAACCUGCAAGUCUGACAUUUGGUAUCAGAGCGGUCGAUUCUUGGCCGCGAAGGUAUCAGAAAUGGCUGAGAGCACGCGAUUCAGGACACUGGAGGAGCAACUCAAGAAGCAGGAGAAUCGGUUGCAAGAACUGGCGGAAUCCAUGGCUGCACUGCAGAGUACGAGUUCCGAGGAGUUGCGGCAUAAGCUACAGGCGGAAAUGGAGCAGAACAAUGCAAAAUUGGACGCGGUGGUGGGAAGUCUGGACCAGAAGUUCAAUAAAAUGGAACAGAGACUCAGUACAGUGUUGAAGCUGCUGAUGAAGGAGAAAGGUCUCCCUGAUGUCGAAGGAGGAAUUUCUGAUCCAAUCUUGCCGACUCCUCCAUCUCAUCUGAGGUUAGCAUCCUCAGUCGAAGGGAUUGGGCACCAACAAGAGUACAGAGGUAGGCAAUUCACUCCUAAUGUACCUCGAUUAGAACUGCCAAUGUUUAACUCUGGAAACCCUAGGGAAUGGACCAGGAAAUGCCAGAAAUAUUUUUUGAACUAUCAGAUAGCAGAGAGUCAAAAGGUAGAGGUAGCAGAGAUGUUUUUGGAAGGUAGAGCUGACAAUUGGUUUCAAGGAGUGAAAUUGGUGAGGCCAGGGUUGUCUUGGGGGGAAUUUAGUGAACUUUUGUGUGAAAGAUUUUCUGGAAGUAGUUCUCGUGACAUUGUGGAGGAAUUUAACAAGUUACAGCAGAAAGGAACUGUUGAGGAAUAUGAGGAGAAAUUUGAAGAACUAAAAGCUCUAAUGCUGAUGAAAACCCCCAGGUUGGAUGAACUUUACUUUGUUUCCAGUUUUAUUAGUGGCCUCAGGGAAGAAAUUAGACCUAUGGUGAAGAUGUUUAAGCCUCAAACACUGAUGAAGGCCUUUGAAGUUGCGGAGUUGCAGGAGUGUUCCCUGGAAAUCCAAUCGAAACAAAACAGAACUUCAAGGAGGACAGCAAUGGAACCCAAGUUUGGAAUGUAUAAGGGCACUACGAGUGAUUAGGGUCGCCAAAAUUCAUAUAAGUUGCCUGGAGUCACUCCUGUCUCCAGGAGGACUAAUGCAGUACACAAGGAAUUUAGUAAGAUAUCAGCGGAGGAAAUGCAGUAUAAGCGUAAGCACAGCCUGUGCUAUAGGUGUGGAGAGAAGUUUGGAAUAGGUCAUCAGUGUAAGAAAGGAAGUCUGAACUGUGUGAGCACUGAGGAAGAGGAGGACACUGAAUUUGAGGAUGCGGAAGGGGAACAGGAUGAGUUAACAGGAAGGGUCGGGGAACUUGCAGAAGUCUCUUUGAAUGCUUUAUCUGGUGCCAUAAGGAGGAAAUCCAUCCUGUUGAUAGGGAACUUAGGGGGGCUUCCAGUCAAAAUUUUGGUGGACACAGGCAGUUCUAACAGCUUCAUUCACCACAGGAUUGUCAACCUACUGCAUCUACCAUAUCAGGCAGUCAGUCCAUUUACUGUGACUCUAGCAGAUGGAACUGACAUUACCAGUGGAGCCAUCAGUCCCAGCGUGUCUUGGUUAAUUCAGGACUAUCAAUUCCAAUUUGACUUAAAAGUAAUGGAAUUAGGGGGAUGGGAUAUAAUUCUGGGGGUGGACUGGAUGUGCCAGUAUAGUCCCAUUACAUUUGAUUUCCACUCUCUUAGCAUUGCCCUUAGUGAUAGGGGUUCUUUACUACACCUCCAAGGACUUGUGAAGCAACCUACUAUGGAACUGGUGAGGGGCAGGGAUCUCAGCUCGUUUAUACAGGAGAAGCAAAGAAACUGUGCAGCCAUGCAUGCUGAUAGGGCCAGGGAAACAGGAGAGCAGCUUCCAAAAGCUAUAGAAAGGAUCCUGGAACAGCACUCUCAGGUUUUCUCCACCCCAACAGGAUUACCCCCAGAGAGGGAAUUGGACCAUCAGAUCAACCUCAAACCAGGAGCUGAACCCUUCAAGCUCAAACCUUACAGGUACCCCCACUCACAUAAAGCAGAAAUUGAAAAAAAAGUUGCUGAGAUGCUCACUAAUGGAAUUGUUAUACAUAGCACAAGCCCCUAUGCCUCCCCUGUAUUGUUAGUAAAGAAAAAGGAUAACUCCUGGAGAUUAUGCAUAGAUUACAGGAAGCUGAACGAGCUGACUAUAAAGGAUAAGUUCCCUAUUCCCAACAUAGAUGAACUAUUGGAUGAAUUACAUGGAACCAGAUACAUGUCCAAACUGGAUCUCAGAGCUGGUUACCAUCAGUUGAGGGUGAAAGCUGUUGAUACCCCUAAGACUGCCUUCCAGACACACCAUGGCCACUUUGAAUUCUUAGUGAUGCCUUUUGGACUCACAAACGCGCCAGCUACAUUUCAGUCCUUGAUGAACAGAAUAUUUCAGCCAUAUCUCAGAAAGUUUGUCCUAGUCUUCUUUGACUACAUAUUAGUGUACAGCCCCACACUAGAGAUGCAUGCACAGCAUCUACAGAUUGUGCUCAAUAUUUUAGAAGAAAAUCAGCUGUAUUACAAGAGGUCAAAGUGCUCUUUUGCCCAGUCCUCAAUUGAAUACUUGGGGCACGUGAUCUCAGAGGCAGGAGUGAGUAUGGAUGUGGCUAAGGUGGAGUGUAUCAAGUCCUGGUCUGUUCCUAGUACAGUCAAGGAGCUGAGAGGGUUUUUGGGAUUAAUUGGUUACUACAGGAGAUUCAUUAAAGGCUAUGGAGUGAUUAGCAAACCCUUGACUGUAUUGUUGAAAAAGGAAGGUUUUGCAUGGAACCAUGAAGCUCAAAUGGCCUUUGAAGAUUUGAAAAAGGUUAUGACCACAGCCCCAGUGCUGAGCAUGCCUAAUUUCGAACUUCCUUUUGUCAUAGAGACUGAUGCCUGUGGAAUAGGUAUUGGAGCAGUGUUGAUGCAGCAAGGACAUCCUAUUGCUUUCCUUAGCAAGGCAUUAUCAGUUCAGAAUUUGGGGUUAUCAGUCUAUGAAAAAGAGCUUUUUGCCUUAGUGCUAGCUGUAACUAAGUGGAGGCAUUACCUGGUGGGUCAUCACUUCAUUAUCAGGACAGAUCACCAAGCUCUCAAACAUUUGAUAGAGCAAAGGCUUACUCAUCCACUCCAGCACAAGUGGCUAACUAAGCUACUUGGUUUGGACUAUGAAAUACAGUAUAAAAAGGGUGCAGACAAUGGGGUGGCAGACGCCCUCUCCAGGAGAAGGAUUGAGGGAAACACUGUUGACUGUGGAGAGACUGGGCAUCAGACCUGCGCCAUAACCUCAGCUCAGCCUAGUUGGAUGCAGGAAAUGCUAGAAAGCUACAUUGGAGAUGCAGAGGCUCAACAGAAGUUAUCUGAGCUAUUGCUGGAUCCCAAUGCAGAUCCAGAUUAUCAGUUAAAGAAUGGGAUGCUCAAGUUUAAAGGGCGGCUGUACAUAGGAUCUGCUAACAACAUUAGGACCAAGGUGGUCAGAGCAUUGCAUGACUCAGCCCUUGGGGGGCACUCAGGUCCUGGAAUCCGUAAGGAUGUCCUUCAAUAUGUGAGAUCUUGUGAUGUGUGUCAAAGGAACAAACAUGAAAAUGUUCCUUAUCCUGGGUUGCUGCAACCAAUUCCUGUACCUCAGCAGGCUUGGUCACACCUCACCAUGGAUUUUAUUGAGCAACUACCCCCAUCCCAUGGAUUUGAUACCAUUUUGGUGGUGGUGGAUAGGUUAACCAAGUUCAGCCACUUCAUUCGACUCACUCACCCUUUUUCUGCACAGCAGGUAGCACAGCUUUUCCUUGACAACAUAUACAAGCUGCAUGGACUUCCUGAGACCAUUAUAACUGACAGGGACAUAAUCUUUCUUAGUAAGUUUUGGCAAGAGUUAUUUGGUAUGGUAGGGGUAAAGCUGCACUACAGUUCAUCGUAUCACCCUCAAUCAGAUGGUCAAAGUGAAAGGGUCAAUCAGUGUUUGGAAAACUAUCUCAGGUGUAUGUGCAGUGAGCAUCCUUCUCACUGGAGCAGUUGGCUUCCUACAGCUGAGUUAUGGUACAACACUAACUUCCAUACUAGCUUGCAGGUGACACCAUUCGAAGCACUAUACGGGUAUAAACCAAAUCACCUUCCCUUAGGACCUUUUCAUGAUAGCCUGGUACCUGCUGCUGGUAACAUGGUGCAGACUAGGCUCCAAAUUCUAUCCCUCAUCAAAGAGAAUCUAGCCACCGCCCAGAAUCGAAUGAAAAUGUUUACUGAUAAGCACAGGACUGAACGUGUCUUCCAAGUGGGGGAUUGGGUAUUUCUCAAGCUGCAACCUUACAGGCAACAAUCAGUGGCCUUACGGAAGAAUUUGAAGUUGGCUGCCAAAUACUUUGGACCUUUCCAGAUCCUUGCGAGAGUAGGGGAAGUCGCCUACAGACUUAAGUUGCCAGAGGGAGCUCGAGUUCAUUCCGUGUUCCAUGUGUCCUUACUUAAAAGGAAAGUGGGAGUUACACAGCAGGUAAAGCCCAGCUUGCCAGAAGUAGACGCAUCAGACCAAUGUUUGCUGAAGCCAGAGAAGAUUCUCCAGAGGCGUGUUAUCAUACGAGCUGCCAAACCAAUCAUCCAGUACCUGGUGAAGUGGAACAACUUACCAGAAUCCGAAGCAUCAUGGGAGGAUAAAAGCUUCAUUGACAGACAAUUUCCGGAAUUUCAAGCUUGAGGACAAGCUUUGCUUAAGGGGAAGAGAUUGUCAGGAACAAGGAAAUAGAAUGGGACGUCGUUUAAUGCAAAGGGUUGUGCGUUUAAGGCCUUAGAAGCAAUACUACGUCAUUCUAAUAACAUAGGCGGUGCUGGUGUGAUAGGCCAAGUUAGUUGAGGGUCAAUUACAUAAAUAGCCUUCUGUAACAGAUUUUUGGUUAUGUUUUUGAAUGAAAAGUAUCUCGCUGCUUUCUCUCUCUUGUCUGUUAUUUCCCUCCCUUUUCUUCUUUCUCUCUUCCCUCUUCUUAAUCUUGUUUCUUUCUUCUGAUUCUUCCCCCAAAUUCAAUACAAUUCCAGAAAUUAACCUGCAGAUCUGACAAGGAGCCCUAUUCUAACCAAAUAACACACUACCAGGGUUAUUUUAGGUUAGCCCGCGUAUUCCCCUGACAUGAAUCCAAUCAUGCCAGUUAUCACUAUUUUGAAACAAUUAAACAAUUACGGAUUUAACGUCCCAAUUGACAAUAGAUUAUCAAAUUAACUAAUUAUCCGGAUCCAAAACAAUCAAUUAAUUAAAUAAUCAUAAGCACUGUAAUCAGGGAAUAUUUGAAUACCAAUAAAUAAAAAGAAAGGACAAAAUUAAAUCGAUUUCACAAUUUUUAAACGAACCACAACCUCAGUUGUUCCUCGGCUAGAUUGAGAAAAUUAGCUCAUGUUCGAUGCGAAAAAUCCACAAGAAAUUGUUAAGAGAGCCGCGGCCAUUGUCCCUUGAAAUUGGGGAAAUUCAAUUCGGUUGAACUACGAAAGAAAAGUAAGCUACAGAGAGUUGCCGAUUGGGUUUUGCUUGUCCCUAACAUGCGAGGGAGCAAAGCCACGAAAGGACGACAAAGGUCAAAAAGAAAGGCUACAGAGCAUGUUCCAGGUCUUUUUGUGCUCUCCACAUCCGAGCCAACGAAAAGAAAUAAAAAACUACCAGGAGCUAAAGGAAAACCGCAAGAAAAGUCAAAGGCUAAAAAAACUUCCUAGUGCUUGUUCUCUGCUUAUCUCUUUAUCUAAUUCUAAGUCCCCGAUUUUUUGCUCCGUGCGGCGGCUCCCCCGGAGAGAAAGGAUUGCAUCCGCUGCCCUCUUCCACCAAUUACCAAAAUGGGCACACCGCUUCUUUUUCAAAAAUGCUCCUGGAUAAACUCUAUCAUCUGGACUUUUUUUCUGUCAAAUUGACAUUUAUUAUUAUAUUUUCGUUCUACUCCCUGAAAUAAAUGUAAAAUAUUAAAAAUGAGUAGAAUCCGACAAUUAAUUCACAUCAGGUCAGAUAAUAAAGAAAAUUAAUAAUAAAAUAAAUAAAUAAAUUGCAACCUAUCAACCAAAUACAACAAUUUCAUGGAGUUUGAUACACAAGCCCAAAUACACGAGAGUGUGUAACCUGAAUUGUUACUUAUACAUUAGUGUGUAAUAGAACGGCAAGCAUUAUGGUGGUCAUUGAGCAACUUGUAGGAGAAAUAGUCCUAUAAGCUGUUCAAUGACCAAUCACAACUUGCUAAUUGGAUGACUAAUAUAGCUCUAGCUGUAAUGUUUUAAUUAAAUUCCAUCACUAACGUUGGGAUGACUUUUUAAUCAAAAAAAAAAAAGCCUUAGUUCAAGCUUUUCCCCUUAUUGUGCAUUUUUUAAAACAUUUGAUAGGCACUGCAAAUCUGUCAUUUUGGACAUUUUAUUAUUAACUAACAAUGAAAGCCGUGGACAUCAACCCAUAUCCAACAAAAUAUUAAAUUAAUAUUAGAAAAAAUUAUUAAGUAAUUGGAAAAAAAAAGAAGAGGCUAAUUUUCAUUGAAACCCACCGACAAACUAUACGCUGCUUUCAAUCAGUUUUAACACGGGAAAAAGAAAAGGCAUGAAAAGCAAAAUUUGUGGGGAUAAUUUCGGAAACCUCCCAUGAAGUUUUUGACUAUUUUACUGGCCUCCCUUCAGAUUUUAAAAAUUGGACUAAUCUUCCUUAAAGUUAAUUAUCUUGUAACAUUUAGAUCCGAUCAAUAAUUUAAAAAAUAAUAUUAUGAGAGAGAAAAUAAUAUGAUUUUAUUAUUGCCCCCAUCUCACCACAUUAUUUAAUUAAUUUAAUAGCAACCCACACAUUAAAGAAAAUGACAGGUCGUCAACCUGUGCAAUAAUAAAAUUAAACCUAAUUGCCAGUUAAAAUGACCAAAACCCAAUUCCAAGUACUGGAGCAGGGACUCUAGGUGUGCAAUGGGUUACUUGAUUCACCCUGUUCCCGAAGAGUUUGCUUGAUCCGAUAUACCCGAAUGGAAUGGUUAUUCCUUUUCACAAAUGAUUAGGAAUUUGUAGACAGGGCAAGUAGGGUCGUAUCCACAGAGACUGGGUAUAUUUGUUUCUUAAGAAAUCCAAAGUAACACAGGGGGUGAUUUUGUAGGAACGACGAUAAUUAAAUAAAUUCAAAUGAGAAAGUAAAAAUAAAUAAUUAACUAGAAAUUAAACCACAAUUUACUGAACUCAGGAUAACAAUAGUUAAAGGCCUCAAUUAAUUAAAAUAAGGAAACAAUCAAAAAUAAAAUAAAGUAGGUAAUUAAAAGUCAAAUGGCAAUCCACUACAAUCAAGGAAAUAUUAACUAAAGAUCUAGCCAAGAAAUAACUUCAGCAAUGGUUCACCUAAUCGAUCAUUGAUGCAAAGCAAUCCCAAUUAUUUACUAAUAAAUAGGUUAUAACUACCAAACAAGCGAUGGCAGUCAACCCCUCCUUACUGUGUCGGUGAUCAAGGUACGCCCGUUAAUCACUGCUCUAAUUGAGAAAUAAUCCUAGGUACGCCCGUAGAAUUUAAUUCCCCAACUGCCUUACGUAUUAGAGGAGCCCUAUUCUACCCAAAUAACACACUACCAGGGUUAUUUUAGAUUAGCCCGCGUAUCCCCCUGACACGAAUCUAAUCGUGCCAGUUGUCACUAAUUUGAGGUAAUUAAACAAUUACGGAUUCAAUACCCCAAUUGACAAUAGAUUAUCAAACCAAUGAAUUAUCCGGAUCCAAGACAAUCAACUAAUUAAAUAAUCAUAAGCACUGCAACCAAGGAAUAUGCGAAUACCAAUAAAUAAAGGAAAAGAUAAAAUUAAAUCGAUCUCACAAUUUACAGGUGACCCAAAGCAUCAGUCGUUUCUUGACUAGAACGAGGGGGUUAGCUCAUAUUGGAUGAACUAAGCCCGCGGGAAAUUCCAGCAAAAGUCACGGCCGUUGUAUGCAUUUCAAGAGCCGCAAUUCGUCAAACACUUGGAAAGCGAAUGUAAGGCACGGGUAACAAUUGAAACUUUCUAAUUGUUCCUAGCAUUCGUAAAGCAAAUUCACUCCAGAAGUACAGUGAGGAAAAGUCAAAGAAAGUGGGCUUCAAUUCCUUGCUCCUGACAUGCGUGGAGACAAGCCAAUGCAAGACUACAAUAAACUAACAAGGAAAAGUCAAGAAUUGGAGCUAAGCUCCCCUGCCAUGCGCAGGAAUCCCAAAAGUAAAAAGUAAAGCUUCAAAGAAAAGUCAACAAUUCUUCCUAAGCUACAGACGGAAGAUCCAGCACAAAAGCCAGCUCCCUUUUUGAUCCCUUUUUCCCCCUUCUUAUUGCGGCGGCUCACCAGGAGAGGAGAGCCCUCCGUCCGUCCUUUCUUCCGGAAAUUACCAAAAUGGGCAUGACAUCUUCUCUUCCAAAAGUGCCCCUGGGACAAGCUUUCUCAUCUGAAUUCUUUUUUUUUCCAAUUUGGCACCUGUUAUCAUAUUUAUAUUCUACUCCCUGAAAUAAACGUCAAAUACUAAAAGUGAGUAGAAUCCAGCAAAUAAAUCCACAUCAAGUCAGGUAAUAGGAGGAAUUAAUAAUAAAAUAAAUGAAUAAAUUGCACCCUAUCAAUUCCCUCCACACCUAAACCAUGCUUGUCCUCAAGCAUAAGAAAAGUAAACGAACACCAAAAUUCGACGAUAGCCAUUGCCCAAUCUCCUAUAUUGCCAAGACAUUCAAGAGAAAAACACAUAUCGAGCAUUGGUGAUUAGAAUCCCAGAAGCAUCCCCCCGGUUAGCCUCUAACCCCCAGAUUCCUUCAAUUUCCAACUUAACUACUCUAAGAAAGAGGAAUGGCACACAACAUUUAUCAGCUAGUGGUCCGAAUAUUCACACAAGUCUUCAUAUCCAAUCCAUAAACCGGCAAGCUUCCCUAUUAUUUAGUCUCUCUUUUUUUCCGUUUUUUUUCAUUUUCAUUCUUCCCCUCUUUUUUUUUUUUUUUUAAAGCAGUAGCAAUCAACACAAAAGACUUAGUCGUUAGCCGUCAGGGCCUUUUGAUGCGAACUCCAACAUUUUUAGAAGGAGGAGCCCGGUUACUCAGCUCCUACCGCUAUACGACCACGCACUCAUAUAAAAUACCACCUUUUGACGCGAGAAUCGACACUUUUAGGUGCCGAUCCCCGGUUACUCAGUAGUAACUUAAUAGCGGAGCACAGUCAAGCUUAUUCUCAGCCAAACAAUGCACAAACGCAAAAUAACAGCACUAACAAUCAAACAUAGGAGCAGCUCGCCUCAUUAUUGUCAAACAUGGAGAACUGGAGUCAAUAUUGGACCAGUUCACAUUAAAAGGCCAUAUUCAUUCCCUACGCCUAGAAAAGUUAACAAAGAAAUCGAAAGAGUCAAACAGUUAAAUAUUCACCAAGGGGAUAUUCAGGACCCAACCACACUAACCCGAUACAUUUUGUAUUUUAAAAACUUGGCAAAAGUAGAUUUGGAGUCAAUGAGUCCACAUCUCAAUUUUAGCCUUCACAUGAAAGGCAAUCACCAAGAAGAAAGAACGGAAAAAUAAGCAACUAGAAAUGAGACUACGAAAAACUACUAAAACUAAAAACUCACUUUUUUUCUUUUUCUCUUUUUUUUUCUUUUUGAAUUUUUUUUUCAUUUUUAUUUUUUUUUAUUUUUUUUAUUUUUUAAACAUUAACUAUAAACAUUAACUACUAAAAACUAAAAACUAAAACUACUAAAAACUAAAAACACUAAAAACUGCUAAAAUGAAAAGCUGAAAACUGAAAACUACUAAAAACGGAGCACACUAGCAUAACUUUAGAUCCCCCCCACACCUAUAGGACACAUUGUCCUCAAUGUGACAAAUAAGAACCAAAAGUGAAGCACAAGUGAGAGGGGAAUCAGCCAAACUUCCCUGAAAUCGGGUCACAGCGGAGGGCGAGGUGGAAAUGGAGGUGCAAAGCCUGUAUGCAUCAGGAACUGUGCCAAAUUCUGUGCUAUGCCGGCGACAUUGGCGUCGACGUUGGUCAUCCGGGCCUGCAAAUCCUGAACCAGCUCCCUGAGAUGCUGCCAAUCAUCGGUCCCAGGUGGUGGAGGUGGCGCAGAAGUAGAGGUAGACGGCCCAGCAGUGUCCGCGGCCGACCCAGGGAAUGAAGAUGGCCCUGCCCGGGCCGAAUGGUGUGCACCCGGGGCUCGAGGUGGUCCCGGACGGGUAAACUGGUGAAAACCAUCUGGCAGACGCUCGACGACCCCCAUUUUCUCUAAGCAAACUACGUCCAAGUGCUCCAUCUCAAAUGCCAAAUGGAGGUCGUGGUCAUCCAGGUUAAGAACUCCCAACUGGGUCGCCAAGUGAGUGAUGUAGGACCCAAGGAUCAGUGGUUUGUUCUUCUUGGUCAAGACCGUCUUGAACUGUGCGGCCAACCAACAUCCCAAGUUCACCUUGAUAUUGUUCUUCAUACUCCAGAGAAAGAAGAAUUCGGGCCGAGAGAGUAUACCGGAGCUGUCCUUGCGCCCCGAGUAGCUAUAAGCUAAGAAUCGCUGAACAUAGCGGGCGCUAGGGUCCUUAAGAAAGGAGCUCCUGGACCGGGAAGGAUCGUAGCGUUGCCUAUCGACGGACAUGUCCUCCCAUACAUCAUGGUAGUGGGAGAGGAAAGGCUCUACGUAGUCACAGGCACUCUCCGCAUACUCCCUAGUCUCAGCAUACUCUCUAGUGAUAAACCCAAAUGCCAGAUUGAAUUGAGUAAUGGAGAAAUUGAAUUCUCGACCCAUGAGCCGGAAAUGAAUGACAUUCGGUGUUUCACCCGUGUAUCUCGUAGGUAAUUCGAACUCAAAGGUGGAGUAAAACUCCCGGAUCAGCUCAACAAAAGCGGGACAAGAAAUAUGGAAAUAUGGGCGCCACCCAAUGGCUGUGAACAUUUGCUCAACCUCCUCCCGUAUACCCAGGGCAGUUAGAGAGAGUCUAUGACAAGACUUACAGGAUAUUAUACGCCUCUCGCAGACCUUAGCGUACCUCUGCCGAUCGGCGGGUCUGGUAAAUGUUAAGUGCCCCCCAAAAUGAACAGGUGCAUCUACCUGAGCACCCCUAUCCCUACCCAAACGGGUUCGAACACUAGAAGAGGAGGGUAGGUUGGUAGGUGAGUUGACAGGAAUAGAGGCUUGUGGAGGGGGUUGAGACUGAGAGGUCCUAGACCUAGAGGAGGAUUUCGGUCUCACCAUUCCCCCCAAAGUAAGUUCAAGGCAACAGAAAAUCCGACAAGUAUAGAAACCAGCAAUUGACAAAGCAAAAAUCUCCCAGUAGUAACCCAGCCAAUAGCAAACAAAAGAGUUCCAGCAAGUAAUCAACAAGCAAUUCAGAAAUAUCUCAACUAAAAUCUCAAGAGAAACCCCAGCGAGUUAUCCAGCAAUUCAAGCAAUAUCCCCAAGCAAUGUGGUGGUCAAAAUGUCAUCUCCAAAUUGAACAAAUAAUCAGAGCAUUGCAACACAUUGAAAAUCUCAAUAAACGGCUCCAGUUGGCCAAGAAAAAUUGCUAACUCAUACUCAGCAAUAGUAGUGCAGCAAAGGGACAGUAACCACGCAAUAAAAACACUUAGCUUGCACUCAAAUGGUCACCCCAAAUAACAACCCAGUAUGAAACCCGCAGGCAGAGUAUUCCUCAAACCGUUAGCCUAAACCCAGUCAACAACCACGGCCAGAAAUAACCCCAUAAAUAGUGCAAUGAGUAAUCCCCAGCAACAUAAUCAGGUGUAAUCAACUGGAGCAAGCAAUUUACAUGGCAUAGAAACCUCCCAAUCAAACAAGUGCAUUAUUCUAGCGCACCCCAAAAUUCCAAGAAAUGGCUCCAGUUGGCCAAUUAAUUUCACAAUGUCACCCAACUCAGGAGAAAUAGCAAUUCCACACAAAAAUAGUCAAACCAGUACCACUGGCGAAAAAUCUUUCAAAUAUGCACAAUUUGCUACCAAAUAUCACCGGCUAACACUGAAAAAUUGAGGGCAAGUGUCAAAUACCUCCACAGGGACUACCCCAGGCGGCAGACAGAGAAGCGGCGUUGAAGCUGGUGGUCGAGCGGGGCGGCGCUCGCGUCGGCGUGCGCAGCGGCGACGGCGCGCGAGGAUGGAGUUUCGGGAGGUUGCGUGCGGGCUUGGCUGAAGACGCGGCGCGCGCUAGGGCUUCGCUGCGGCAGGCGUGCAGCAGGGGAGAAGAAAGAAAAGAGAAAGAAAGAAAGAAAAAGAAAGGAAAGAAAGAACAGAAAAGAAGGAAAAGAAAAAGGAAUUUUUCUUUUUUUUCUUUUUCUUUAGGCUACGGUUUAGAGGACAAAUUUUUCUUCUUCUUGUUUUCUACUUUUUUAUUUUUUUAUUUUUUAGUUUUUAAUUUAUUACUAUUAUUAUCAUAUUUAAUUGAGGAAAAAAAAUGUUUUUUUUUAAAUCCCUACCUUUCCCACGAACGUGACGCGGGCACGUCAAGAGGGCAAGAGAGCUCCCAGAAGUUUCAGAAUUUUCUGAUCGUAAGCGUCCUGCACAUCACCACGCGGGCACGUCAUGAGGACAGGAGAGCUCCCAGAAGUUCAGAAUUUUCUGAUCGUGAGCGCCCUGCACGUCACCACGCGGGCACGUCAUGAGGCCAGGAGAGCUCCCAGAAGUUUGAAGUUUCUGAUUCCUGCCCGUCAUCACGCGGGCGCGUCAUGACUGAAGGUCACCUACAAAUCAGCAAAAACGAAAACUAACACCCAAAAUCAGUCAAAUUCAGGGAAAGCAGAUUUAAACUAUGCUACAAAACCAACAAACAAUUAAAAGAAAUAAUUAGGUUGCCUCCCAAUGAGCGCCUUUCUUUAAUGUCUUUGGCUAGACAUGGUAAAGUGUCACUGAUUAGGACACGGUGGUGCGUCAAGCCUUAUUGUCUCCACCUCUCUACCUGAAAAUCCUUCGUAAUAAUAUUUGAGACGGUGUCCAUUCACCACAAAUUUGUUGUCUGUCUUAGCACUCUGGAUCUCAACUGCACCAUAGGGAAAAACAUGAGUAACAAUGAAAGGUCCAAUCCAACGGGAACGUAGCUUACCUGGGAAUAGCUUGAGCCUGGAUUGGUACAGGAGGACCUUCUGACCAACUUCAAAUGUUUUUCUUGAAAUUUGUUGGUCAUGAAAUGCCCGGCUUUUCUCCUUAUAUAUCAAGGCGUUUUCGUAUGCUUCGUUCCGGAUCUCCUCCAAUUCUUGCAAAUCCAACUUCCGUUGAGCACCGGCCUCCUCUAAAUUCAUAUUGCAGUGCUUUAUCGCCCAAAAAGCCUUGUGCUCGAACUCCACUGGAAGGUGACACGGCUUCCCAAAUACCAACCUGUACGGUGACAUCCCAAUAGGAGUCUUGUACGCCGUCCGAUAGGCCCAGAGUGCGUCUUCCAACCUUUGGCUCCAGUCUUUUCUAUCAGGGCGCACCAUUUUCUCUAAAAUGGACUUAAUCUCCCGAUUCGACACCUCCGCUUGACCAUUGGUCUGAGGGUGGUAUGACGUUGAGACCCUGUGGAGUACACCAUACUUGCGAAACAACGCAGCUAUGGUUUUGUUGCAAAAGUACGUUCCCCUAUCACUGACAAUAGCUCUAGGCAUUCCAAACCGCACAAAGAUAUUAGACCUGAUAAAAUCUGCAACUACUCUCGAAUCAUUAGUUCGAGUGGCCUUAGCCUCCACCCAUUUAGACACAUAAUCAACUGCCAGCAAAAUAUAUAAAAAACCAAAUGAAGUAGGAAAAGGCCCCAUGAAAUCUAUACCCCAGACAUCAAAAAUUUCAACAAAAAUCAACGGGACCUGGGGCAUUUGAUCUCUACGGGCUAUAUUACCUACCAUUUGACAGCGAUCACAUGACUUACAAAACACAUAGGCAUCUCUAAACAAUGAAGGCCAAUAAAAUCCACUUUCUAAAACCUUAUGAGCAGUUCUCUUAGGUCCAAAAUGACCUCCACAGGCAAAAGUAUGACAAAAAGCUAAAAUUGAUUGAAAUUCCAUUUCACUUACACAUCUCCUCAUCACUUGAUCGGCACACCUCUUCCAUAGGUACGGGUCAUCCCAGAUAAAAUACUUGGCAUCGCUCUUCAAUUUAUCCCUCUUCGAUUUCGGCCAACCUGCAGGAAAAUUACCAGUUACCAAAUAAUUGACCAAAUCAGCAUACCAAGGCAACUGAGAAUUUAAGAAAAAUAGGUAUUCUUCGGGGAAUGCAUCCUUCAAUGGCUCGCUAUCCUCUUCAACUAGUAUGCGACUCAAAUGGUCCGCUACUAGAUUUUCUGAGCCUUUUUUGUCCCUUAUCUCCAAGUCAAAUUCCUGUAGGAGCAGUAUCCACCGUAUGAGCCUCGGUUUUGCAUCUUUCUUGGUCAUCAGGUACCUCAAUGCUGCAUGAUCAGAAAAUACAAUCACUUUAGCACCUAACAAGUAUGACCUAAAUUUUUCCAAAGCAAAAAUAACUGCCAGAAGCUCCUUCUCAGUGGUGGAAUAAUUCAACUGGGCUCCAUUCAAGGCCCGGGAUGCGUAAUAGAUGACAUGAGCCGCCUUGCCUAUUCUUUGCCCCAGUACAGCCCCAACAGCGUGAUCACUGGCAUCGCACAUGAUCUCAAAUGGCAAAUUCCAAUCGGGGGGUUGGAUGAUUGGGGGUGAAGUCAGCAAUUCCUUCAGCUUGUUAAAGGCUCUCUCACACUUAUCAUCAAAUUCGAAGGCUACAUCUUUUUGUAGGAGUUGGAACAACGGGGCUCCAAUCUUUGAAAAAUCCUUGAUGAACCUUCGAUAAAAACCUGCAUGUCCAAGAAAAGAGCGCACCUCCCGCACACUCGCGGGGUAAGGUAAUGCAGAAAUAAUGUCUAUUUUAGCCUUGUCAACUUCUAUGCCCUUAGACGAUACAAUAUGACCCAGGACUAUUCCGUGCUCAACCAUAAAAUGACAUUUUUCCCAAUUAAGCACAAGAUUAGUCUCUAUACACCUGAUCAGGAUUAAUUUCAGGUUAUCUAGACAAGUAUCAAAACUAUCACCAUACACACUGAAAUCAUCCAUGAAAACUUCUAUUAUUUUCUCAACAUACUCGGAAAAGAUGCUUACCAUACAUCUUUGGAAAGUCGCAGGUGCAUUGCACAACCCAAAUGGCAUUCGUCUGUAGGCAAAGGUCCCGAACGGGCACGUGAAGGUUGUCUUCUCUUGAUCCUCCGGGGCAAUUGCUAUCUGAAAGUAUCCUGAAAAUCCAUCCAAAAAGCAAUAAUAAGCCCUACCAGCUAAACGUUCAACCAUUUGGUCAAUGAAAGGGAGAGGGAAAUGGUCCUUUUUGGUGACGGCGUUUAGCCUACGGUAAUCUAUACAUUGCCUCCAUCCAGUGGGUUUGCGCACUGGCACGAGCUCACCAGUUUGGUUGGCCUCUACCGUCACUCCUGCAUUCUUUGGGACUACCUGGACCGGACUCACCCAAGGGCUAUCAGAUAUUGCAAAAAUGAUGCCCACAUCUAGCAAUUUUAGAAUCUCUUUCUUUACGACUUCCAUCAUGAGGGGAUUGAGCCUUCUUUGAGCCUGCCUAACAGGUUUGGCAUCGUCUUCCAGCCUAAUCCGGUGCAUACAAAUGGCCGGGCUGAUCCCCUUAAUGUCUGCGAUUGUCCAGCCUAUUGCCUCUUUAUGCUCCCGAAGGACCCGGAUCAAUUUCUCUUCCUGGGUCUUUGACAGUGCCGAUGAGAUAAUCACUGGGAGUGUCUCAUUAUCACCUAGGUAUGCGUAUUUCAGGUGCUCUGGUAGAGGUUUCAACUCCAGUACAGGUGCCUGCACCACAGAUGGCAAUACCCUCUGGUGAGCCUUGGGAGUAAAAAUAGGUAAGACUUCAUACCUUUUCGUGGUGGUCUGCAACGAGUGUAAUGCACCUAUUGUGCAUUUUAAAUCCUCGCUCCACUCCACCUCAGGAGUUGUCUCCAACUCGAGGUGCUUGGUUAAAGCCACCUCCAGCUCAUCCCUGCCAUCAGUUUCAAACACUUCCUGCACUACAGGGUCAAUAGCACUCACAGAAAAAACUGAGCUAAAGUUGGAGUUAGAGGGGUACUUCAUAGUAUCAAAAAUAUUAAAAUGCACAAUUUACCCAUCAAACUCCAUGGACAAGGUACCCUUAUUAACAUCAAUUUUCGUCUGCGCAGUGCUCAUAAAAGGUCUACCCAAUAACAAAGGUGAGGGAUCAGGGGAGUGAUCAUCAUCCAUAUCUAGUACAUAAAAAUCAGCUGGAAACACCAAAUCAUUAACCUUUACCAACACAUCUUCAAUCAACCCAUCAGGAUAUGCAUUAGUUCGGUCAGCUAAUUGAAUAAUUAUUCCAGUUUCUUUUAAUGGACCUAGUUUCAAAGAAGCAUAGAUAGAUUUAGGCAUGACAUUAAUUGAUGCUCCCAGAUCCAGCAUGGCCCUUCUGAUCACAGUAUUACCUAUCUUACAGGGAAUAGUAAACAUACCUGGGUCCCCGCACUUUGGUGGGAGCUUUCUCUGCAGGACCGCAGACACAUUUUCUCCAACUAUGACCCGUUCAUCUCCCCUCAACCGCCUUCGGUUGACACACAAGUCCCUUAGGAACUUGGCAUAUUUUGGUACUUGUUUGAUGGCGUCUAAGAGGGGGAUAUUUAUCUCAACCUUGCGAAAAACCUCCAAGAUCUCCUUCUCCUUAUCCUGCUUCUUCGAUUUUUCCAACCUGCUAGGAAAAGGAGGCGGGUUAGUUUUAACUGUAAUUAUUGGGUCAGGAAGUACCUCUGGAUCUGCACCAUUGCUGUCCUCCCUUUCGAGCUCAUUUUCGAUCUUCUCUUCAUCCUUGUCCUUGGGAAUCACAGGUUCAGGCCCCUGAAUUUCUUUCCCACUCCUUAGGAUCAUUGCGCUCACGUUCUUCGGAUUCAACUCCGGUUGAGAUGGCAGCUUCCCUUGGUUCUGGGACUCCCAACGGUUCAUUCUGGUGGCCAAUUGACCUAUCUGAUUCCUUAUGUCCUGCAUUUCGGAGUCCGUCUUUUGCUGAUUUUGCAUAAUAGCUGCCUCCGUCCUUUGCUGAUUCUGCGCCAUGGUUGUCAUCAUUUGUUUCAGCAUCUCAUCCGUAGAUGAACCAGAUUGAGGGAGCGGAGGUGGUCGGGGUUGGUAUUGCUGCUGGUACCCUGGUGGCUUAUUUGGCACAAAGUUAGACUGCCUGUUUGGCGUGAAGUUGGAUUGCCUAUUUCCACCAUAACUGAGGUUGGGAUGAUCUCUCCACCCGGGGUUGUAGGUGCUUGAGUAAGGGUCGUACUGCUUCCUUGGCGCGGGCGCGUGGUCAGCCAUGUUCACCUGUUCCGCAGUUUCUUCCUGAAUCAUUGGGCACAUGUCUGCAGAGUGACCUAUACCAGUGCAAAUCCCGCAUACCCUGGCUUGUGAUGCAUUUCUCACAGCCUAUUGCCUAACGAACGCAGUCAACUCAUUUAGCUGCUGCUGCACAGAGGGUGUCUCUAUCUCAUUCACCCUACGUAUUGGGACAUCCUAUCUUGUACUGAAUUGCUGUGAAUUCUCUGCCAUCCCCUCUAUUAACUCCCGUGCUUCCUGAGGGGUUUUGUUCACCAGUGCCCCUCCACUUGCAGCAUCAAUGAUGCUCCUGUCUCUAAAAAUGAGCCCCUCAUAGAAAUAUUGUAUGAUCAACUGCUCACUUAUUUGGUGAUGGGGGCACCUGCGCAACAAGCUCUUAUACCGUUCCCAAUACUCGUAAAGUGACUCCUCGGGAUGCUGCUUGAUCCCACAAAUUUCUUUCCUUAGACUCGCAGCCCUGGACGCAGGAAAAUAUUUAUCCAGAAAUUUUUUCUUCAAUUGGUCCCACGUGGUGAUGCUACCUGGUGACAGGUAGUACAGCCAGUCCUUCGCAGAAUCUUUCAAGGAGAAGGGGAAUGCCCUCAUUUUUAUCUGCUCUUCUGUGAUUCCCGGGGGUUUCAUACUGUUGCAAACGACAUCAAACUCCUGCAGAUGCUUAUACGGCUCUUCACCUGGUAAACCAUGAAAAGAGAGUAAAAGCUGAAUCAGACCAGAUUUUAGUUCAAAUGGAAUGUUGUCAUUUAAAGCUGGGAAAGUAAUGCAUAACGGCUGCUGAGUUAAAUCAGGAGCAGCCAACUCCCUUAAUGUUUAUGCAUUAGCCAUGGUGCCUUCCUGCUGGUCAGAGUCACUCGAAGUGUUACCAAACGAAUCUGUUGGUUCAACUUCUGACUCGGGUCUUUGAGAUGUAGCACUAGAGUGCUCUUCUCUGAGCUGUCUGGUUUCCUUUCUCGUUCUACGCGCGGUCUUCUCUACCUCAGGAUCAAAAACCAAAUCACCUGUGCGACAAGAUCGAGGCAUACACUAGAAGAAAACCAGAAAAUUAGGACAAAAUUGAAUUUAAGAAGAAACAAAUAAUAACGCCAGUCCCCGGCAACGGCGCCAAAAAUUGACAGGUCGUCAACCUGUGCAAUAAUAAAAUUAAACCUAAUUGCCAGUUAAAAUGACCAAAACCCAAUUCCAAGUACUGGAGCAGGGACUCUAGGUGUGCAAUGGGUUACUUGAUUCACCCUGUUCCCGAAGAGUUUGCUUGAUCCGAUAUACCCGAAUGGAAUGGUUAUUCCUUUUCACAAAUGAUUAGGAAUUUGUAGACAGGGCAAGUAGGGUCGUAUCCACAGAGACUGGGUAUAUUUGUUUCUUAAGAAAUCCAAAGUAACACAGGGGGUGAUUUUGUAGGAACGACGAUAAUUAAAUAAAUUCAAAUGAGAAAGUAAAAAUAAAUAAUUAACUAGAAAUUAAACCACAAUUUACUGAACUCAGGAUAACAAUAGUUAAAGGCCUCAAUUAAUUAAAAUAAGGAAACAAUCAAAAAUAAAAUAAAGUAGGUAAUUAAAAGUCAAAUGGCAAUCCACUACAAUCAAGGAAAUAUUAACUAAAGAUCUAGCCAAGAAAUAACUUCAGCAAUGGUUCACCUAAUCGAUCAUUGAUGCAAAGCAAUCCCAAUUAUUUACUAAUAAAUAGGUUAUAACUACCAAACAAGCGAUGGCAGUCAACCCCUCCUUACUGUGUCGGUGAUCAAGGUACGCCCGUUAAUCACUGCUCUAAUUGAGAAAUAAUCCUAGGUACGCCCGUAGAAUUUAAUUCCCCAACUGCCUUACGUAUUAGAGGAGCCCUAUUCUACCCAAAUAACACACUACCAGGGUUAUUUUAGAUUAGCCCGCGUAUCCCCCUGACACGAAUCUAAUCGUGCCAGUUGUCACUAAUUUGAGGUAAUUAAACAAUUACGGAUUCAAUACCCCAAUUGACAAUAGAUUAUCAAACCAAUGAAUUAUCCGGAUCCAAGACAAUCAACUAAUUAAAUAAUCAUAAGCACUGCAACCAAGGAAUAUGCGAAUACCAAUAAAUAAAGGAAAAGAUAAAAUUAAAUCGAUCUCACAAUUUACAGGUGAUCCAAAGCAUCAGUCGUUUCUUGACUAGAACGAGGGGGUUAGCUCAUAUUGGAUGAACUAAGCCCGCGGGAAAUUCCAGCAAAAGUCACGGCCGUUGUAUGCAUUUCAAGAGCCGCAAUUCGUCAAACACUUGGAAAGCGAAUGUAAGGCACGGGUAACAAUUGAAGCUUUCUAAUUGUUCCUAGCAUUCGUAAAGCAAAUUCACUCCAGAAGUACAGUGAGGAAAAGUCAAAGAAAGUGGGCUUCAAUUCCUUGCUCCUGACAUGCGUGGAGACAAGCCAAUGCAAGACUACAAUAAACUAACAAGGAAAAGUCAAGAAUUGGAGCUAAGCUCCCCUGCCAUGCGCAGGAAUCCGAAAAGUAAAAAGUAAAGCUUCAAAGAAAAGUCAACAAUUCUUCCUAAGCUACAGACGGAAGAUCCAGCACAAAAGCCAGCUCCCUUUUUUAUCCCUUUUUCCCCCUUCUUAUUGCGGCGGCUCACCAGGAGAGGAGAGCCCUCCGUCCGUCCUUUCUUCCGAAAAUUACCAAAAUGGGCAUGACAUCUUCUCUUCCAAAAGUGCCCCUGGGACAAGCUUUCUCAUCUGAAUUCUUUUUUUUUCCAAUUUGGCACCUGUUAUCAUAUUUAUAUUCUACUCCCUGAAAUAAACGUCAAAUACUAAAAGUGAGUAGAAUCCAGCAAAUAAAUCCACAUCAAGUCAGGUAAUAGGAGGAAUUAAUAAUAAAAUAAAUGAAUAAAUUGCACCCUAUCAGAAAAAUGCAAAAAUUUGUUAUUUAUCAUUAAGGAUCAUAUCGCAUAUAACAUCAAAAAAUAGUAUAUUAUUUAUAUCUUUCACUUAAUAUAAUAUCCAAAUUACUCUUUUCAGUUACAUACCCAUUGUUAGACAAAAUCAACAACAAAUAACCAAAAAAUUUGCAACCAAAAUAUUACCAAAAAAAUAAACUUUAACAUCAUAAAUAUUUUUAUCAACAUAUUAAAGUUAGUUAUUGAAAUUUUUAUGGUGUUAAACUUCACUCUUAGCAAUAUUUUGGUUACAGAUUUUUUUGAUUAUUUAUUGUUGAUCGUGUUUGACAAUGGAUUUGUAACUGAAAAGAAUAAUUUGAAUCUUACAUUAAGUGAAAUAUAUAAAAUAUUAUACUAUUUUUUAUGGCAUAUGUGAUUCUUUUUUUUUUUUUUAUCAGAACGGCAACAUUGUAUUAAUAGUAAACCAAUUACAGUAUAGGUGGGCAACCGCCCUCACAAUCUGCCUGGACUUGUUCCAGCAGCCAAACUGGGAAGUUUUCCUUCCAUUCAGUAUUUUGUUCCAAAGUAAUAGCUACUUUAGCUAGUUUAUGGCUAACAAAGUUGUUCACCCUAUUUGCAAAGGUAAAACAACAUUCAUCAAAUUUUAUUCAUGUACAAUUGUUGCUAUCACCACGUCCUCCUCCUCCUCCUCACUGCACACUACUUGACUACCACCCUUCGCCAACCUUGCUGUUGCAUGUGCAACUAUCAUGGCCUCUCUUAGCGCCUUUGCUUCUUCGACCUUUGGACUGGCACAGCUAAAAUUUGGAACAGCCCAGGCCCACCCGCAAUCUUCCCAACCAAUCCCUGGCCACCCUUUUCCCACCCAGCUUCUAUGGCAUGUGUGAUUCAAUCCUUCUUGAUAGGAUUGGUAAUAGAGGCAGAGGGGGGAGCCGGCUGCAUCCGGUCUACUUUUCAUAGAUAGUACAAUAUUGCGAAAUCGAUCGCAUUCACACAAGAAUAUUUCGAAGUCAUUGCAUCGCUAAGUUGCAAAAAAGUACAAACACUUGUUAUUAUAUAGCUUAAGAUUCAAAACUUUAGAGCACAACCCUCCACCUAACACAAUUGAAUAAUGAAUAUUCACGAUUGUCAAAUCUGUCAAAGCACAGUUUGAGGACAACCCAUUCCAACCUGCAAAAGAUUUUUGACUUUUUUAAAGUUGUUGAGAGCUGUAAAAAGACUUACCAUGCUUACAUCUUCCGAGCCUUGGGAGUUAAAAAUGAAGGCACUGAGUGCUAUAAAAAGGGGGCUAGAGGCUGCCUAGAAGCAUAUCAGCCUAAAACAAGAAUUUGUAGUUAUGAUGGGAAGCAAAGCAAAAGCAAUGGGGUCUGGGCUGACUCCUCUUCUUACCACUGUUUUAGUGGUAUUUGUUGCUCUUGGCUUGCCCUCAGAAACUGCAGCUGAUGAUCACUACAAGUAUUCAUCUCCUCCUCCUCCUUACCACUAUCCCUCACCACCACCUCCAGUGCAUUUACCUCCACCAGUGUACAAAUACAAGUCCCCACCACCACCUCAUCAUGUUUACAAGUACAAAUCUCCACCACCCCCACCACCACACCCAGUUUACAAGUAUAAGUCGCCACCACCACCUCCUCAUCCGGUAUACAAGUACAAGUCUCCUCCGCCACCUCCUCAUCCGGUACCACACCCAGUUUACAAGUAUAAGUCACCACCACCACCUCCUCAUCCGGUACCACACCCAGUUUACAAGUAUAAGUCUCCUCCGCCACCAGUUUACAAAUAUAAGUCUCCUCCACCACCACCUCCAGUGUACAAAUACAAGUCUCCACCACCACCAGUUUACCACUACAAGUCUCCACCACCUCCUCCCCCAGUUUACAAAUACAAGUCUCCACCACCACCACCACCAGUUUACCACUACAAGUCACCACCACCUCCUCCCCCAGUUUACAAAUACAAGUCUCCACCACCUCCUCACCACUACUAAGCAAUUGCUUCUGAGGUAAUAACACUUGUUCAAUAUACCCACUUCUGCAUGAUAAAGCAUAUCUCUAUCAACACAAACUGUCAUGUCUAUCAUGCUAAGUGCCUUCACUUCAUCCACCAAAAUGACUGCUAGAAAAUUUUUUUUAUGUUACCAAAGAAAGGCAUCAUUUUUUCCCUCUGUUAUCAAGAACUUGUACAGUAUAUAGAUUAAAGAGUAUUUUUUUAACUAGCUUAUCAACUGAGAAAUGCAUAUAGCUGAUAGCCAGCUGAAUAUUUGCAGGCAAAGGAGAAGGAAACCAGUGUUUGAGACCUUCUUGAAGAUGUAGAAGCAUAAGAAUUAAAGCCCAAUGUGAAGAUGAUGAUUUCAAGUUUUUCUACGUUACCAUUUCUUUAUCUAAAUUGGUUGUAGCGCCUUAGUUCCUUUGUUUAUGGGAUUUGUAUCGUUUUACGUACCAUGCAGUACAUGUCAUGUUUGUAAGGUUUUCUAUCCUGCCGGCAAACCGCAGGUUCCAUGUAAUAAAUCAAUACUAUUUAUAUUACGACACUUUUCUCUGUUUCUCUUAUAUUUUGUCGUCUUUAAUAUUCUUAAUCAUAUUUUUAACAAAAAUAUUCAAACACUUAGGCAAUCUGGUCUAAUGCUAAUUGUAUGUUUUACUUUUCUUUUUCACCUGCUCCCCUUUUCAACUCAAAAGGAUGCAAUAGUUUGUGAUCACUGUUGAAGACGGAAGCAUGAUACUAAUGAAUAUAUCAUUGAAACUCAAGGAAACUAACAUUAUGAAAAGUGUAAAUCUUGAUUUGAUGCAACUAUUUAUUCGUGGAAUCUAUAGUUACAAAACUCAAACUCUGACUGCGCCAUUGAUAAAUUAUUAAUGACGCUAUCAUCAUUAUUUAUCCCCAACUAGUUUCGACUACAACUGAACCCAAUAUUUUCCCCAUGAUAAAAGUUUUUUACUAUUUUACUGGCCUCUCUUCAAAUUUUAAAAAUUACACUAAUCUUCAUUGAGAUUAAUUAUCUUGUAGCAUUUAAGUCCAAUUAAUAAUUAAAAAAUAAUAUUAUGAGAGAGAAAAUAAUAUAAUUUUAUCAUUGCCCCCCAUCUUGCUAUAUUAUUUAAUUAAUUUAAUAGCAACCCACACAUUAAAGAAAAAUACUAAAAUUUGCUGCUUUUCAUUAAAGAUCAAAUUGCAUAUGCCAUAAAACAUAGUAUAUCAUUCUAUAUGUUUCACUUAAUGUAAGAUCCCAAUUGUUCUUUUCAAUUACAAACCCAUUGUCAAACAUGAUCAAUAACAAAUAACCAAAAAAUUUGCAACCAAAAUAUUACAAAAAAAAACUUUAACAUCAUAAAUAUUCUUACCACCUCUAGUGCAUUCACCCUCAUAAAAUAAUUCAAGACCCUACUGUCAUAAAAUGACUGAUCAACUCCUGUAAACCUAAUUUGACAACAUUUAAAUGGAGAACUUUAGCUAAAAGAAUUAUGGUCAAGCUAAAGAAAAAACCAGUUAUUUUCCAACAUAUGCAAUCAUUGAUCAGGGAAAAAAAAAAGAAGCAAAAAGACAUCUUCAAUCAUUUAAUAGCUUACAGGGCAAAUUAACCCCUAAGCGAAAACUGGUUGCUCUAGAAUCAAAAUUUUACUUUAGUUACCCAGGCAACUUUUUUUGUUGCCUUUUCUUUUUCUUUUUUGGGUAUAUAUAUAGCUCCAGUUUUGCCCCCUCUGUCAAGCUUAUAUAAUUAUUAAGAUAAUAAAAGUGCCUUUAAUAGUAUUAAUAUAUCCAUUGACUUGAGCUGUCAUCGAUCGGUUUGGGCUACUUCGAUUCCAUGAGAACAAAUGGUAAUAAAAGUACUCAGAAAAUGGGGAGUCAUGAAACCCUUUUGUUCUAUUCAUUGCUAAGAUGCUUUUCUCUAUAAAGACACUUCCUAACGAAAAUACUUUGUAGAUUUCUUUACUCCAAGUGGUGCAUGGAAAAUUAAUAUUUUCAAUUAUCAAAUAAAAUUCCCUUUUUUCGGUGUAGAUUUCAUCCAUUCAGCUGUUAACACUCCGAAUUGACUAAUCUUUUCGUUUCCAUUUUCCAACUUGCGAAUACGGCAUCUUACAUAUUGUCUGCUGAAUAUGAAUACAUAUCCCUUUUCUGAGCAGGUGCAGAGUCAUUAUCAUUUUUAUUCCCACCUAACAAAUUAGUUAAUAAUCUUUUAAAGAACAUGUUAAAUUAAUUUAUUGGUAUGAAUAGUAGUCAAAGAAGUAUGUUAAAGUUAGUAAUCUUUAAAAUAAUAUGUUAAAAUUAUUCGUACAAAUUAGCCAGAGAAGUAGCAUAAACACCGCGAUGCAAUUAAUACUUUCAAUCUCAAGGUCUCUAUUAUGGAAAUUUGCAUCGGUCAACAUACACAAAGCAUUAUUGUAUGCACGUCUCUCUAUUAUGGAAAUUUGCAUAGGUCAAUAUACACUUGGCAUAGUUGCAUGCACGUCCAAUUUUUUUUUAUUUUUAUUUUUGGUAUUUUACUUCCUGCCUUAAGUUGCCUGCAGAUGUUUGUAUUACAAAUAUAUGGUAUACUAAAUAUAUAGUAUGCACAUUAAUUUCUUUGGGUUGCUUAAGGGUAUAUUGUUAAUAAUAGGGGGUUUAACCAUAAAUUAUAACAAUGAUGAAGUAAUAUAUAUUAGAAAAUUAACACAAUUAUGAUUUUUUUUUUUGUAAAAUUCAAAUUUUAUUAAUAAGAAAUGAAAUAGGCAGUAAGCAUUUACAAACCGAAAACAAAAUCCUACAACAACUCUAGGACUCUACACCUUAUUAAAAAAAAACAUUUUGAUAGCGUUUUUCCAAAAGCAGAAGAUGGAAAAUUGCCCAUUUGUACUGGGGAGUUCGUGAUCUUUUCCUCAUUCUAGUCUACUUACAAUUCUUGGAAAAAGGAAUACUCACAUCUCAAACAACAGCCUGUUCAUCUGCAGUGUCCUGCCGAAUUCUAGAAAGUUUGGUGGCAAUGUUAAUUACAUUUCAAAAUUGACUGCUGCGAUAACUAAUUCGAUGGCUUACUACAUGGUCAACGUUUGGAUCUCUUCCUGUCCUUUUUGGAUGCACAUUUUUUUUCUCUAGGUAAUAUAUAAUCUCCCAACUCAUUUCUUUACAAAUGCACCUUUAAUCACCACCAAAAGGUGUGGACAUGAUCUUUACCCUAGAAAACUAUUCACCGACAGGCAAAUUGACGUCAGAAAUACUAAGAGGAAUUCUAGUUUCCUUCGGGUUAAUGCCAUUUUGUACCCUUCAACUGUAACUCAAUUUCUAAGCUGUAAUUUGUGACAUUAUAGUCCUUAAACUAUGAAACCCUUUCUUAUUUAAUUACAAUGGUUAAUACAAUGCCCGUGACUAGACAAGUAUGAAGCAACCAUAACAAAAAAAAAAUCCAAAAUUAGAGAAAAGAAAGAAGUUGCGACCAAAGUAUGUAUCAAGGCAUAGUAUAGAAAUAAAAGUGUCAAAAUUAAGAGUUUAGGGAUAAAAAAGAAUCAAAAUAUAGUUUAGGAAUUGAUUUGUCUCAAUUAGAGUUUAGAUGUCAACUAAGAAGAGAGAUAUAGUUGAAGGGUAGAAUAUAGAUAUAACAGUUCAAUGAUUGAUAUCAACGAGACAAUGACAACUUUGGAUUAUUACCAACCUCUUCUUGAUGGAAAAGGAAAUAGAGAAGAAAGUCGGGCCUGGUCUAAGCCUGUUUCGGAGGCAAAACAACAUUAUGAAAUCACCGGCAUUCACACAAAUAUGUCAAAGUCACCGGCAUGCUAAGUUGCAAAAUUUAUACAAACACUGAAUAUUAUAUUCUUCUCAAAAUUUUUGUUUAAGAUUUAACAAUUAGAGCACGGUACACGAAUUAGCAAUAUUAAAUAAUGAAUGUUCACGAUUGAUAAAGUUAUCAAAGUACAGUUUGAGGACAACCCAUUCCAACGUGUACAAGAUGUUUAGCCUUUGAAAAGUUAAUUAGAGAAGGUGACGAGAUUUUACUAGGCUUACAACUUCUAGGCCUUGGGAGUAAAAAGUGAAGACACUGAGUGCUAUAAAAAGGGGGCUAGAUGUUGCCUAGAAGCAUAUCAGCCUCGGACCACAUUUUGUAGCAAUGGGGAGCAAAGCAAAAGCAAUGGGGUCUAGGCUGACUCCUCUUUUUACCACCGUUUUAGUGGUAUUUGUUGCACUUGGCUUGCCUUCAGAAACUGCAGCUGAUUACGACAAGUAUUCACCUCCUCCUCCUCCUUACCAUUAUUACUCACCACCACCUCUUGUGCAUUCACCUCCACCACCGCCAGUUUAUAAGUCACCCCCACCACCUUAUCACUACUUCUCACCACCACCUCCAGUGUAUCCAUCUCCACCACCAUCUGUUUACAAGUCACCUCCACCACCUUCGCCAGUAUACAAGUCCCCACCACCACCUUAUCAAUAUUCCUCACCACCACCUCCAGUGCAUUCACCUCCACCACCACCGAUUUAUAAGUCACCUCCACCACCUCCUCCAGUUUACAAGUCCCCGCCACCACCUUACCAUUAUUCCGCACCAUCACCUCCAGUGCAUUCACCUCCACCACCACCGAUUUACAAGUCACCUCCACCACCUCCUCCAGUUUACAAGUCUCCAUCACCACCUUACCAUUAUUCCUCACCACCACCUCCAGUGCAUUCACCCCUACCACCACCGGUUUACAAGUCUCUGCCACCACCUUACCAUUAUUCCUCACCACCACCUCCUAUGCAUGCACCUCCACCACCAAUAUACAAGUCACCUCCACCACCUCCUCCAGUUUACAAGUCUCCACCACCACCUUACCAUUAUUCCUCACCACCACCUCCAGUGCAUUCACCCCUACCACCACCAGUUUACAAGUCUCCGCCACCACCUUACCAUUAUUCCUCACCACCACCUCCUGUGCAUGCACUGCCACCACCAAUUUACAAGUCACCUCCACCACCUCCUCCAGUUUACAAGUCCCCACCACCACCUUACCAUUAUUCCUCACCACUACCUCCAGUGCAUUCACCUCCACCACCACCGAUUUACAAGUCACCUUCACCACCUCCUCCAGUUUACAAGUCUUCACCACCACCUUACCAUUAUUCCUCACCACCACCACUCUUCAAUUUGGAUGUAAUUCAAUUUUCCUUGUAAUCGGUGGCCCUCCUUCGGAAUCCAAAUAGUCAUUGAGUGCAGCCUUCUUUCUUUAUUUUUUACUCAUUUUCACCUCAUAAAUUGCUUUCAUCCCCUAAAACUUGUUCGCUGGAAUUUUGAAUUUACCCAUACAACUAAACUCAGAAAAUUCUUACACAAAGGGAUUAGUAGCAUGAAUAGCAAACACAGAAUAAGAGAUAACAGUAUGUUUUAUUGUAUUAAAAAUAUUAAAGUGGAUUAUUUCUCCAUCGAAUUCCAUUGUGAGAGUAUCGUUACUAACAUCAAUCUUAGUUUGAGCAGUACUCAAGAAUGACCUUCCUAAUAUAAUGGGUGAUGGAUUUGGGACACUUUCAUCAUCCAUAUAAAACACAUAAAAAUCAACAGAAAAAAUUAAUCCAUCUACUUGAACUAAAAACAUCCUCAACUACCCCAUUUAGAUAAGCAAAUAUACGAUCAGCCAAUUGAAUUAUUAUCCCUAUUUCUUUUAAAUGUUCUAAAUUUAGGGAAUCAUAAAUUGAUUUAGACAUCACAUUAAUAGAAAUCUUUAAAUCUAUCAUGGCAUUUUUUAUAUUAGAAUGUCCAAUCUUACAUGAGAUAGUAAACAUACCUAGAUUCUCGCAUUUAGGUGGUAGUUUCCUUUGUAAAAUUGCUGAAACGUUCUCAUCUACCACAAUAUGCUUGUCCUCCUCAAUUUCUUCUUGUUGACACACAAGUUUUUCAAGCAUUUAACGUAUUUUGGAACUUAUUUGAUUUGCGUCCAACAAAGGGAUAUUGAUUGCCACCUUGCGAAAAUCUCUAAAAUCUCCUUUUCUUUAUCUUGUUUCUUUGAUUUCUCUAACCUGCUUGGAAAAGGUGGUGAGUUAGUUCCAACUCUAAUUAUAGAAUCAACAAUUACCUUUGGAUUCACAUUUCUCAUUCCUUCCUCCUCAAGCUCUUUGUCGAUUCGAUCUUCAUUUUUAUCCUUUGGAAUCACAACUUCGGAUCCCUGAAUUUUCUUCUCGCUCCUUAAGGUCAUUACACUUACAUUCUUCAGGUUCAGUUCAGGUUGAGACGACAAUUUUUCAUAGAUUUGGGAUUCCAGGCGGUUGAUUGCUAUUACCAUCUGACUCAUCUGACUCUGCAGUGCUUGCACCUGUCCCAAUUGAUUCCUCAUACUUUGCAAGUCAAAAUCCAUCUUUUGUUGAUUAGCAAUUAAUUGCUUCAUUAUCUCUUCUAUAGAUGGACUUGAGUUUGAAAGAGGUGGUGGCGGGCGAGACUGAUACUGUUAUUGAUACCCUUGCUAUCUAUUUGGUGCAAAAUCUGGCUACCUAUUUCCUCCAUAGCUGAGGUUGGGAUGAUCUCUCCAACCAAUAUUGUACGUAUUCGUGUACGAGUCGUAUGGUUUUCUUGGCACGGCGCGUGACCAGCCAUGUUCACUUGCUCCGUACUUUUCUCUUGAAUCAUUGAGCACAUCUCUGUAGAAUGACCCAUAGCAGUGCAGAUCCCACACAUCUUGACUCGUGAUGCAUUUCCUAUAGCUAAUUGCCUAACAAAGGAUGUUAAUUCGGUCAACUGCUGUUGGAUAGAAUAUGUUUCUACCUCAUUUACUUUGCGUGUUGGGGCAUCCUCCCUCGUACCAAACUGUUGCGAAUUUUCCGCCAUUCCUUCAACUAGCUCCCACGCUUCUCGAGAAGUCUUGUUCACCAAUGCCCUUCUACUUGCAGCAUCAAUUAUACUCCUGUCUCUAAAACGCAGCCCCUCGCAAAAAUAUUGGAUGAGCAAUUGCUCACUUAUUUGGUGUUGAGGGAACUUGAUGCAUAACUUCUUGAAUCGCUCCCAAUAAUCAUAAAGCGACUCUCCUGGAUGCUACUUGAUACCGUAUAUCUCCUUCCUUAGACUUGCAGCUCGAGAUGCAAGAAAAUAUUUGUCCAAGAACUUUUUCUUCAGCUGAUCCCACGUGGUGAUGCUACCUGGUGGUAGAUAGCACAGCCAGUCUUUUGCGGAGUCCUUCAAGGAGAAGGGAAAUGCCCUCAUUUUUAUCUAUUUUUCUGUAAUUCUCGGAGGUUUUAUGCUGUUGCAAACGACAUCAAACUCUUGCAAGUGCUUAUACGGUUCCUCACCUGGUAAACCAUAGAAAGAUGGCAAGAGAUGAAUUAGACCAGAUUUUAACUCAAAUGAAGUGUUAUCAUUUAAAAAUAGAAAAGUAACUGAGAUGCAGCACUGGAAUGUUCUUCUCGAAAUUGUCUGGUCUCUUUCUUUGUUCUACGCGUAGUCUUCUCUACCUUAGGAUCAAAAAUUAAUUUACCUGUACGAGAAGAACGAGGCAUACACUAGAAAAACACUAGAAAAUUAGAACAAAAAUGAACAUAAAAAGAAACAAAUAAACCAACGUCAGUCCCCAGCAACGGCGCUAAAAAUUGACAAGUUGUCGAUGCCUGUGCAAUAAUAAAAAUAAACCUAGUUACCAAUUAAAAUAAUCAGAGCCUAAUUCUGAGUACUAGAGCAGGGACUAUAGGUGUGCAAUGGGUUACUUGAUUCACCCUAUUCCUGAAGUUUGCUUAACCCGAUAUACCAGAAUGAGAUUGCUUAUUCAAAAGGAAUUAUUGAUUUGUAAACAGGGCAAGUAGGGUCGUAUCAUCAGGGAUUGAAAAAAUUUGUUUCUUUUCAAAUCCACAGUAACAAGGGGAUGUUUUUGUAUAAAUGAUAACAAUCUAAGGAGUGCAAAUAGAAAUAAAUAGAUAACUAGAAAUUAAAUGACAAUUCACUAAAAUUAGAGUAAUAAUAAUUAAAGGUCUAGCUAAGAAAUAACUUCAGCAAUGGUUCACCUAAUUGAUCAUCGACGCAAAGGCAAUUCCAAUUAUUUACUAAUAAAUAGGUUAUAACUGCAAAACAAGCAAUGACAGUCAACCCCUCCUUACUGUCGGUCGGUGAUUAAGGUACGCCCAAUCACUGCUCUAGUUGAGAAAUAAUUUUAGGGACGCUCGUAAGAUUUAAUUUUCCAAUUGCCUUACGUAUUAGAGGAGCCAUAAUCUAACCAAAUAACGCUACCAGGAUUAUUUUAAAUUAACCCGUGUAUUCCCUUGAUACAAAUUCAAUCAUGUCAGUUGUCACUAUUUCAAGGUAAUGAAACAAUUACGGAUUUAAUAUCCUAAUUGACAAUAGGUUACUAAAUCAAUUCACUAUUUCGAUCCAAGAUAAUCAAUCAAUUUAACAACUAAUAGCACUGCAAUCGGAGAAUAUGUAAAUACCAAUAAAUAAGAGGAAAAGAUAAAAUUAAAUCGAUCUCACAAUUUUUAAACAAAUCAAAGUAUCCGUUGUUUCUUGACUAGAAAAGAAAAUUUAGUUCAUUCCUAAUGUGAAAGACCCACGUGAGAAUUCAAAAAUAAUAUUCACGGAUAUUGUCUUGAUUCAAUAGAUUCAAUUGCGUUGGAAUAAGGAUAAAAAGCCAAACUAUAGAGAGUGAUUCAAUGUUUUGUUUCGUUUGCAUUUUUUCUACACAUAUGGAAGAAGAAAAACAACUAAAGGACGAAAAAAAAAAGUCAAAGAAAGGCACCCAAAGUAGUGCUUGGUCUCUACCAUCCUAUUUCCUAUCUAAUUACUACUUCCCUUCUGCGGCUGCCUAGAGGAAGAAAGAGAAAGCAGACUUCAGGUCUUGUUCCAUCUCCUCCCUUUUCGGCAAUUCCCCAAAAGUAGAAAAGUUCCUCCGUUUACCAAAAUGCCCCUGGAAUGAGGACUGCUACUUGAACUCAUUUUCUUGAUAACUGUCAAAUUAGCACUUGUUAUGGUAUUUGCGUCUACUUCCUGUAAUAAAUGUAAAUUGCCAAAAGUGAGUAAACUGAUAAUUAAUUUACAUCAGGUCAGGUAAUAGGAAAAAUUAAUUAUAAAAUAAAUGAUAAAAUUGCAACCUAUCACUUAGAAUAACCAGAAAUAAAACAAAACAAGAAAUGAAAGAAAUAAGAGGGUAGCAUAGACAUUUUGGAUUUUUCUGUUAAUUUGGAUGAUUUCCACCUACGGUCUAAUUUAAUCCAAAACACAAAUGGAUUAUGUGGAGAUUUUUAAACAAUGAGGGAGUAUCGUGACCGAAUCCCAAACCACAAAGGGGAUUUACUAUAUUUUACUCUUAAAUUUUGGUUUCAUCUCAUAGCAUACAAGAGUACUAUUUCACUGUCUGUCGACCAGGGAGGAGGGUUGGGUUGGGUGGUACGGGGGAGGGAGUCUAAGUAAGAGGUCUCAGGUUCGAAUCCUCCUGUUUAUACUAAAAAAAAAAAUUUACUAUCUGUCGACAAAGAUUUUCUAUGGUUGAUGUACCAUAGGAAAAAUCUGCCUAUACAAUUAUUUGGAAAAAUUAUCCAUCCAAACAUAGUCACGAUAGCAUUUUUUCAAAAACACUAGAUGCAAAAUUGUCCCCUUAAACGUGGAAAUUCAUGAUCUUUCCUCGACUAGUCUACUUGUCAAUUUUUGAAAAAAGAAUACUCACGCCAAAAACACGGCCUCUUCAUCUGCAGAAUUCUAAAAAGUUACGUAAACUCUAUAAACAAGUUGAUAGGUACAAUCGUACCCAAGAUCAAGUACAGAUAGUUGUACAUUCACUGCUGCAAUAACUAAUCUGAUGACUUACAAACACAUCAUGGUCAAUCGUUGAAUGGUAAUGAGUCUUUUGUUAUGCAUUAGUAUUAGUGUGUACACUCUAAUAGAUUGAUACUUAUACUCUUUAAAUUAUCAUAAUAAUACCCUUAAUUAACUUUAACCCUUAAAAAGAAUACGUGUUAAUACACGAGAGUGUGUAACCUGAAUUGUUACUUAUACAUUAGUGUGUAAUAGAACGGCAAGCAUUAUGGUGGUCAUUGAGCAACUUAUAGGAGAAAUAGUCCUAUAAGCUGUUCAAUGACCAAUCACAACUUGCUAAUUGGAUGACUAAUAUAGCUCUAGCUGUAAUGUUUUAAUUAAAUUCCACACUAACGUUGGGAUGACUUUUUAAUCAAAAAAAAAAAAGCCUUAGUUCAAGCUUUUCCCCUUAUUGUGCAUUUUUUAAAACAUUUGAUAGGCACUGCAAAUCUGUCAUUUUGGACAUUUUAUUAUUAACUAACAAUGAAAGCCGUGGACAUCAACCCAUAUCCAACAAAAUAUUAAAUUAAUAUUAGAAAAAUUAUUAAGUAAUUGGAAAAAAAAAAGAAGAGGCUAAUUUUCAUUGAAACCCACCGACAAACUAUCCGUGUCCAUAGCUUUUGAAUAGUGCAUUCAACGUUUAAUUGUAUGGUCCAGUUCAUUGCCGAUUACAUGGAGUAAAGAUUGUGCUCUUUCCUUUUUCACCCCUUUUGGAAUCGAUACUGUGGAGAAUUGGGUUUUUCCCUCCUUUUUUUCUUUUCUUUCCUUCUGUGCUUUGCAAAACAUACGUAAAAAUAUGAAAUCCGAAGCAUUCUUUAAUUGGGAUUAAGUAUUGUUGUUGAAAUUAAAAAGAAGAAAGAAAGAACAACAAAAAUCCCAAUCUGGGUUGAUUGUUGAGCUCUAGAUUGGCUGCAUCGUGCUUCCAUAGAAGUUCUCUUAGUGUGAUACGCUGCUUUCAAUCAGUUUUAAUAUUUAAGUAGAGUGCAAAAUAACUUUACUAUUUAAUGGGUUAUAAUGCACCAUUUGGUACCUCUCACCCACCUAUGAUUUGAUUUACUACUGGCAUGGUAAUGGACAGAGUUGGGGGAGCAGGAGGAGGGAGAUGGCGGUACCAGUCCGUCAACCACAGCACACCCUCCCUCGGACUUUGCGUGGUAGCGAAGUGGAGGCAGAUCGAGCACACAUGCACUAACGCCUUAAGUAUGUACAAUAUAUGUAUGCCAAAAGCAUAGCCAAGCCUACCAGCGCAUUUCAAUAAUAUAACCCGGAAAUUAAGGGCAUUGAAUUAAGUACGAUGAAUCAUAUUGGUGCACAAUUACAGUUUGAAGCUACCGAUUCGAGUAAAUUUAAGCGUAAGCACAAUCAAUCGCCAGUCAAAUGCUGAAAUAUGCAUAUGCAUGGAUGAAUGUAUGGGUUUCUUAGUUCCAGACCAAAGGCCAACAAUAAGGGAAGGAAGGACAGUUCUCAUUUUUAGCACGGACAAGGAGAUGAAGAAAAGUGUAUGUAGCUUGAGACAGAACAAUGGCAUGUGACCGCUCCUGAGACCACAUAACGUGGGGUGGGGAUGGGACGGCCAAGAAUGAAGAUGCCUGUCGGUCUCUCCGUGCUGCUACCAUAUGAAUCCCCCGUUAACCAAUUCAAGAUAAGCCUGAAGUUCUUUUCAUCCCCAAACCCUGUCCCAUCUGUGUAAAUCCAACAUCAUCAUUUACGACCUGCAACUCAGGUUAAGCAUGUUCUAUUGAGAUUCAGACACCACCCUUCAAAAGAUAUACUACUGUGAAACCAGCAGCUUAAUAUCAUUGUAUAAAAAAAAAAAAAAAAGAAAGAAGAAAAGACAUGAAAAGCAAAUUUUGUGGGGAUAAUUUCAAAAUCUCUCCUAAAGUUUUUUACUAUUUUACUGGCCUCCUUUCAAAUUUUAAAAAUUACACCAGUCUUCCUUGAGAUUAUUUAUCUUGUAACAUUGAGGUCCAAUCAAUAAUUAAAAAAUGAUAUUAUGAGAGAGAAAAAAAAUAAACUUUAACAUCAUAAAUAUUCUUAUCAACAUAUUAAAGUUAGUUACUGAAAUUUUUAUGGUGUUAAACUUCACUCUUUGUAAUAUUUUAGUUACAGAUUUUUUGAUUACUUGUUGUUGAUUUUUUUUUUUUUAGUGUAAACAGGAGGACUCGAACCUAAGACCUCUCACUUACACUCCCUCCCCCCGUACCACCCCAACCCAACCCAACCCUCCCCUCGUUGUUGAUCAUGUUUGACAAUGGAUUUGUAAUUGAAAAGAACAAUUUGGAUCUUACAUUGAGUGAAAUAUAUAGAAUGAUAUACUAUUUUUUAUGGCAUAUGUGAUUCAAUCCUUGAUGAUAAAAGCAAAUUCAAGUGUUUUCUUUAAUGUUUGUGCUGAUAUUAGAUUAAUUAAAUAAUUUAGUAGAUGAAGGAAAAUGGUGAAAUCAUAUUAUCUUCUCUUUCCUAAUAUCACUAUUUAAUUAUUGAUUGAACUUAGAUAUUACAAAUAAUAAAUCUCAAGGGAGAUUAGUAUAAUUUUCAAAUUUUGGAGAGAAGCUAAUGAAAUAGUCAAAAACCUUAAGGGAGGUUUACAAAAUUAUCCCAAAUUUGUGGGAAUUAGAAUAAUUGUACUGGACGGCACUGCCGCAACAGAGGGAAAGAGGAGGAGGUGCAGUUAACUUUUUGUUGUUUGAAAUCCUUGGUGAAAUAUUACAGAAAGACAGAUAAAACAGUUAGUACAUAGAUGUAUAUGACAGGGAAAAUGGUACGUCUGUUAAUCACAUUUGAAACACUUUCAUUGGUGAAUGACGAAAACUAUCAGGCUUGCCCAAUAGUUGAUCAUUGACCAAGACAAAUCUUGCCAUGCUAGAGGUACCAUCUUUUCGUACCUCUUUAGUGCACAGGACAUUCCUUUGUUUCAUCUAGCUAAUAAUCUACCAACUCAUUUCUUUGCAAAUGCACCUUUUAUGGUCACGUCUACGAAAGCUUUACAGGAUCUUUACCCAAAAAAUCAAUUCACCGACUCGCAUUUGAUGUCAAAAUUUCUUUACUUUACUCCAAGAUUGACUGUUAAUAAUAAUGCCACUUUGAAUUAUCACACCAUCCUUCUUGAUAGGAUUUGUGCUAGAGGUAGGGAGGGAGUCGCUGCAGCCGGUCUUCUCUUCAUAGACAGUACAAUAUUGCGAAAUCGAUCGCAUUCACGCAAUAUUAUAUUUCCAAGUCGUUGCAUGGGUAAGCUGCCAAAAAGUACGAACACAUGUUAUUAUAUAGCUUAAGAUUCAAAACUUUCGAGCAUAACCCUCCACCUAACACAAUUGAAUAAUGGAUAUUCACGAUUGUCAAAUCUGUCAAAGUACAGUUUGAGGACAACCCAUUCCAACCUGCAAAAGGUUUUUUUACUUUUCUAAAGUUGUUGAGAGCUGUUAAAAGAUUUACCAUGCUUACAUCUUCCGAGCCUUGGGAGUUAAAAAUGAAGGCACUGAGUGCUAUAAAAAGGGAAUAGAGGCUGCCUAGAAGCAUACCAGCCUAAAACAAGGAUUUGUAGUUAUGAUGGGAAGCAAAGCAAAAGCAAUGGGGUCUGGGCUGACUCCUCUUCUUGCCACUGUUUUAGUGGUGUUUGUUGCUCUUGGCUUGCCCUCAGAAACUGCAGCUGAUGAUCACUACAAGUAUUCAUCUCCUCCUCCUCCUUACACUAUCCCUCACCACCACCUCCAGUGCAUAUACCUCCACCUCAUCCUGUUUACAAGUACAAAUCUCCACCACCCCCACCACCACACCCAGUUUACAAGUAUAAGUCACCACCACCACCUCCUCAUCCGGUACCACACCCAGUUCCUCAUCCGGUGCCACACCCAGUUCCUCAUCCGGUGCCACACCCAGUUUACAAGUAUAAGUCACCACCACCACCUCCUCAUCCGGUACCACACCCAGUUCCUCAUCCGGUACCCACACCCAGUUUACAAGUAUAAGUCACACCACCACCUCCUCAUCCGGUACCACACCCAGUUUACAAGUAUAAGUCACCACCACCACCUCCUCAUCCGGUAUACAAGUAUAAGUCUCUCCGCCACCAACACCCAGUUUACAAGUAUAAGUCACCACCACCACCUCCUCAUCCGGUGCCACACCCAGUUUACCACUACAAGUCACCACCACCACCUCCUCAUCCGGUACCACACCAGUUUACCAUACAAGUCACCACCAAUCCUCACCCAGUUUACAAAUACGAGUCUCCACCACCUCCAGUUUAUAAGUACAAGUCACCACCACCUCCUCCACCAGUUUACAAGUAUAAAUCUCCUCCACCACCACCACCAGUUUACCACUACAAGUCUCCACCACCUCCUCCCCCAGUUUACAAAUACAAGUCUCCACCACCUCCUCACCACUACUAAGCAAUUGCUUCUGAGG
rnacentral:lncRNA from 1 species